CAUAUUUUCCAUAUGUGCCGCUAUAUGAAGAGCUAGAAUCGUUGCACAAGUGAUGUCUUAUUCAUGCUAUGGAGCAGCGGGCAUGGUAUGUCUGCUUGAAUUUGGUCCUCCUUUCUCUGAUGUAUGCAUGUUUUUAAGUUUGGAGCAAUGCUGGUUCGUUCUGGGGGCACUGCGGCUGAUUUCUCUCUCGGACUAGUUAUUCAAAGUUUCAAUGCACCUUCUGCUGUGUGUACUUGUUUUGUCUUGGUGUACCAAUGGUUCUGGACAACGCGAAAUUGUGAUACACUUUGGAUGAUUACAUUAUCACUUCUUUUGGUGCUAUGUUUGUCCUGGCUUUUAAAUAGGUUAUUUUAUGAGCAGAAAAUCACAGCCACAAUGAUGCUGUUGAUAGGAAAUGUCAUAAUGUUCAUCCUGCUGUUAGAUAACUUUUGACACAAUAUUGCUUCAGAAGACUAGAAAGACAUCCUCUUUAUUUAUGAGUUUUGUUCGCAUGGGUAGGUUUAAAAAGUUUAAAAUAAGCGACACCGGGCACUUACCAUGUUAGUCGUGCCUAUAAUGGUGCACAUACACUCCAGUCCAACACAAUUCUUCUGUGUUAAUAAGAGGUAAUUUGACUUACCACUGAAGGGUUUGCCCAGCGGGACUAUGUUCAACUCUUUCGGAUGAUUGAUGCUGAGAAGGUCAUUAUCGAAACUAAUUUCUUUAGCUGGUCAACCUAUGUACGGCUAGUUUUUCAAGCAGAGCUGCAAUCUUGUUCUUAUGCACAUUCAGGAGAGUAGGGUCUUUUUUUUUUGAUUUAGUUCAUGUAAAACAAAAAGCCAAUGUGGCAGCCCACAAAACCGCUAAAUAAUCUUUGGACCCUGUAUUCUGCAAGAUUGUAACCUUGCCAACUUAUCGACAUAAACUUGGUUCUAGAAAAUGAGGAAAUAAGAUUGCACGGGAUCGAAAGCUAAUUUCAGACAUUGUUCUGUUGAAAGUUAGAGCUAAUCAAAGCUACUGCUGUAAUAGGAUUGUAUCAGGUUGCUGCGCUAAUGAUAUGUGUUCCGUACUUUUUAAUUGUCAGCUAGCCCUGGUAAAGCAAUUGGUACGCUUAGAGAACUAAUGGUGAAACGUUACUUGCAAUACAAGUUCAUUCUGUUAUCAACAAAUAUAGUCCGUGGUUAUGAAUAGGCUGACAUUGAAGAAGAAAAAAAGCACAUAGAUGUACAUAGUUUCUCUGAUCCAAAUUCUGGGCAACAAACAAACAAUUUUAGAGCUAGAAACCCAACUGGUUUCAGUUCGAGAAAAGGACAUUGAAAUUACUAGAGAUAUUGUUGUAAAAUAUUGCAACCUCACCCUACUUUUGUAUGCAUGUUGUCAGUGGUGCUCAAACCAAAUAGGGGGCCUCUGCUGUUUUGUUAUGUUGCGUCUGGUCCAUGCUAAGGGGUAUUUUUUGAUAUAUUACUGUAUAUCUUUUCUCUGGAGUUUAUGAAUAAAUCAAAUAGCACACACGCCACCCGUAUCAACAUGGAUUACUGACCCAUGUCUUUGUUAAACUAAAUGAUACCCCGGACGUUGUUGCGGGAAUAUAUUGCAACAUAUCUCAAUGUGAUUCGUUGGAUGAAACAUGAACAUUUGAAGUAAUAAUAUAAAAGGUUAAAGCUAAAAAUACCUAUAAUUUAUUUGCUUGAGUACUAUAUAGUUGUAAAAUGUUUAUUAAACUAGACGAUUCUCCGCGUGUUCCUGCUGGAUUUCUAAAGGACAUCCUGAGAUAUUGUAGUAUUAUCUACGAAGAAAAUUAAAAUCCAGCACCAUAUGAAAAAUAUACAACAAUGACACAAUAGUUGAGAUACAUACAUACAUAUAUAUAUAUAUAUAUAUAUAUAUAUAUAUAUAUAUAUAUAUAUAUAUAUAUAUAUAUGUAUGUAUGUAUAUAUAGGGAAAAUCCAUCCCACCACCCGGUGGUAGUUACCCCACAUGUCUCAUAUACUACCAUAAGGUACUAUAUAUACUAAUUUAUUAUUUUAAAUAUGUUCAUAUACUAUAUCUAAGCUAUUUCAAAGCAAGUUACAUGAAAAAAUUGCAUAUGAGCCCAUAGUUUUUGUUAUAUUUGUAAAAUGCGUACAUAUUUGUAUGUAAAAAAGAGCAUACUCAAAAAAUGGUACAUACUACCUAAAAAUUAGUAUAUAUACUACAUAAUCAUUGUUAUAUACUACAUACUACACAUACAUACUUUCGGUUUUGACAGAUACUACAUACAACAUACAAAAGGCAAGUGGUGGUAACUACCACUGCUUGUAGGAAACAUUUGUCCUAUAUAACGUCUCAUAUUCAUUGAAUAUCACUUGAAAGUAGUAUCGCCUAAGACACCAUGAAAGUAAUACGCUACGUAUCUUUACAUCAAAGGUCAUUGAGGUUCAAAUAAAAAUAUAGUACUCAAACAAGAUUGUUAAGUUUGUAGCUUAAAGAAAUAAAUAUUAUUGAUCGAAUGGCUACAUCACAUGGUUAUUCUGGAUAACAAUGUAGGAGUAUAAAAUUGAUAAAUGGGUAGCAUGUAAUGGAUAGAGGAAGAAAUAAUAGAUUAUAUGUUUUUUGUACAUGGACAGAUGAACUGGUUGAGAGUUCAGAAGUUAGAACAUAGUUUGCAGAUAUGUAGAAGAAAGUGGUAGUACUGAAAAAGGAAUAACAAUAGUCUGGUCCGAUGUAGCUGCAGGUUGCCCUAUUUGAGUAUUUGUCCACAUAGGAGUAUAUUGCUUACCAAUCUAGGGAACAGAGUUAUUUUGUUAAUUAUUCUCGGAUGGAGCUGACAUUACUAAUACCCUCCUCACAAAAAAAGUACUACUACCCAAUUAGAAGUACAAAUGAAAAUUAAAAUAACGUGUAUAUUUAUGUUUCCACAGUAACCAUCUCACUCCGUAGAUCAGUUCUAAAAUGACACCGAAUGUGUGUGGCCCAACAAUCUAUGACUUCAAGAAUCUACUGCUAGUCUGUAGCAAGAUUGUAAGAGCAUCUCUAGCAGACCCGUAUAAUGCCGACCCGUAUAAGGCAUUUACAGUUCGACAAAGAUAUGUUUUGCGGGUCAAAAUCAUGCGCGGUAGAGUAGACCCCGUAUAUAAAACUUUAUAAUUUGAAAAAAAUACUUCUGCGGGAGAAAUUGCAACCACACUAGUUCAUCACAUACUACAUGAUCACACACACUAGUUCAUCACAUACUACAUGAUCAUACAUACUACAUUCUACUGCUACUACUAGAGGGGGGUGGGGAAUCUCGCGGCGGCAAGGCCGAGGACGAUGUGCCAAAAUGGAAGAGCUCGCAGCCGAGGACGACGCGGUGGAGGAGCUCGGUCCUCCUCGUCUGAGCUGACGAGAUCGAUGAACUACUGCCUCUGCUCCUUCGCGGCAAGGUUGGCCGCGGCCUUCUGCUUGAGCAUGAGGUCCUCGAGCUCCUCGUCGUGGCGCCGGCGCCCCGCCUCCUCGCGCAAGCUCCGUUUGUCAAUGGCGGCCGCGACCGCGUUGACAUCGGCCACGAAAUCUUUGGGCCCAACGACGCCUUGGCGCUCGAUCUCCUCCGCCUCCUUCUUGACGACGACGAGCUCGCGGUUCUUCGGCUCCUCCGACCACUCCCUCUUCACGGGGAGAAGUGCCGCGCCGGAAGGGCCCCUCGCGGCAGAGGAAGAACCCACGGCCGAGGAGGGCGACCGCUCGUGCCGGCAGUCGUACUCAUCCGUCUCGCGAUGGAGGAGUCUUGACGGCGGCUCGAGGCCCUGGUUUGUCCACUUCCUCGCCGCACGCUUCCUCGCGCCGUCCGCACGGACACACCGCUCGUGCUCGGGGUUGCCGCUGCGGCCGGAGUUCCACAUACGGCCCCACAUGGCGUCUGGAGGAGGAAGAGGGCUCACAGGCGGCGAGAAAUGAGGGGGAGUGAGUGGGGAAUCGCGGGGAAACACGGCGGCAUGCGGAUAGGGUUUUGACCCGUAUCUGCCCCCGUAAACNNNNNNNNNNNNNNNNNNNNNNNNNNNNNNNNNNNNNNNNNNNNNNNNNNNNNNNNNNNNNNNNNNNNNNNNNNNNNNNNNNNNNNNNNNNNNNNNNNNNNNNNNNNNNNNNNNNNNNNNNNNNNNNNNNNNNNNNNNNNNNNNNNNNNNNNNNNNNNNNNNNNNNNNNNNNNNNNNNNNNNNNNNNNNNNNNNNNNNNNNNNNNNNNNNNNNNNNNNNNNNNNNNNNNNNNNNNNNNNNNNNNNNNNNNNNNNNNNNNNNNNNNNNNNNNNNNNNNNNNNNNNNNNNNNNNNNNNNNNNNNNNNNNNNNNNNNNNNNNNNNNNNNNUUACGGGCUGGACGAGUAUACAGACUCUGUUAUGGCCAGAAAAUAGACCGAGCCCGUAUACUCGCUGGAAUUAUGUGGGUUUGCGAGAUAUACGGGGUCUGCUAGAGUUGCUCUAAAAUUAUAUCAAAAGACUAAUUAGAUAGUAGCUAGACUUCAUCACCUCUCCAAAGUUGGCCCAUAUACUGGUUCAGUAUAGAUAAGAAAACACUCGAACUGAAAGAAAAUAAAUGGGAAAUAAAUAAAAAAAUGCUUUUGGCUGCCAUGUAUGAGAAAGGCAAGCGGAAGCCAUUGUCAUCAACACUAAAGAGUUUCACCUAAAAAUGCAAGCAAGAGUUUUGCAAGUCAUAAUCGUUCAACAAAGGAUGGAGAAAAAAAAGUAGUUUGUAGUAUGACAGAUGAGGGACGCCUUUGGGCUGACCGGAGCUAUUAUGGCAGGUGCUUCACUCGGGGUUGGGGAGUUGCCGGUGCAUCCAUACGCGAGCACCAAAUAUUUGACAGCAUUACGUCAUGUUUCAGUAUGAAGUGGCAUGCUUGCAUGUCGAGAGACAUAUGAUAGUGGAGUAGGCCUUUUCUCAUGCAUGUUUUGCGAUGAUGUGGCAUGCUUGCAUGUUGAGAGAAAUAGUUAGUGGGCGCUAGCUAUUUAGAUACAGAAGAUACUCGCUCCGUCUCAUAAUAUAUGAAUGUUAUUCCAGCUAUGUUAGCUUGAAAAACGUUUCUAUAUUAUGGGACGGAGAGAGUAUAUUACUGUAUGUAUUUCGCAUAAUCAUAUUUCAAUGAUAUAUUUUCAACCGAACUCAAAUAAUUUGGAUCUUUAGUUUGAGGGAGUCGGCGUCCUAUGCCUCUAUUGCUCGAACAUAUUUAUUUAGCUUGUUUCCAGCAUACAACGUUUUAAAGAAAAUCAAAAGAAUGGGACUGAAAAGUUAAAGCAAAUAAAGUAAUCAAACGUAUUUAUUUAGCUUGUUUCCUGCAUACAGAGUUUAGUUUAAAGAAAAUUGAAAGAAUUGGACCGACAAGUUAAAGCAAAUAAAGCAAAUAGGCCGCUCCGCCCUAUAUCCUAUGGCCUCUAGGCCAUGCAGGUGCGGAGGAUAUCGGCCCUUCGCUGGCGGGAGAGACUCUGUUCUCGUUCUUGUUAGGUUCAAGGUCUUGGUUGGGCACUAGUGCAAAACCGGGCUUUAGUGCCGGUUCGUGACGGCCUUUAGUGUCGGUUGGCGAACCGGCACUAAAGAGUGGGGACUAAAGCCCCCCCCCCCCCCUUUAGUACCGGUUCGUCAUGAACCGGCGCUAAAGUGCAAACACGUGGCACAAGCCAGGCCCGUGUGCGUGUAGGAUAUUAGUACCGGUUGGUAACACCAACCGGUACUAAAUGUUUGGGUGUUUUUUUUUAAUUUUUGCUUUAAUUUUGUGUUUUCAAUUUGGCUUUAUUUUCCAUUUAAUUCUUUUUUGUUUGCUGGUAUUUCACGAUAGUACAAAUUGUACACGUUAUGCAUAUAUAUUAAAUAGAUUUUCUCGUAUGUAGAACCGCAUAUAUAUAUAUAUAUAAUAUAUCAUCGAAUGUCUCACAGCCAACACCAUUAACUAUUCACACAUACACAUGUAUAUACAUAUACAAUUUCUCCUACAUGUUGCCUUGGUGCCUUCGGAGCAUGAUGACAAGUGGUUCAUGGGGGCGGUAGCGGGUAAUAGUAUUCUCCUUUGGGAUCUAUAACCUGGUCGAGCAAAAAUCCGGCUAUUUCCUCUUGAAGUGCUUGUAUGCGGUCCGAUGGUAGGAGCUUAUCUCGCACCGAUCUGAACUGUUAAGAAGGAGAUCAAUAUGCAUGUGUGUUAGUUGUGUGACUAGAUAUCGAUAAUGGUGUGAAUAGUGUUCUGACAAAAACGUACCCAGUCCUGUCUAUCAGAUCUGCUCCUUUCGCACGUCAUCAUGCGAAUGUUCUCGCAAACGUAGAAUGCACACAGAUUAUUCCCCGACGCCUGCCUCAGGGCCUUUAUGAGAAUGGAAUUGAAUCAGAUAAUGAUUAAUCAAGCAUGAUAAUUAAUUAAUAAUAUUGAAACAAGAAUUAAAGAGAUAGCUAGUACUACUUAAUUACUUACCUUGGGUCGAUGCCAAAACAAUUUUUUUGGCCAUGUGCCUGGAGUCACCUUGAUGAACUUUGCCCAUGCUCUGCCCGCCGGCAAAGAAAAUUAAUAAAGGGGUUAUUAAAUAGUUCUUAUCAGGAACUAAUAGUUAAUAAUGAUUGAAAUUACCUGUUGACUAUCCCCUUCACGAUGGUGUAGUCUUUAUCUUCUUUAGUUAGUGAGUCCAGUAAUUCAACUUUUCCUUCCUCGACUUUAAUGUCUAACAAGACCCAAUGCCAACUGCAUACGCACACGUUUGCAUGUCUUAACUAAACGGGCAUGUGCAUAAAAUUAAUCAACUACCGUAAACCGUAUACACUUAAUUAUUAACAUCUAGCUAGCUAGUAAGCAAAAACAAAAUUUGUAGUACAAGACAGUGUGACUCAAGGGAAGUUGUAAGGAAGUAGUAUAUCUUCAUUGGUAUUGAGGCGCUUCAAGAACUCUAGCAUGCUUUCCUCUACAGCAGCUUGACAAUGUUCAAUCUCCCAUAUUUCCUAAUUAAUGGUAUUUGGAUCAAUGAACCCAACGCCAUAGCGUCCAGCUUUUUUAAUUUCAUACAUCUUCAUUCUGCAUAUAAUAUCACAGAAAAAGAAUAUAGUUAGGAUAAUUACAUAUAAUGAUUGAUCAAAAUUAUCACUACAUAACUAGCUUGAGACUUAAAUUACAGAAAGAAAUCACUUACAGACAAUAGCAACUGACGAUAGACUUGUCGAGUGCGUCUUGAUUAAAUAACUGAAAUAGUUCUGGAUACUCAACGGCCAGAGCUUUCUCAUGGUAAUAAUGCUCAUGCCUGACAUUCACCAUGAGGGACUCUCAAUUGGAAAUCUUGGUAAUGUUCAUGUACCAUUGAUUCAAUUGAUACAUUCUCGUUGGGAGGUCCUUGACCUUGUCUGAAUGGACCAAAGGUUUGCCCCGGACAUCUUGCCAUGCUAUUUCCGAUUCUUUAAGCGUAGGCAUGGGCUCGAUUUUGAGGAGUUGUCCAACAGAAAUAUUGAGCAUUUGAGCCUGCAUUAUAUGACCCUCUGUUAUUACCACAUCGCCAUGCUGGGGAACGCUAAUGGUUUGCCCACAAUAAUAUUUGGCGCGCGUACUACUCCUCUCAUGUGUUGUUGGCACAACAAGUGGGGGGAUCGCUUGCGCCGCCAGUUCUCCCAACUGGGAAACGGUUUUCCCGCAUUUUUUGCCAGCUGCUUGUUGGCUCGAGCUUGAGCUCGCUUCCUUCUGUAGUCGUGCUCGAUGUGCCUUCCUGAUUUGGCGCUAGUCCGUGUCAACAGGCUUGGGAGCUGGUUCUCUAGCCAUACGAAUGAAGUGGUCAAUUACUUUCUCACGCACUUUCUCCUUUGGCGGCGGUUCCGGUUUCGGUCCAAAAUGGGCGUCCAGUUGGGCUUGCACUAGGGCUGCGUUUUGCUCCUUAGUCAUGUCGUAAGGCCUCUGAGGAAGAGGAGCGAGGCUUGGACCAUAUUUAUAUCGCUUGCCUUCGCCUGUACUUCCUGAACUACCUCGACUCGUGCCGCUAUGCACCAAAGCUGUGGGAUGUCUCUUCUGCGAUUGCUGAGCCGGCAGAGACGGCUGACGUGGAGUUGGACCAGGAGAAGUGGCCUGACGAUGUGCCGGACUUGAAGCAGGAGGUGUGGCCUGACACGGUGCCGAACUCGCAACCGGAGAAGUGGCAUGACGCUGUGCCGGGCUUGAAACCGGAGGAGUCAGCUCACGUGUUCGGGGACUUGGAGGAGGUGGCGGACUUCGAGGAGGAGUCGUCUCACGCGUUCGUGGACUUGGAGGGGCGAGAGUUUGCUGACUCGGUGGCGGACUUCGAGGAGUCGGCAGACGACGCGGUGUCGGUGGACUUCGAAAGAUGAUGCAAUCCUUUCUCCAUAGGAUGAUACGAUGUAUGGCCUCUCCUAGUGUGCGCUCGUCUUCACCUCCAGGAAUGUCAAGCGUUAGCCCCGAAUAUGGGUCCACCACUUCAUCAACCAUGACACGAGCAUAGCCCUCUGGAAUCGGGAUGCAAUGGUAGGUUCCUUCGGGGGUAACUGGAAAAGCAACGCCGUUCGCCACCUUCAUGAAUAUGUUCUUCAUUUUGGAGUGUAGCUCACAGUUAGUGUUCUCUAUGACGUCAUCCACAGGGUAUUUAUCCAGUAGUGUGUCGCCCGGGGCAGAACCAUCGCUGCUUCUCGGCAUGGAUGGGACGGUGCUAUCCAAUGCUGGACGAUCAUUCGCUUGCUGCUACCGCUGCUGAGACCCCCUUUCCUGGCUAAGUGAGUCGAUCUGCUAUUGCUGCUGCUGGAAUUUGAGUGCCAGGUCCGCGUGCCUUGCUUCUAGGCCUUGAAGGCGUUCUGCGUCCUGCUUCCUCUGCUCCUCCUCCAGCUUCCUUUUCUUCUCCUCCUCCAUCUUCCUUCUUGCACGGCUCCUGUAGUCCUCGUUCCAUUCUGAAAAGCCCUCAUACUAGGGAAUAACGCCCAUGCCUCGUGUUCUUCCCGGGUGUUCAAGAUUUCCCAGGGCGCGCGUAAGCUCGUCGUUCUCUCUGUUGGGCGUGAACACCCCCCUUCGAGCUUCAUCUAUUGCGUCAAUUAUCUUUUGUUCGGCUCCUUUUAGACUUGCCUUCUUUGAAACUCCGUCUGUCUUCGGGUCAAAUGCUCCCCCAUGCGCAUAGAACCAAGUUCUGCACCUGGGGGGCCAGUGCCGUGUAACCGGAGUGACCCCUGCAUCCUCCAUCUCUUGCUCAGACUUAUCCCACUUAGGCAAUCCCACCGCGUAGCCACCUGGACCCAGCCUAUGGAACUGCGUCUUUCUUGCGGCAUUUGCCUUGUUUUUCAUCGACCGUUCCUUAGAUAUUUCUGAAUCCUUGAAGGUCACGAAAUCGUCCCAGUGUUCUCUUUGCUUCUCCAGUGUUCCCGUGAAAUCUGGAGUCUUCCUUUCAUUAGCGAGGUACUUGGCCCAUACAGUUUUCUUGUGGGUGUUGAAUGCAAUUGCCAUCUUCUUAAGAGCAGCGGCCUUGACUUUGUCCACAUCUGCUUUAAUGAAAUGAUCUGGUAGGGUGAAGUGUUCCAUCAGAGAUUUGAACAGGUCUCCUUUGGCUCUUUUGUCGACCCAAGUAACACCUGGACGUUUAGUCUUUGGCUCUUUCCAUUCUUGAAUGGAGAUAGGGAGUUUGUCCUUCACAAGAACUCCGCACUGACGAGUCCACUUGUUCGCAAUGUUCUUAGGCGUGAGGGGUUUGCCACUAGGUUUGAUGGAUUCGAUGUGGUACUUUACACCAUCCUUCAACAAUCUGCCCGGGCCUCGCUUUGUCUUGCUGUCUGUAGAAGCAGAUUUGCUCGAUCCGGAGGGCUGAAAGAAGAAAGAUCGAUUCGUUAAUAUAUCUUCAAUAAAAAAACAUGUGAUGAUCACCAUGAUGCAUGCUUAUAUAAAUAUACCUCGCCGGUAGUGUUUGUUAUUUGAAGAUCAGCAUUGUCUGUGUCAUCACAAACAUUGUCUGUGUCAUAAUCAUAAUCAUAGUUCAUGACUUCAUCAGCCCGGUCGUCGAGAUCGAAUAUCUUUUCAUCACCCUCUCCGGUAUUGUUAAGAUAUUGGAAGCCAUCAUUUGCUUCAUUCAGAUCAACUAGCCUGUGAGGGUUGCGUAUGAUGUCGAACAAUUCCUCUUCUCUCUCUCUGCCGGUAUUGUCCGCCAUAGCUUUUACUUUACUAAUAAUACAGAAGAAAUAUAAAACAAUUUAGUAUUCAAAUUACAAUGCAUGGAUGCAAUUAAUCAAUAAGGAAAAACAGAAUCUCGAAUACAUCGUCUCGAAUAUAUAAUCUCGAAUACAUUAUCGAUCGUCUUAAUAUAUAUAAUCUCGAAUACAUCGUCUCGAAUAUUAUAUAUCGAAUACAUCACUGGCUAGGUACUUAAUAAAGAUCGAGUACUACAGAAGAAUCUAGGGCGCCACUCGCGGUUCCUGGGGCGCGGGCGGUGCACACCCAAAGAGAAGGAACCAUCACAGGAUCAUAUCUCCGGUCAUCUGCCCAAAGAACCCGCCAAGUAGUGGAGAAUCUAACAUCGUCCAUAGCAGCCAUGUAACGAUGGACGUGCUCAUCUUCCUCCCUGAUACGGCGACGCACCACCUCCAGUGGGGCCGGCUGCCUCUGCACCGAAUGUGGCCCACACGAACGCCACGAAAGAAGAUCAGGGUCGACGACAGGACCCGAGGUCGGGUUCCUCACCAAGCGGCGCGCCCCUCCAGGUAGCACCUCCCAGUGCCAGCCCGGCGGAGCCCAUCCCGGACAUGGGUCCCCUCAAGCAGGACGUCGUCGCGAACGGGUCGACGACGAGGAUGCGGGCCGGGCAUAUCGUCGAGAACAAAUACUAUAUGCCCGCAAAAAGUAAUAUUUUUUAAAUGAUUGGAUUGUGAUAACUAAAAUUCUAUAUAUAUGCAAAUUCUAACAAUUUGACAUUAAUCUAAUUCAUCUAACUAAAACUAAUUCUAAAAUUUCCUGAUUAUAUAACUAACAUUUCCAUAACAAUUCUAAUAUUUAUAUAACUAAAAAACAGAAAAAUUAAUAACAUUUCUAUAAAUAUUUCUAUAACUAAAAAACAGAAAACAUUUAUAACAUUUCUAUAAAACUAACAUUUCUAAUAUUUAUAUAACUAAAAAACAGAAUAAUUUCUAACAUUUUUAUAACUACAGAAAAAUUUAUAACAAACAAACUAAUGUGUGUGUGUGUGUGUAGUGUGUGUGUGUGUAGUGUGUGUGUGUGAGUGGACANNNNNNNNNNNNNNNNNNNNNNNNNNNNNNNNNNNNNNNNNNNNNNNNNNNNNNNNNNNNNNNNNNNNNNNNNNNNNNNNNNNNNNNNNNNNNNNNNNNNNNNNNNNNNNNNNNNNNNNNNNNNNNNNNNNNNNNNNNNNNNNNNNNNNNNNNNNNNNNNNNNNNNNNNNNNNNNNNNNNNNNNNNNNNNNNNNNNNNNNNNNNNNNNNNNNNNNNNNNNNNNNNNNNNNNNNNNNNNNNNNNNNNNNNNNNNNNNNNNNNNNNNNNNNNNNNNNNNNNNNNNNNNNNNNNNNNNNNNNNNNNNNNNNNNNNNNNNNNNNNNNNNNNNNNNNNNNNNNNNNNNNNNNNNNNNNNNNNNNNNNNNNNNNNNNNNNNNNNNNNNNNNNNNNNNNNNNNNNNNNNNNNNNNNNNNNNNNNNNNNNNNNNNNNNNNNNNNNNNNNNNNNNNNNNNNNNNNNNNNNNNNCAUCGACGGGGCUGGCGACGAGGCGCGGCAACGAGGGGCGGGGGCGGCAACGAUCGGGGCCGGGCGGCGCGACAGAGGGAAACAGAGGGAAGAACAGAGGGAAACUGAAUUAUUUUCAAGUGUAGUAUAUAUACGAUGGACCUUUAGUACCGGUUGGAGCCACCAACCGGUACUAAAGGUCUGUUUUGGCCAGGCCAAGCGGCGGGAAGCGCACCCCCUUUAGUACCGGAUUGUGGCACCAACCGGUACUAAAGGGGGGGGUCUUUAGUACCGGUUGGAGCCACGACCCGGUACUAAAGAGGGUGCGCUGGCUCCAGGCGGUGCGCAAGUUUAGUCCCACCUCGCUAGUCGAAGGGCUACCGCACUGGUUUAUAAGCCCUAGUGCGGUAGCUCUGUCGAGCUCCUCUCCUUACCUGGCCUACUGGGCCUACCUGUCCUCUUCUCCCAGUGGGCCUACUGGGCCUUUGCGGGCCUGCAUCCUGGCCCAACAAAAGGUUGUGUUGCUAGUCGUAUGCAGGCCGCUUUGGCCCAGUAGGCGGGCUUUUUUUUCUUAAUUUUUUUCGCUUUAUUCAUUUUUGUUUUAUUUAUUUUUGAGUUAUUUUUUGCUGUAUUUAGAGUUUCUUUGUGAAUAUUUUUGCUUUCGGUACAAAAAAUUACAAACUUUCUGUUAGUGCCGGUAGUUUUCAAAUUUGAAUAGUUUAAAUUUUGAAUUAUUUGAAAUUUGUGUGAAUCACUAGUUUGUGAAUAACUUAACUUUAAAAAAAGUUUUUUCAGUGAUUCUUUUUUCUUAUGUUUAAUAUUAGUGUGUUUUAUUAUUAUAUUCAAUUUGGUAAUGCUUAGGUUAUUUAAAAAAUGAAAUGCCUUUGUAACAGUUCAGUUUUCGUCGGAAACCCUGAUACUUCAAAAGAGAUUGUCCAUUUUAUACACGAAGUGCAUCCAGUUUUUACCGUAACCCUCUCUACUUUCUUGCACAUGCUAUUUGUAUGAAAUUAUGAUACCAUGCCAACUUUCAACCUUUUCUGAGUUUAUUUGAAAUGCUUUUCAAUUUCAGGGUCAUUUAGCUGGAAAAAAUCAGUAAAUGCAUGAAAAGAAUUUGUUUGCACAUAAAAUUUCUUCGCGUUUCAAAUGCCAAAACACAUAACUACCCUAAUUAUUACAGACAUUCCCUCCUGGGUGUGAAACACAGAAGAAAGUGAUGAUAGUGAAGCCGAUCACAUCCCAGAUCUUUCGGUGUGAAACUUUUUCUUCGCGUGUGUCCCUUUGCGCCGUAACCAUGGAAAAUCUUCAUCAUUUAACAGGAUGCUCGUGUCAAUAUUCACUGUGAAUGGAGCAAUUUCAUCAAUCUUUUCAUAAUCUUCUGACAUGUCUGUCUUGUCAUCCACUCCCACGAUGUUUCUUUUUCCUGAAAGAACUAUGUGGCGCUUUGGCUCGUCGUAUGAUCCAUUCGCUUCCUUAUAUUUUCUUUUUCUCGGCCUGGAAGACAUGUCUUUCACAUAAAAAACCUGCGCCACAUCAUUGGCUAGGACGAAUGGUUCGUCUGCAUAUGCAAGAUUGUUGAGAUCCACUGUUGUCAUUCCGUACUGCGGGUCUUCCGUUACCCCGCCUCGUGUCAUAUUGACCCAUUUGCACCGAAACAAAGGGACCUUCAAAUCACCUGAUCCAUAGUUAAGUUCCCAUAUGUCCUCUAUGUAACCAUAAUAUGUUUCCUUUCUCGUGUUGGUUGUUGCAUCAAAGAAGACACCACUGUUUUGGUUGGUGCUCUUCUUAUCUUGGGCGAUCGUGUAAAAUGUAUUCCCAUUUAUCUGGUACCCUUUGAAAGUCAUUAUAUUCGAAGAUGGUAACUGGGACAGCGAGUACAUGUCAUUUUGAAUAUCGCCAUCAUUCAGGGCAGGUUUCUGCAACCAACCGGCGAAAGUCCUCGUUUGUUCGCGUGUAAUCCAGUCGUCAGACUUCUCCGGGUGUUUGGACUGUAGAAAAUUCUUGUGUUCCUCCAUAUACGGAGCCACCAAGGCGGAAUUCUGUAGAACUGUGUAGUGUGCUUCAGUGAGAGAAUGCCCGUCCAUACAUAUUAUUUGAUGCCCUCCUAGCGUGCCUUUUCCUUCCAGUCUGCCCUUAUGCCGCGAUUCAGGAACACCAAUCGGCUUAAGGUCAGGAAUGAAGUCAAUACAAAACUCAAUGACCUCCUCAUUUUCAUGGCCCUUCGAGAUGCUUCCUUCUGACCUAGCACGGUUAUGAACAUAUUUCUUCAAGACUCCCAUGAACCUUUCAAAGGGGAACAUAUUGUGUAGAAAUACAGGACCCAAAACGUUAAUCUCUUCGCAAAAGUGAACUAGGACGUGCGUCAUGAUGUUGAAGAAGGAUGGUGGGAACACUAACUCGAAACUGACAAGACAUUGCACCAAAUCAUUUUGUAACCUUGGUAUGAUUUCUGGAUCGAUUACCUUCUGAGAGAUUGCAUUGAGGAAUGCACAUAGCUUCACAAUGGCUAAUCGAACGUUUUCCGGUAGAAGCCCCCUCAGUGCAACCGGAAGGAGUUACGUCAUAAUCACGUGGCAGUCAUGAGACUUUAGGUUCUGGAACUUUUUCUCUGUCAUAUUUAUUAUUCCCUUUAUAUUCGACGAGAAGCCAGAUGGUACCUUCAUGCUGAGCAGGCAUUCGAAGAAGAUUUCCUUCUCUUCUUUGGUAAGAGCGUAGCUGGCCUGACCCUAAUGUAUGCCGUCUUUUCCGUGCAUACGUUGCUGGUCCUCCUGUGCCUCUGGUGUAUCUUUUGUCUUCCCAUACACGCCCAAAAAGCCAAGCAGGGUCACGCAAAGAUUCUUCGUUACGUGCAUCACGUCGAUUGCGGAGCGGACCUCUAGGUCUUUCCAAUAUGGCAGGUCCCAAAAUAUAGAUUUCUUCUUCCACAUGGGUGCGCGUCCGUCAGCGUCCUUCAGAACAGGUUUUCUGCCAGGACCCUUUCCAAAGAUUACCUCCAAAUCCUUUACCAUAUCAUGUACAUCAGCACCAGUACGGUGGCGAGGCUUCGUCCGGUGGUCCGCCUCACCUUUGAAAUGCUUGCCUUUCUUUCUUAAGGGAUGCCUUGUCGGAACAAAUCGAUGAUGUCCCAGGUACACAUUCUUCCUACAACUAUCCAAAUAUAUACUGUCGGUAUCAUCCAAACAGUGCGUGCAUCCGCGGUAUCCCUUGUUUGUCUGUCCUGAAAGGUUACUGAGAGUAGGCCAAUCAUUGAUGGUCAUGAACAGCAACGCCUUUAGGUAAAAUUCUUCCUGUCCGUACUCAUCCCACGCACGUACACCUGUUCCAUUUCACAGCUGUAAUAGUUCUUCAACUAAUGGCCUUAGGUACACAUCAAUGUCGUUGCCAGGUUGCUUAGGGCCUUGGAUGAGCACUGGCAUCAUAAUGAACUUCCGCUUCAUGCACAACUAAGGAGGAAGGUUAUACAAACAUAGAGUCACAGGCCACGUGCUAUGGUUGCUGCUCUGCUCCCCAAAAGGAUUAAUGCCAUCUAUGCUUAGACCAAACCAUACGUUCCUUGGGUCACCUGCAAACUCCUCCCAGUACUUUCUCUCGAUUUUUCUCCACUGCGAACCCUCAGCGGGUACUCUCAACUUUCCGUCUUUCUUACGAUCUUCUGCGUGCCACCGCAUCGCCUUCGCAUGCUCUUUGUUUUGGAACAAACGUUUCAACUGUGGUAUUAUAGGAGCAUACCACAUCACCUUGGCAGGAAUCUUCUUCCUGGGGCGCUCGCCCUCGACAUCACCAGGGUCAUCGCGACUGAUCUUAUAACGCAAUGCACCGCAUACCGGGCAAGCGUUCAAAUCCUCGUACUCACCACGGUAGAGGAUGCAGUCAUUAGGGCAUGCAUGUAUCUUUUACACCUCUAACCCUAGAGGGCAGACAGCCUUCUUUGCUUCAUACUUACUCUCGGGCAAUUCGUUGUCCUUUGGAAGCAUAUUCUUUAUCAUUACCAACAACUUUCCAAAUCCCUUGUCAGAUACACCAUUCUCUGCCUUCCAUUGCAGCAAUUCAAGUGUGGUGUCCAACUUUUUUUUUGUCAGCUUCGCAAUUCGGGUACAACAAUUUCUUGUGAUCCUCUAACAUGCGCUGCAACUUCGUCCUCUCCAGAUCGCUUGCAUAGUUUCUCUUUGCAUCGGCAAUGGCCCGACCUAGAUCAUCAGCGGGCUCAUCUGAUGCCUCUUCUUCAGCUUCUUCACGCAUUGCCGGCUCAGCUUCUUCCCCCAUUGUUGUAUCAUCGUAUUCAGGGAACGCAUGGCCAGGAUAGCCAUCCUCGUCCUCUUCUUCUUCAUUGUCUUCCAUCAUAACCCCUAUUUCUCCGUGCUUGGUCCAAACAUUAUAGUGGGGCAUGAAACCGGACUCAAAUAGGUGGACGUGAAUGGUUCUUGACGUAGAGUAACUGUGACCAUUCUUACAGCCAGCACAUGGACAAGGCAUAAAACCAUCCGCCCGCUUGUUUGCCUCAGCGGCAAGCAGAAAAGUAUGCACGCCAUUAAUGAACUCGGGAGAGCAUCGGUCAUCAUACAUCCAUUGUCGGCUCAUCUUCAUUAAACAACACCGAAUAGACUGAAUUAAUACAAGUUCAUACAUAAAGUUCAUACAUAAAGUUCAUAUACAGCACUUAAUUAAAUGCAACAUACAAAUAACUCUCUAGCUAAAGAAUUUAAAUGCAACAACAAAUGCCAUAAAGAUCACAACUAAGGUAACAAUUGAUCCAACAGCAUAAUGAUACCAAGCCACACUAUCAAUGGCAUAUUUUCUAAUCUUUCUAAUCUUCAACCUCAUUUUCUCCAUCUUGAUCUUGUGAUCAUCGACGACAUCGGCAACUUGCAACUCCAAUUCCAUCUUCUCCCCCUCAAUUCUUUUCAACUUUUCUUUCAAAUACUCGUUUUCUCUUUCAACUAAAUUUAACCUCUCGACAAUAGGGUCGGUUGGAAUUUCCGGUUCACAUACCUCCUAGAUAAAAAUAUCUAUGUCAACUUGAUGGGCAUAAUUAGUCAUAAACACGAAAUGCAACAAGUAGUUUUAAAAGAGAAUAUACCACAUCCGAAUCAUAACAAGGACGAGGGACGACGGGGACGGAUAUCAAAACCAUGGCACUAUGUAUAACAAUCAACGUACGGGUAAGAUAAUUAUACGAUUAACUAUAUAUCCAAAUCACACAAACAUCAAUUUGGUAAUGUAAAACAUUCAUGAACAAGAGCCUCACCACAAGGUGGUGCCGGCGACGGGACGGUGCGGGCGAUCGACGGUGGUUACGACGGAGAUUUAGAAGGAACUAAGUAAACCACACCUACAUAUGCAAACUAAGUGUUAUUUUUGACCUCAAAUUGCAUAUAAAUCAAACACUAGCAAAUAUAAUUCCUCCCAAAUUAAUAACUAUACAAAGCAUUGCAAGAGCUAAUCUAGCAAUGAGAGUUGAAAGGACAAAGUUGCUAACCUUUGUGAUUAUUUGAAUGGAUGGGGGCCUUCAAAUCUUGACAAAAUUUUGGGAAAAAUGUGUGAUGAGCUCGAUAGGAAGAGGGGAAGAACAGAGGAGGAGAGGGGAAAUGGGAAGAACAGAGCGAGCUCGGGUGGACGAAGGGUUUAUGUAGGUCGACCUUUAGUACCGGUUCGUGCCACGAACCGGUACUAAAGGUGCUGGACGGGCACCAGACUGACAACACACUGCCACCAUCCUCUUUAGUACCGGUUCGUUCCACGAACCGGUACUAUAGGUUCGCCACGAACCGGUACUAAUGAGAACGGCCGGCUAGCCGUUGGAACCGGCACUGAUGGACACAUUAGUGCCGGCUCAAAACCAAACCGGCACUAAUGUGUCUCAUAUUAGGUGCUUUUUCUACUAGUGGGGGCUAUGUGGUGGCGGUGAUGCCCCUUAGUAGGAAUGAUGUCUCCCACAUUCUACCCACGUACGGAUGGUGUGUCUAGCAUCGUUGGAGGGCGUGUGGAGGUGUGUCUAUGCGGAUCUCGCGGGAUUUGACCGGUGCUGGUCUUCGGUGGAUCUAUUUGGAUCUGGUCUUUGUCUUUGUCUGGGUGUUUACAUGUUUGAUUUUUCGGAUCUAUGACUUUCUUCAUCAUCGAUGGUUGCUACUCUGGUGCGCUGGUCAUAUGGGGCAUUAGCACGAGUGCACGAUGACUUCCGAACUGUUUACUAUAACAAGGUUUGCCUAGCUCCGCUGAAGGAGGAGCGAAUGACGGUGGUGUGUCUUCGGCUCUCUCCAAUGCUUGUAGUCAUCGCUAAGUGGUCCACGGAUAUGACUGAAAUUUUUAUUACCUCUAUUGUUCUUUGUACUGCCAUGAUUAAAGAUAAAUAGAGUGGAAGUUUCUCGCAAAAUAAAAUUUAAAGCAAAUAGUACAAAAUAGAAAUAAUAGGGUGAUCACAUGACGUGUGGUUCCUAGUUUUGUAAAAAAGAGAGCUUAUUUACGAUUCUUAAGGAAAAGUUGAAAAAAGGAAAGAAUUGCAAGUUAAAAGGAGAAUAUGUUGGCAAAUAGUGAAACAGAAGCACCUUGUUAUGCUAAUCAUGUCAAUUUUAGCAAGGAAGGGAAGCUAAAAUAUUCUUGUUCAACAAAAAACACAAUAACCAAAAUUAAUAAUUGUUUCAUGUAUGAGUAUAACCUCUCGCAAAUCUAUUUGCUUGGCUACAUGCCUACAGAAAAAAGAAGGAUCUUUUGUAUAAAGGGUGGAUUUAAUUGACUCAAAAGGAAGCAACAAGAGGAUACAAACACAACAAGCACACACCCGACCUCUAUAUUACUAGGAUGCACACAAUCAACAAUACACACACGCAAAGAAUUAAGUUGACAAAAAGAGCAAAAUCAUAUUAGAUUGUAUAUAGGCCUAGGUGGACUGAAUGCUGGAAACUCAAAACAAUGAUCGACGAACUAAAGAAUGACCACCUACAACAGCCAUCUCUUGGACAACACAAGGACAAUGUAAAGGUUCUCCGGCAGCAACACCUCCAAGAAGGGAAUGAUGCUCAUAGACCAUGUCAUUGGAUCCGACCACCGAAGGCCAGUGGCGGAGCGUAAUGAGCAAACAAGGGGGUGGGGGCAACCUCAAACUCAAAGUAAAAUAUGUGCAAAAACACAUGCAUCUCACUGUCUCAUAACAAAAUAUUGCUUUCUCUCAGUUACUUGCAGUUUUUCUCCUGUCUCCUUCAAAUAUCGGCAAUCGGCAGGCGGCAAUGGUGCACAUCAAGUAGAAGCAAAGCCUGUUGCAAUCCAUCGAUUCGUGUUGCGCCUCUGCCAUUCUUGCCGAGAGACUCCGCCGAGAGAGUCGAUUCAUCUAAUCGAUCAGCCCAUGUCAAGUUCACGUGCAGGUGUAGAUACGUGUGCUGGUGCUUGUUACAAUGCAACUUGUAUUACUAGGAGGUCAAAGCCACCAUAUAUAUAAUGUAUAUGAGGAUGCCAAAAGUCAAGAAUACGCUGAAGACCCUAUAGGAGACAACAUCACAGAGAGACGAGCACCAAGCACCGAGCGACGAUGCAUGUGCGAGACGGGAUCAAUAUAGGGAACACUGUCAGAAGUCGGCGAGCAGCGACACAGAUGCAGGGACGGAAACCUCAUAUCCAUUUUUAUCUCUCUAUUUUUUUACACUCAGAAACAACCAAUGGAAUCGACCCAAAAUAACGGAAUCAAUAGGCCGAACGAAGUAUUAGCGCUCACGCGCGAGGCAGAUAGCCAGCGGGUUGACUCCAAAAGUAGGAGCGAAGACCAGGGUGCUUGAUCCAUAGGACAAGAACGGCACCCCCUCGAUCGAGGGCGGCCGAAUCGUGAGCGGGUCCCAAUCUAGGCUUCAAAGGGCGGCCGGGUGUCCAGAGGACACCCACGACUGGAGCCGCCAGCAGGGUGUGGACAAGGCGCCCUCGCCUGGAGCCAGAGGUGGCCGCGACGGGAGGUGGGAACGGCGGCCUCAAUGAGAGGGGGAGGCGCCACGGCCAUGGCGGGAGGUGGAGUCGGCGACCUCGGCAGAGGGUGGAGGUGCGGCGGCCGCGGCGGGAGGUGGAGGCAGCGUCCUCGGCGGGAGGUGGGCACGGCGGCCUCGGCGAGAGGUCGUGGCGUGGCAGACGUGGCGGGAGGUGAAGGCGGCAACGUCGAUGGGAGGUGGGAGGUAGAGGCGCGGACCUAGGGUAGAUCGACGAGAGAGCCGCCGGAUCGGACUGGUCUAGAGCAGAGAAAAACUGCAACUACCGGAAAAAAAGCGACGGCAGCGUGCGAGGUUAGAUCAGGAGGCGAGUUACAACGCAAAAAAAAACUCUAAACCUAGGCUCGAUACCAUGUUAUAAUGCAACUUGUAUUACUAGGAGGUCAAAGCCACCAUAUAUAUAAUGUACAUGAGGAUGCCAAAAGUCAAGAAUACGCUGAAGACGCUGUAGGAGACAACGUCAUAGAGAGACGAGCACCAAGCACCGAGGGACGACACAUGUGCGAGACGGGAUCAAUAUAGGGAACACUGUCAGAAGUCAGCGGGCGGCGACACAGGGACGGAAACCUCAUAUCCAUUUUACUCUAUUCUUUUACACUCAGAAACAACCAGUGGAAUCGACCCAAAAUAACAAAAUCAAUAGGCCGAAUGAAGUAUUAGCGCUCACACGCGAGGCAGAUAGCUAGCGGGCUGACUCCAAAAGCAGGAGCGGAGACCAUGGCGCUCGAUCCAUAGGACGAGAACGGCACCGCCCCGAUCGAGGGCGGCCGAAUCGCGAGUGGGUCCCGAUCUGGGCGUGCAAGGGCGGCCGGGUGUCCAAAGGGCGACCUCACCUGGAGCCGGUGGUGGCCGCGACGGGAGGUGGGCACAGCGGCCUCGAUGAGAGGUGGAGGCACGGUGUCCGCGGCGGGAGGUGGAGGCGGCGACCUCGGCGGGAGGUGGAGGCGCGGCGGCCGCGGCGGGAGGUGGAGGCGGCGACCUCGGCGGGAGGUGGGCACGGCGGCCUUGGCGAGAGGUGGCGACGUGGCAGACGCCGCGGGAGGUAAAGGCAGCAACCUCGACGGGAGGUGGGAGGUGGAGGCGCAGACCUGGGGCAGAUCGGCGAGAGAGCCACUGGAUCGAACUGGUCUGGAACAGAGAAAAACAUGAACCAUCAGCAAAAAAGUGACAGUUGGAUCAGGAGGCGAGUUACAAUGCAAAAAAAAAAACUCUGAACCUAGGCUCGAUACCAUGUUAUAAUGCAACUUGUAUUACUAGGAGGUCAAAGCCACCAUAUAUAUGUUGUACACGAGGAUGCCAAAAGUCAAGAAUACAAAAGGGCAAAGGCCACCAUCAAUCUUUCCCGAAUAAUAAUAAAGUGCUUGUCCUCAGCCUUUUUGCAAAAUAGUUCCCUCAUUUCUGAGAAAUUAACCCUUAGUCCUACUUAAAGUGUGUUACUGAUGGAUAGCGUUACGUUUUNNNNNNNNNNAACUCUGAACCUAGGCUCGAUACCAUGUUAUAAUGCAACUUGUAUUACUAGGAGGUCAAAGCCACCAUAUAUAUGUUAUACACGAGGAUGCCAAAAGUCAAGAAUAUAAAAGGGCAAAGGCCACCAUCAAUCUUUCCCUAAUAAUAAUAAAGCGCUUGUCGUCAGCCUUUUUGCAAAAUAGUCCCCUUGUUUCAGAGAAAUUAAUCCUUAGUCCUACUUAUAGUGUGUUACUGAUGGAUAGCGUUACAUUGUUUUGCAAAAAAAAAACUGCCACCACCGGCCACCUCCACCACUUAUCCAUUGCUUGCCUCCACUGGACCGCCAGGCGUGCCCUGCCGCUUGCCACUGGCGUCAACGCUGCAGAAGCCAAGGCAGGGAUGCGUCGCAGCGAGUGUCCACGCCGCUCGAGCCCGGGAAUGGGGCAAGGCGUUGUAGAGCGUGGCAGACCGAGGCGUCGCGGUGGGCGUUGUAGAGCGCGGCAGACCGAGACGUCGCCGUGGGCGUUGGAGGGCGCGGCGGACUGAGGCGUCGCCCGAUUCCUGGUGCACCAUCAAUAUAACUUUAACGGUGCUAUUAUAGAUCAAUCCAGGUGCUUAUGUGCUAGCUCUUGCACGUACGUACAUACAGCUCAUGUGGUGAUUUGAUCUAGUGGUCUAAAAAUCAACAAGGAGAAGAGACGAGCGCGUCCGUGUGUUUGUGGAACCUGGGAGGGAGGAGUUUAUUCUUGAGUNNNNNNNNNNCCCCCUUUGGCCUCCAUGAGCCCCCGCUAGUGCCGAAGGCCACAUUCUAGGUUUUCACCUUGAAAAUCAAGUCAAAGCAACUUUAAGCAAUGCAUUAAAAAAUGUAACGACAAAUGACCCAAAAACACUGUCAUUGCUAGGUAUAGCCCACUAGAGUUAGACCUAGGGUUUUUACCUCGAGACUCAAGAUUAGGUACUCGAGAAGCACCACUAAAUUGAAGACAUCCUAUUUUUUCACCAUAACUUGCCAUGAUCCUAGUAACUAUACACAUGCACAAUUUUAACGAGUGAAGCCACACAAAUAAUGACCAUGCCCGCACAAGCAGGCAGUCAAACUGUGACAAGAGUUAGUUGCCACCAAAGGCUCAAAAUGGCAAAGGAAACUAUCAUACAUACAAUAAAGAUUGACGAGGGAGGAAGGUCACCGACGCUACCAAACUUCCACUUUGGGAUGCUCCGACAUCCCCGAACCUUCCUCAUGAAUGACAUUCGGUGGCAGAUCCACAUAGCACCAUUAAAUUAGAUGGAGCUACAACGAUGUUCACAUCACAUUUAUCAGAGCCUCACAUUAGCUAUCAUAUAAACAUUUUUUUACCAACCACGCCAUUAAAGAAUGUAUGAACAUUCCACCUUGACAAACAAUGACUCCAACAAAUGUGCACACAAUAGAUUCGUAAGCCUAGAGAAAGUAUGAAGGAAUAAAUGUCCAACAGUUAAACAUAUGGAAUCCAACAUUAAAGAUUAUACUAUAUAAUUCUUAAUGGGAAAGGGCAGAAGGACACCACAUCUUCCUUUGAGGUAGAUUCUCUUGCAAUAAGAUUAAUGCAGCCGUUUGUAGCAUAUUGCUUACUGAACCGCCAACCUCUACCAUCCUACUUGUUGAGGUCGCAUGAAGGCAAGAGGAGGUGGGGACACACAACUAACAUACCCUAUGCAAGAUGAUGUAGAGAGGAGCGAGAGAGGAUGGCCGCGAACCAUAUGGGCUGGAGGAUAUGCACGAGGAUGAUAUGGUGAUGCAAGGGAGAGAGGCAGCACAUGAGAAGCAAGAGAGGAAGGAGCUAGGUUUUGUUGAUGAGUUGGUAGUUGGUAAACUAUGAUUUAAUUGUCAAUGAGAUGCAAUCAUAUCCUCUAUUUGCAUCUCAUAAACGGAUCCAACUAAUAGGAAAAGGGCCAUUGACGUAGAGUCGUUUGGUAGCCUGCACAGUGGUAGAUGGACUGCAUGUAGAAGGAAUCUUUUGCUUCAAGCGGUGUUUAAAUGCUCGGAUUGCAUUAGAUUCUUGUAUUACACGUUGUUUCAAGCACUUCCCGGGCAGGAGGAAAGACCGAAUCAGUCGUUUCCACUAAUGCAGGCUCAUGCAGACGACAAGGUGAGAAAGAUUCUCUCCUUUUCCCUGCCAGGCUGCAUCCUCCUCUCACAACGCAUGCGGGAAGUCGCCGUUACCAAACAAGACACCAUGCGUACUACCAAACCCCACUAACCACCAUGGAGGGGCCCAAACUACAUGCUUAGAUCGUUUUUUGCAUCAUUUUUUCUCUACCAAACCCUGACAAGUUUGACUCGUUUCCCUCAUGCAGCCCGAUGCAAUUGCUGUUGUCUACCAAAUAGCCCCUUAGUGCUGCUUUAGGUGAUGAGUUCUACCACCACAUAUAACUAUACCAAUGUUUGGCCAUUCUAUCACACUAAAAUAAUGCGAGGUGGCUGCAUUGCUUUGUCUAGUAGAUCCACGCCUUCCAAUACAAACUGAUGUACUAUCCUUUGAGCAUGGUUAAUAAUAUAGCCAGUUGUUGGCUAUAACUAGUUGCCAUGUCAUCUAUAUCCAAUGUAAUAGGUAACACGUAUAAUACUUGGCUUUAAAAAAGUACUACUUCGUCAACACAUGGCCCAUCUUUCACUUUCACAAACCUUCUCGGAGUUUAUGCGACAGCCCGCUUCUCUUUUCUCUCUUCCAACUGAACAACAAUAUAAUAUUUAUAUCCUUACAGUCUGAUUACGUCAUCUUAUUAUACUUGCUCUUACAUUGUUGUAGACCUAUUGUUAUAGCUUGUCUCUUGGCAUCAACAUGAAUGUUCAUGCAAGAUUGAAAAGAAGAAAAUUUCCUUGAUUAUCAAAAAAAGCUAAAAGAAGUCCUUUGAACACUCAGUGCUUCAGCCACACGAGCACCGGAGUUUUGUUUUCCUUAGCAAAACACUAAUGGCCCAUCCCGCAACCCACUGAUGGCCCAAACCCUAACGGAAGAAAACCGAAGUCCCUUGCCUGUGGCCAUAUGUUUGAAUCUCCUUGCUCCUGGCUUGAGGAUCGAUGAAACCACCGACCAUCUUGCGCCGCCAUGUUCGUUCCGUCGGAUCGCUCCCAUUUCCACUCAUGAAGGUCGUGUCUCAACUCCUCAACGUGUGUCCGGUAGGCAAUGCAGCAACAUCCGUCCACCAUCGCAAACUCCUUCACCGAUACCCUGACCCCCUCUCUAUCUUCUUUCGUUGCAGGUCUUCCUGUCCUCCCCACGACGGCAUAGCGGCCGAGUGGCUCGCCGAAGAUCUUCUUGUCGAGAUCCUCUCACGUGUCUCGACAAGGUCCCUAUGCUGCUUCAAGUGCGUCUCCGACCAUUGGCUCAGCCUCAUCCACCACCCCGAUCACCCACAGGAAGCUCCCUCAAACCCUAGCCAGAUUCUUCUACACUAGGAGUGACAACGGGCAGUUGCCUCUGGAAACACAAGUCCGCUUCGCCGGUGUCUCUGGGAAAUGCUGUCCUCCAGUCGACACCUCUUUCACCUUCCUUUGCAGCCACCGACGCGUCGAUCUACUCGGUUACUGCAAUGGCCUCCUCCUCUGUCGCUGGUACGACGUCUCUGCUCCAGAUGAUGAGUUCUGCUAUAUUGUGUGUAAUCCUGCCAGGGAGGAGUGGGUCAAGUUGCCGGACAUCAGUCAAGCUGACAAUGUGCGAGCACUGCAUUUGGGUUUCCAUCCGGCUGUGUCUGCCCACUUCUAUGUGUUUGCGUUGCUGGAGGAUGUCCAUUUUAUCUUCUACCUUGCCGAAGUGGAAGUGUACUCACCGGAAACCAGAAAGAUGGGUUUACAAGGAAAUUGGAUGGUACAAAAGAAUUAAGCUUCCUGCUUGGCAGUCUGAUGCUGUCUUCCUCAACGGCUGCUUGCAUUUUUAUGACUCUGGCAAAUGUUCACCGUUUAUAUACGUGUGGUGGACACGGAGGAAAAAUCAUGGCCGAACCUUGGUAUCCCUGGUAAGCUGUAUGGUGGUUUUAUUCGGCAGUCACAGUGCCGUUUGCAUUAUGCCAAUUUUAAGAAAGAUCACCAUGGUGAGGUGGUUCGACUAGUGGUCUAUGUUCUCGAUGACUAUGACAACAAAGAACGGAUAUUGAAGCAUAGUGUUGAAGCUUCAGAUAUAUCUGGAGCGACAAAUGUUACUGAUUCUGAUCGGUUUACAAUUCAUUCAGUUAUUCCCGUUGGAUUGCGAUUCAUCCGCAAUGUAACUUGAUCUUCUUCACCAUGGGGUCAGCUUUCACAUUAAUGUGCUAUAAUAUGGACCUUCGGCAAGUCAAAGUGAUUGGCAAUCAUGAUGGCUAUCCACGUGUACUAUAUGUGCCAUUGUAUGUAUUUCUGCUUGGAUUUGGUUCUCGUUUUCUUGGCUGAUGUAUGCAUGCUUUUUGUUGGGAAACGCAGUAGAAAACAAAAAAAAAUCGCACCUACAAUCAGCAACAUCAAUAUGAAGAUGCAUCAAUGAUCAAUGAGUGUCAUGCAACAUAAACUCGUAUCUUCCAUUUUAAGUUGGGGAAAAUCAUAAGCAUCUUAUUGACAAAGAACUAGCCAAUGAUUGCUUGUCUUUUACUCGCAUAUGUCUGAAAUAGUUUACCUUUGCUCUUAUAUAUGUCUUAGUUGAUCAUGAAACACUUUGGAUGAAUAUGGUGUCACUUCUGUUGAUGCUAAUUACUUUUGUUGCAUGUUUUGAAUAGAAAAUGUCAUUAGCAGAACAUCAAUAAUCUGUGAUUGGAUUAUAAUGUUGAUUCUUUUGCUAGACAAGUUCGUUACUCUAAAACUGAAGACAUCCAGUUUGCCGGUGACUUUUGUUGAGAUGGGCAUUUGAACAAGGUCUGGAAGAAGAAAUGUCAUGUCCCUUUUCAUGGUAGUUUCACUUAUUUCCUGUCAAAGAAAAAGUGUUAAUUCUAGUUGUAUGGUCAGCAUUUUUUGCAACAUGCACCCCACUAUCCCAAUGCAAAUAUGUAGUGUUGACUUUGGACGCCCUGUAACACAAACAACAAGUGGCUGUCGCUGUAUUUUUUUUUUUUUGAAAUAACAAGUGUUUGUUCUACUUCUACCAUGUCUGCUUAUAUGUUUUCAGAUACAAGUAAAUGAACCACGAACAAGAGUGAAAGACGGCACCAUCUGUAAAUAGCAUACCUUGGAAAAAAAAUUAUCUUCCGGUUUCUCUCCCGUUUUGUAAACGAGUUUGUCUCCCAUUUUUCACACAGGGCAAGGAUAUCAGCCUCGAGCCUCCAAGACAAACUGAAACCAACCCUGCCAUUUGUCAUUUGCUCCCUUCUCUGUAUCAGGGACAGCGCCAGUGUUUAUGAAGAGAUUGAUCUGAUUAGAAGGAAGGUUUGGCUGUAAGAAGACACUCUCUGGAGUCUAGACAUGUAGAAUUUUUGUUUUCCGAACAGAAAGUGCUCCAGACGACUAAAAGAGUGUCGUUCACUUUCCGAAGUACUUCAGUCAGUACGUACAGCGUUUCAUCGUCAUUUCUGAAACAAAAAGUACAGAAUGAAACCUGCACCUUUGUCGUGCCCCUCUCAUUUGCUUGCCUCACGGUGUCGUAGACGGCGCUGUUGUUCAGGAGGAACGAGAUUGUUUCUCCCUUUGUUGUUCGCGGUUUAAAAGUGGAUGGAUGUAGGAGGGCACUCUUGUGCACAUAAGGAUGUUCAUAAAUCUAUGGGAGCUCAAAAUAUCAGUAAUAAGCUUGGGUUCGCUCGCUUCUGACCAUACAUAUGAAUUGUGGCAGCCGGCUAGCAAGGAAUCUAUGGGCCAAAACCCACUUCUUUUCAGUUUCUGAAUCUACAAACCUAGAACCAGCUGAGGAAUCUGAAAAGAACUAGCCAUAUGUUGUGGAAGGCGCUGGUCGCUGAUGACCUGGUUAAUUAGGCCAGCACAACUACCAUCUCCCUACAUGAAAUAACACAUCCACAAGCAAAGAAAAAACCUCUUUCUGUAUCCUUCUCUCCUUCGCUAGAUUCAGACAGAAGAGAGAGGGCUGUCGCCCAGGGAGAUAUUAGUACAAUGCUGCCGUGAGGUUUAGCCCAAUAUAUUUGUGUAUAUUCCUACUUUUAUGUUUUUUGGGGUUGAUUUUUUAAAGGGGUCUAGUGGAAAUGUGACAUGUACGGUUUAGCCCAAUAUUACCAAUGACGGCCCAUUAGCCAUCCCUGUCGCUGUACGUUUAAAUCCCCUCCCCCGCCCCCUAGGUUUCAUCGCCCCGCUGCUCCGCGUUUGACGGCGCUGCCGCCGCCGCCAUGUCCACACCGGUGGAUCGAGCUCGCCCGUGGGAGGANNNNNNNNNNNNNNNNNNNNNNNNNNNNNNNNNNNNNNNNNNNNNNNNNNNNNNNNNNNNNNNNNNNNNNNNNNNNNNNNNNNNNNNNNNNNNNNNNNNNNNNNNNNNNNNNNNNNNNNNNNNNNNNNNNNNNNNNNNNNNNNNNNNNNNNNNNNNNNNNNNNNNNNNNNNNNNNNNNNNNNNNNNNNNNNNNNNNNNNNNNNNNNNNNNNNNNNNNNNNNNNNNNNNNNNNNNNNNNNNNNNNNNNNNNNNNNNNNNNNNNNNNNNNNNNNNNNNNNNNNNNNNNNNNNNNNNNNNNNNNNNNNNNNNNNNNNNNNNNNNNNNNNNNNNNNNNNNNNNNNNNNNNNNNNNNNNNNNNNNNNNNNNNNNNNNNNNNNNNNNNNNNNNNNNNNNNNNNNNNNNNNNNNNNNNNNNNNNNNNNNNNNNNNNNNNNNNNNNNNNNNNNNNNNNNNNNNNNNNNNNNNNNNNNNNNNNNNNNNNNNNNNNNNNNNNNNNNNNNNNNNNNNNNNNNNNNNNNNNNNNNNNNNNNNNNNNNNNNNNNNNNNNNNNNNNNNNNNNNNNNNNNNNNNNNNNNNNNNNNNNNNNNNNNNNNNNNNNNNNNNNNNNNNNNNNNNNNNNNNNNNNNNNNNNNNNNNNNNNNNNNNNNNNNNNNNNNNNNNNNNNNNNNNNNNNNNNNNNNNNNNNNNNNNNNNNNNNNNNNNNNNNNNNNNNNNNNNNNNNNNNNNNNNNNNNNNNNNNNNNNNNNNNNNNNNNNNNNNNNNNNNNNNNNNNNNNNNNNNNNNNNNNNNNNNNNNNNNNNNNNNNNNNNNNNNNNNNNNNNNNNNNNNNNNNNNNNNNNNNNNNNNNNNNNNNNNNNNNNNNNNNNNNNNNNNNNNNNNNNNNNNNNNNNNNNNNNNNNNNNNNNNNNNNNNNNNNNNNNNNNNNNNNNNNNNNNNNNNNNNNNNNNNNNNNNNNNNNNNNNNNNNNNNNNNNNNNNNNNNNNNNNNNNNNNNNNNNNNNNNNNNNNNNNNNNNNNNNNNNNNNNNNNNNNNNNNNNNNNNNNNNNNNNNNNNNNNNNNNNNNNNNNNNNNNNNNNNNNNNNNNNNNNNNNNNNNNNNNNNNNNNNNNNNNNNNNNNNNNNNNNNNNNNNNNNNNNNNNNNNNNNNNNNNNNNNNNNNNNNNNNNNNNNNNNNNNNNNNNNNNNNNNNNNNNNNNNNNNNNNNNNNNNNNNNNNNNNNNNNNNNNNNNNNNNNNNNNNNNNNNNNNNNNNNNNNNNNNNNNNNNNNNNNNNNNNNNNNNNNNNNNNNNNNNNNNNNNNNNNNNNNNNNNNNNNNNNNNNNNNNNNNNNNNNNNNNNNNNNNNNNNNNNNNNNNNNNNNNNNNNNNNNNNNNNNNNNNNNNNNNNNNNNNNNNNNNNNNNNNNNNNNNNNNNNNNNNNNNNNNNNNNNNNNNNNNNNNNNNNNNNNNNNNNNNNNNNNNNNNNNNNNNNNNNNNNNNNNNNNNNNNNNNNNNNNNNNNNNNNNNNNNNNNNNNNNNNNNNNNNNNNNNNNNNNNNNNNNNNNNNNNNNNNNNNNNNNNNNNNNNNNNNNNNNNNNNNNNNNNNNNNNNNNNNNNNNNNNNNNNNNNNNNNNNNNNNNNNNNNNNNNNNNNNNNNNNNNNNNNNNNNNNNNNNNNNNNNNNNNNNNNNNNNNNNNNNNNNNNNNNNNNNNNNNNNNNNNNNNNNNNNNNNNNNNNNNNNNNNNNNNNNNNNNNNNNNNNNNNNNNNNNNNNNNNNNNNNNNNNNNNNNNNNNNNNNNNNNNNNNNNNNNNNNNNNNNNNNNNNNNNNNNNNNNNNNNNNNNNNNNNNNNNNNNNNNNNNNNNNNNNNNNNNNNNNNNNNNNNNNNNNNNNNNNNNNNNNNNNNNNNNNNNNNNNNNNNNNNNNNNNNNNNNNNNNNNNNNNNNNNNNNNNNNNNNNNNNNNNNNNNNNNNNNNNNNNNNNNNNNNNNNNNNNNNNNNNNNNNNNNNNNNNNNNNNNNNNNNNNNNNNNNNNNNNNNNNNNNNNNNNNNNNNNNNNNNNNNNNNNNNNNNNNNNNNNNNNNNNNNNNNNNNNNNNNNNNNNNNNNNNNNNNNNNNNNNNNNNNNNNNNNNNNNNNNNNNNNNNNNNNNNNNNNNNNNNNNNNNNNNNNNNNNNNNNNNNNNNNNNNNNNNNNNNNNNNNNNNNNNNNNNNNNNNNNNNNNNNNNNNNNNNNNNNNNNNNNNNNNNNNNNNNNNNNNNNNNNNNNNNNNNNNNNNNNNNNNNNNNNNNNNNNNNNNNNNNNNNNNNNNNNNNNNNNNNNNNNNNNNNNNNNNNNNNNNNNNNNNNNNNNNNNNNNNNNNNNNNNNNNNNNNNNNNNNNNNNNNNNNNNNNNNNNNNNNNNNNNNNNNNNNNNNNNNNNNNNNNNNNNNNNNNNNNNNNNNNNNNNNNNNNNNNNNNNNNNNCAGUGUGUCCGUCUCAAACCGGACAAUGGCCGUUAGUCAUACAUUUAUGUAGUUGCAGUGGACACGAACGGGGAAACAUGGAUGAAAUCCGGUGUCUCUACUAGUUUGGUUGAUGGUUUUACUUCGAGGACAUAGGGUCGUGUUGGAGCUGGGAGUGCAGUGUUCGGCGGUUUGGUGGCACUCUUUCUAGGGCCAUUGCAUGGUCUGAUGUUGGUUGCACCCCUUCGGGCCUAAUCGUCAAACCUCUGCCCCGAGGAGCUGGCAGCAUUCUACGCCGGAACUCCGUCUAAUCCGUCCUGGCAAACGAACUUGAGACAUGUUGAACCGGGGAAAACUGACUGGAAGAAAAAGCGCGAACAUCCAUCCGAGCGUUGCCCCGCGAGGACUAAACCAUAACCUAUCUACUAGCCAGAGCCGAGGCCACCAGGAUUGCCCUCCCCGCCAUCGACCGCCAGAGCGGCAGCCAAAAUGGAGACAUAUCCAUAGGCUUGCCGGGGUAGGCGAGGGAAAGAAGGUUUUGCCUUAAUCGUCUUGUGAGACGAAAGAGAAAAUUAAAUUGUUCUUGUUCCAUCGUCAACCCAUUGUUAUAGCUCAUUUUACGGAAUAAUGCAUUGUUGUUCAGGACUUCUAUUCCCAGGUCACAAGCGAUAUUGAGAACAAGAAAUUUUCCUUGGAAUUAUCAAGAGAAUUUAGAAGGUUAUCUUUUUUUCAGCUGUGUUAGGUCAUUUUGCACUUGUCCAUGUGUGACAAAAGAAGGCAACAAGCUGCUAAUGCGGGCAUGAGAAGGCCCUGAAUGCGUCAGAGUGAUGAAUUGCCGAGAGAGCUUCAUUGUUUAGCCCAUUCGGCGACCAAGUGACGGCCAUUGGCUAACGCAAGAAAACCGAAGUCCGGAGCCUAGUCGCAGUGCUUCAAUACCCUUCUGCCUUAUCGCUACGGCACCACCGCCGCCAUGUCCAUGUCUGCGGAUUGCUCUCGCCCGCGGGAGUAAGUCUACUGUUGGAAAUAAUCCAUACCUAGUCACGUUACUCACGUACUAGUAUGCUACAAUAGUUAAUUAGGAGUACUAGUCGUCAACCCGUGCAUCCGCACGGGGCUAGUCAUUUUGCAAAUGUGUGGAGAUAUUAAUAAUAUACUAUAUACAUGGAUGUUGACAUAUUUUAAAUAUAGAAAAAUAAAAAAUUCAUAAUAUUUUUUUAGAAAAAUAAUACUACUGUGGAAGUACACUAUAUCACAUAUUCAUUAGUCAUGUUAGAGGAAUUUUUUUUGCAAAAGUAGCUAGCAUUAAUAUAUUGAUCCGAUUUUAAGUGAACUGUUGCACUCUCCAAUGUGUUGCAAGAGCCUUAUCUUAGUCAUCACUGUUUUACUUAACCUUAUUAGGUACAAAAAAAUGGAAAAUAUAAAUAGUAGAGAAUCGACAAAUAGUAUGUAGGGCAUGAAUUUCAAAUAUGCAAAUCAAAACGAACAUAAUACAUUAGGAGCCAUUGGAUCAUAUAUGACUUCAAUGAAACAAUCGACCUAUUAUAAAAAUCAAGCAAUAACUUGAAACAUUUCAUCACAUGAUUUUAUAACAUACACCUCGUUUAUUGUCCUUUUUGGCGGUACAAAUGAGCAAUGGAAACCUAAGUAACAGCAGUAUCAUAGCAAUAUCUUUACCAAACUUCGUCCAUUAUUAAUUACAAAUCACCUGGAAAUGAGAAUAUCACAUUAACUAAAUUUGAAACUUUUAUUUCAUUUGUUUGAACUAUUGAGGGUUGGAGGGUACCCUAAUCCUCAGAAAUUUGAACCCCUAAUUGGACUCUCUAAUGCAAACCUUCCUUUUUUGCCAAUGUUUUCACUGCUACUUAGCACAGACCAUCAUAAGCUAAAUACUUCAAUUUUUAUGCAGAUGUAUGAUGAGCAGUGCUAGUAAUUUCAUGAAAAAUGUGUAUGUGAAAAGAACACCUGAAAUUAGUAAAGCGAUGCAUGUUUACUCUAGUGCUCUGAAAGCUUAUUAACCUGGCAGAAUAUGACCAUGCUGCAUUUGAGGGUGACCAUAAUGUUCUACUCUAGCAGUUUAUUUCAUUUAUUGUUGUUUAUUGUCCGUGCCCGUGACUGGAAGAUACGUCAAGAUUGGCUUCAUUGCACCCACUGUUUUAAAUAGCCCGCUAUAGCACGCUAUAGUGUUUACAAAGCGUCUUGCCCUAAGAGAUUUUUGUCCAAACAAAUGAACAAACAUUUUAAAUAGCGCGAUAUAGCUCCGCUAUAGCACGCUAUAGCAUUUGGAAGAGGUCCGCCGCUAAGAUGCUUAGCGCGCUAUUUAAAACUAUGAUUGCACCUAAUUUAAUCGUGUUGACGCAGGUAAGCAAUGCGCUGUUCACCACAAUAAGAAAAUUACCAGGUUAUUCCAGAUGUUCAUUUCUUUAACAUAUCAAGUAUAGCAGAUAUAAGCAAAAGGUUCUGUAGAAAAGCAAAGCAGACAUUAGUUUAUACCAACAUACUUCUAUGCACCUAUAGCAUUCAGAUCUCCAUAGUCGAUACAACCUGAUGAUUUUAAUGCAUUUAAACUAUAUUUUAAGAAUACAUUAUGUAAUUAUACUUGCUAGAAACUUAUGAAAUUCAACUAUUUUGACAGGUUAUUAUCAAGGAAAAGAUUGACAAAAUGUACCGACAGAAAACCAAUCAUCUAUGAUAACAAAAAUUUAAAGGGCUAUUUGUGGAAACGAAAUGUAAAAAAGCAGCAUUAGCAAUGCAUCAAAAUUACAAACCAUCUUAUAACAAAAUAGUACACCACAAAACUUAUGGCCAGAAUAAUCGAGAAAAACGUAUAUCUAUAGUGAUCUUCCAGUGCACCCAAGACUGAAAUAAAAUAGAAGCUAAAGGAACAAAUUUAAUUAGGAGCACAUAGCUAAAUAUACUUCAGUUUUGUAAUCCAAAAAGAUAAAUUUAUCUAAAUGACAAAAAAAGAUAAAUCUUUGCAAGUACAAAAAUUGCAACUUAAUAGCGCACCAGAUAAUAAUCCAAGCAAACUUGUAGGUAUAGCCGAACAUGCUAGCAUUGGCAUCAGAUCAAUGGAUUGGGCAGCGUGUUUCUCCGCCCAGCAAAUAGACAUUGCCAAGCACUCCUAUAUGUUCAGGUCCUCAACGUGAGAAUCUUUAAAGGUGAUUUCCUUACUUUGUUGGGAUAGUACAAUGGUAUCAUAACCAAGCUAGGGAGAUUUUAUAUUUAACCUACAUAUGAUAAUAUAUUGUACUGUAAGUUAGAGUCACAUCCGAUUUAUUUGAAAAGCUUAUUAAGGAGGUAAUAGUAAUUAAUGCAACAACUGCAAAUAGAAAUUGUUUCUCAGUGUUCCUCCUGACUUAUGAACAUGUAUUUAUAUGUUUGCAUCAUCAAAAACCCAGUGGAGCUUAGCACAUCAUUUUUUCCAAGUGAACGUAAAUGUGAGAGCAUAUAUUUGACUGGAAGGCUACUGCUCCAUGCUCGGUGGCAUAUAUUAAUUUAGUGCUACCAUUGGUGUCGCUUCCAAGUAUGAUUUGGCGAGUCAACAUGGGGGUCGUCUUUCUAUAGGACCUGUGUAAUCCUUGCCAUGCCAUCUGGUUAAGUUUUAGCACCCCCGUGUCAAUUCUCCAUAUUCUUGUGUAUAACGUUAUUGGAUGAGCUGUGAAGACCGGUCCAGUUCAUCUGCAUAACUGACGUUAAAGCAAGUAAAAGGCAAGAAAAUAUAAAGAACUAGAGCAAUAGUCAAUAUUUUGGGACGGAGGGAGUACUUUAUUUAAAUAGAUUAUGUCAAAACUAAACUGGAGAAGUAAAAUCCUUUAUAAUCUUAAGAAUACAUACAAUGAAUCAAAAUCUAAAUUCAUCAUUGAUGCCAAUUAAUUAUCAUCUAACUGUCAAUUAAGUGAAUAGUAAAUCUAAUGAAGACAUUUUUUCAAGGUUUUCAUAUAUACUAAGGAUGAAUGCACGGUACAUACCUAUUGGACGUGAGGGAGAGGUUGAGAUAACCAAAAGGAAUAAAUAUGUGGGUCAACUUAGAAAACAAAACAUAGCUUCACCUGCACUAGUGCAGAACCGGGCAAUAGCACCGGUUCGUAAGGCCCUUUAGUGCCGGUUCCAUAACCGGCACUAAAGUGUGGUCACUAAAGCCCCCCCCCCUUUAGUACCGGUUCUGCACGAACCGGUGCUAAAGGGAAACCACGUGGCACGAGCCAGCUCCGGGGGCCUGGAGCCCUUUAGUACCGGUUGGUAACACCAACCGGUACUAUAAGGUUUGGGGGGUUUUUAGUUUUUUAUGAUUUCUUUUUCAUUUAAUUUUGUGUUUCCAUUUUAAUUCUUUUUCGUUUGCUGGUAUUUUACGAUACUACACAUUAUAAACGUUAUGCAUAUAUAAUUUCUAGUAGAACCAAUCAUCGAGUUCAACAUGAUUGUCAUGAUAUUAUAAGCGUUCAUAUAUAACACCACAAAAAGCAAAUCACUUAAGUUCAGAACGAAGAACACGGACAUGAAAGGCCAAGUACUAAUUAAGAGCAGCAUGAAGAACUAGCUAAAUCACUCCUGCUAGCUACUCUCUCUCUGGUAAAAUAGCAUAGAACAUGUAUAGCUCUCCUGAUUGAUCAUACUGGAGCAUGCCGAUGAACCUGUCUCCUAAUCGUGGGCUGCGCUUCUCAUUGCUGCCCCCUAGUACUUCUCUGCGAUCAUUAACAAUUUUCCUUCAAUCUUUCACUAUUAAGCAUUCAUCGCUUCUAGAAAUCCUGAAUGCAUUCAUGUGCAAUGUAGGAUAUCUUGGCCUUAAGCUAACAAUUAACAUCUGACCUUUAGUCUCGAUCCCCUGAGGCACAACUGUCAUCGAGAGUCCCUGUUGAAGAACAUCGUAUAGUACUUAAUUAAUAUACUCAGCAAUGAAAGUUUUAAAAAAAUAUGUAUGCAAAAUAUGCACUGAGGACAAAUAGUAAAUAUCUUACCAUCAUUCCUAAAUAGAUGUGACCGUAGUUCAAUACCAUCACUAUUGGUCGCACGUUUUGAGUAUUAACAUUUCCAAGUGCAGCAAAAAAAUUUGUCUUGACAGUAUGAAGAUCCUCAAGCCAUGAAACAUAAUGACUUAUCUCCUCGCAGUUUAGUUCAGCUCCGGGACAGUAGAAGGUCCUGUGUACCAAGCGCCGGACAUGUUUGGUUGAAUGGAGAUAAGCUGUCAAUAGAAAUUAGUUGUCAGUUAUUUUUGAAAUAAGCAAUAUCAAAGACAAAAAUAUAUUUGAGAAGAACUCACAUAAUGGUAGAACUGGAGGCGUCUGCACAUCGACCCAUAUGUCUCUAUUACCUUCAAUAUCAUCUUCCAGACGAAUAUCAAAGGUGAUAACCAUACCAGGCUCAAAUGCAUAAGCCUUGCAUAGUGCUUGCCAAGUUUUGCAUUCAAAAUAGGUGUACGUGUGUGCAUUGUAUACUUUGACGUUGAAAGUAUAACCAUCAUGCUCAGUGUUCAGGUAAGCUCUCUUUACCUCCAUAGUUUCCAUAUCUUUGAAACCUAUCUUAUCCAAGACAAAAAUUCUUGCAUGGCAUGGGAUGCGCUAGUAGAAUAGUGAAAAUUAAAAAUUAUAAGUCAGGCAAAUGAAGCAUAUAUAAGUCAUGCUUAAUUAUGAAAACAGACUUGUUGUUGUGACUUACUGUAUCGAAUUCGAAAGUCUCAUCCAGCUUGAUGCUAAAUCGCUUACCAUCAACAAGGAAAUUUCUGCGCACUGGCCGUGCUCGUCUUCACAGUAUGUGCACAUACCGAAAUUUCUUUCGUCGUCAGAUGACAUUUCCUAUGUUCAUAUUAGGCGAAACAUUAAACACUUACUAAUUCUAUUAAUUCAACUACUUACUAAUUCUAUUAAUUCAACUAAGCAUUUACUAAAAAUAAACUAGUUAUAUUAAUUCAGUUAGUUCAACUAAGCCUUUAGUAAAAAUAAACUAGUUAUAUUAAUUCAAUUAGUUCAACUAAGCAUUUACUAAAAAUAAACUAGUUCUAUAUAUUAAUUCAACUAGUUCAACUAAGCAUUUACUAAAAAUAAACUAGUUCUAUAUAUUAAUUCAACUAGUUCAAUUAAGCAUUUACUAAAAUUAAACUAGUUCAAAUAUAUAUCUAACUAUAAUAUUUUAAUUAGAUAAUCAAAUCUCAGAUACGACAAUUUUCUUACUAAAAAUAAACUAGUUAUAUUAAUUAUUCAACUAGUUUAAAUCUCAUAUACCUAAAUAAACUAGUUCGACAAUUUUCUUACUAAAAAUAAACUAGUUAUAUUAAUUAUUCAACUAGUUCAAAUCUCACAUACCUAGCUAAUUAAUAUCUAAUUAAAUUUUCUAAAAAACAGAAAACAGAAAACAGAAAAUAAGUAAAAAAUGUGUGUGUGUGUGUGUGUAUGUGUGUAGUGUGUGUAUAUGUGUGUAUGUGUGUGUACGCCGCCCCGUACGCCGCCGCCCCAUACGUACGAGCGGGGGCGCCGGCAUACGGGGCGGGGGCGCCGGCGCACGGGUGCGAGAGACGACGUACGGGACCGCGGCGACGACGAUGGACGGCGGCGGCGUUCGGGGCGGCGGUGCGAGACGAUGACGACGACAGGCGGCGGCGAGGACAGCGACGACGACGACGGACAACGGGCGACGGGCGGCGACGACGGUAUCGAGCGGCGCGCGGCGAUGUCGAGAGGUUGGAGACAAAAGUGGGGAGAUGUAACUGAAAUUUUCGUAAGUCCUAUAUAUAUAGGAUGGGCCUUUAGUACCGGUUGGAGCCACCAACCGGUACUAAAGGCUAACUUUGACCAGGCCAAGAGGCGGGAAGAGCAGGCCUUUAGUACCGGUUGGUGGCUCCAACCGGUACUAAAGGGUGAUCUGUAGUACCGGUUGGAGCCACCAACCGGUACUAAAGGCCUCGCGCUGCCACCCCAAAGUUUAGUCCCACCUCGCCGGGCGAAGGGCAGCCGCACUGAUUUAUAAACCCAGCCGCGGCUACCUCUUUGAACUCCUCUAUAUAGCAGGCUUGUGGGCCUAAAUUCUGCGCGCUGCCCUGUGAGUCUGCUGGGCCUUUAAGGCCUCUAAUUGCACGCCCGUGGCCUAGCAGGCCCACAGGGCAGUGCCCCAAUUUUUUUUAUAGUUUUUUUCUUUUCUGCUUUAUUUUCUUCUAUUUAUUUCUGCGUAGUUUUUUGUAUAGUUUUUCUUUUCUGUUAUAUUUAUCUUCUUCUAUUUAUUUCUGAGUAGUUUUUCAUCUAGUUUGCCAAAAUUCACCAUUUUCAGAAUUCAUUUUGUAAUGAUUUUCAAUUUCACAGUCAUUUUAUAUAGUUUUUUUCUUUUCAACUAUAGUUUUUUUUCCUGUUAUUUUUUCUUUUCUGCAAAACUUGAUGGUCAAAGUCUGGAGUUAUAACCAAAGUUAAAAAAAAAAAAAGAAAUGCCGACGUGCAAUUAGUUUUUGCCAUAACAGAAGAAGUCCGGAGUUGUAAUAAGUUAUUAAAAAUAAAAAAGAGGUGCAAUGCUCGUUAAUUUGCUUCAAGCCUUUCGGAAUAGUGUAAACUGCACUGCGCAUAGCUCCGUGCAGUCUACCAUAUUCCUGAAGGCUUCAAGCUAAGCAACGUGAGCAUUGAGCCUCUUCUUCAUCGUCUCUGCACUCAGGGCUUAUAAACCGCUCCUAGUCCCUCUCUCUUCGCGAGGUGGGACUAAAAAACAGCUUACUAAGAAACUGUAGUACUGGUUCAUCCAUGAACCGGUACUAAAGGUGCUCGUGCGGCCCCAGCUAUCCUUACCUGACACAAUCUCAUUAGUACCAGUUCGUGACACGAACCGGUGCUAAAGGUUCGCCACGAACCGGUACUAAACAGCUCCUCCCGCCUAGCAGUUGGUGCAUACUGAACGCAAAAAGUAUAAGAGCAUUUAGAUCAUGAUCUUAUAUUUCUUUACAGUCUAAAUUGUCAAUAUGAUCUUAUAACAUCAAAAAUACUUUGAUCAUCAAUGAUCUUUGUGUGUACAAUCUGAAUUGUCAAUAUGAGUCAUCAACGAUUUAUAAACCGAUGAAGACUCAUAUUGCGGCCACAAAUUCUACACAUAGAGUUCAAUGAAGACCAAGUGCUUUUAAUAGUUUGAGAAAUAACAUAUUUAAGGUGGUAAAAGGCUUGUUAGGGGAGCGAGGUGGGACUAAAAACAGCUUGCCAUAACCUCAUUAGUACCGGUUCGUGGUACGAACCGGCACUAAAUGGUGAUGGUGGGGCCAUAUCCUGACCGCAGGCUGACACAACCUCUUUAGUACCGGUUCGUGGCAUGAACCGGUACUAAAGGUUCGCCACGAACCGGUGCUAUUGAUCGCCGCCACGAACCGGCACUAAUGUACACAUUAGUGCCGGCUGAAAUUCAAAUCGGCACUAUUGUGCUUCACAUUUGACCCUUUUUCUACUAGUGCUGGUUGCCCUAUGCAUUUGGUGCCGAGGGCCGAGGCUCCUUUUCCUUUACACAAGAAUCAAUCCACCUGGCUUCCUUUUCAGCCGGCGUACAUGUACAGGUGGACGUUGCUGCUCACUAAUUACAGCAUCGCCCAUCAACUGAUUCUUGGAUCGAGCCUUUCUAAAUACAUGUGCACGUUCUGCGGCCGGCAAAUAAUCGCAGGGCAAGCUUGUUCCUCGUCAGAGAGUAAUAGGCAAGAGCAACAAUAUAUGCUUGGAGUCAGCUACAUGCCUGCACCAAAUUGUUUCCAUUAGUUGGGGACUGAGACAUGUACAGUUGGGCGCUGCAAUGGUUAAUCCCCAUGGCAUGGAGUAGGGAGGCUGAAGCUCCUCUGCCUUGAUGUAUGCAUGAGUGGAUCCUGAUGAGCGAGUAUUCUAGGAAACUAACAGGUAAUCAGCGACCUGAUGUAAAGCAACCAAUGUGAUACAAAUGCAAUUUUGUUAGCCAGUACAUGAAAGACAGUUCCACAUUAGUAAUGAAAACGCUAUGUACUAAAAAGGAUUACAUGCCCAAAGGACAUAAUAGUGUAUAUAUCCUACUAUUACUUCAUAUGCUUCAACAAAUUCCUGAGGAAAACUCUGCUAUAGGAAUUCAAGUGUUGGCACUUUAACAAUUCAACGAACAGUUGAGUGCAUUACCAAACAGAAAACAUAAUUGGAUCCCUACGUGCAUAAGAAAGGACCGGAAGAGUGAAAACAGAUUGUUGGCUGGAACAGUACCUCAAUAUCAGGUUGAUCUCGUAUUCGUCUAAAUCGUCGAUGGGCAUGCCCAUGUCCAACCGCCUGCAGUAUAUGUGUGUGGUGCGUGUCUCACCAUGUAGCUGGUCCUAUGCUUGAACGAUUCAUGUCAUCUUCCUCUGCCGCCAUGAUGUUUCAGCACCGCCCCCUGAUGGCAUCUCUUUCAUGUUCCUAAGCAACCUCCACUUUCUCUAUGAAGUGGCGGCUGUGUGCUGCCACGAUGAAUGCACGGUGGUGAGGAGAUAAAAGAAAGCGUCCUUGCAUCUAGCAAAUGGGAGUCAUGCGCCCCCAUGAGAAAUUUCCGGCGGCGAGAGAAAAAUAGGUCGGUCUCGCAGAAAGAUAAAAAGUAGGUGGAAGUCACGAGAACCAAAGUCGGCCAUAGUUUUCUUGAGGGUGAUAUAUAGGCAUGGUCAUCAUUUAGAUGAGACCAUAAAUCCUUUUUUUUCUCUUGGAGGAGAGGGUGGCUGGGUGCUAGGGAAGAUCGAGAGGCAUGGGUUAGCGACGAUAAGCUGAACUGGCGUCGAGGAGAUCGGAGGUACUCCCUCCGUUCGGAAUUACUCGUCCAAGAAGUGAAUGUAUCUAGAUGUAUUUUAGUUGUAGAUACAUUCAUUUUUGUGACAAGUAAUUCCGAACGGAGGGAGUAACACGGAGGGAAUCGUCUUGGGUUCCUCUUUUUUUCCAACAAAACGAACUUGGAUCCUAUUUUUUUACGAAGGAUUAAGGUGGCUCUUUGAAAAGAACUUUGGCAGAGGUCGUUAGCUAUUUUUUCCCUCAAAACAAUCACGAGAGAGAGAUGCUUACGUGACAGUUGUUUUUCAUGUGGGAGAUUGAGAAAUUUAGGUCGUGAGGGACGUGACUUUUUUUUCAGCCCAAAAUCAUAGGCGAGUGAUGGGCGCCGGUGCGCCCGCCGAAAUUUCGGCCGGUCGCACCGGGUACGUAUGAUUAGCUCGUAAAUAGCCGCACGAUGCCUACGUUUCAUAACUGAUUUCGCUAGUUAAAAGAAGAAACCGUGUCGCAUAUUUCAUCCCGAGCAAUUCUUGUUAUCCGCCACAUGUGAACCAGCUUACCGGCCGCCCACGUUGCCGCCGGCCGCCGGCCUCGUCGUUGCCGGCCACCGCCCUCGACCGCCCCCGUAUCCCUGGACGUCCUCCCAGCCGCGGGCCGCCGGCUCCUCUCCAGUGUCUCGUCGCUUGUUCCCAGCGUAGCCCGCACCCGGUUGCAGCAUCCCCGAUUCAUCGUGGUUCUCGUCGGCUCCGCCGCAUGAAGCUCCUGCCGAUGAAGGUCGCAGCUUCCACAAAGGAGGGCCGCCAUUGCAUCAAUGGUGAGGUGCCAGUUUCAACUUUUUGUCGCCGGGUUGAAACUUUUAAAAAAUAGGGUUGAAGCUUUUCAUGUCAACAAUUGCAACUUUUCAAAAAACUAACCUCGCCAGUAGUAGCGAAAGCAAACAGUGGUAGAUGGCGGUUGCAGCAAAAAAUCGUCCUCGCUGGAAGUAGCAAAUUGUCUCGCCGGUAGUAGCAAAAUUAGACGGCGGUUGCAACAAAAACUGGUCAUCGCCCAGUCGCGGGGCGCGGUAUGGCCAAUUGGUUGUAGCAAAAAAAAUGUGGUUGUAGCAAAAAAAGAUGACGGUGGUAGUAAAUCAUCUCGUUGUCGUCACUGGGUGCAGCUCCCUCAUGAUGAAUGUAUCAAAAUUGCUCACCGGUGGUAGCAAAAACUGAGGACGGUUGCAACAAAAAAAAUGAACCGCCAUAGUAGGUCGCAACUCUGCCAUGAUGGAUGUAGCAAAUCUGUCGCCGGUAGUAGCAAAAUUCAAUGACGGUUGCAGCUUCUGGCUCAACUUGUUGCGGCUUUCAGAGGUAGCGGAUUCCAUGGCGGUGUAGCGCGUCCGCGUUGUAGCAGGAUGUGAUGCCGGUUGUUUCCCGGAGCAGCGUCGCCACGUCUUCGCCGACACGGGUGGUAGCUUUCUUUUUUUGCUGCAUCAGCUCCACAGCAACGCUCACAUCAGCGGCGCUCGCGCCAAUGGUAUGUCUUCUUGAAGCACGGCCGUGUAGGGGAGGUCAGCCUGUGGUAGCCUUACCGGAGCUAGGAUGCGUCAAUGUGUGCGAGAGGUUGUGCAGGCGGAAGAGCAACAGAUGAAAAAAGAGGAAGAAAAGACGAUGCAGGCAAUACGAUUUCUGUGGACGAAGAGGCUCUGGGGAUAAAGAUGUGCGUGGGGACCCAUGUCCAUGUGGAGCGCGUGCAGUGGACCGGCGCAAAGUUCCGCCGGCGCACCAGUCGUAAAUGUUUCCCAUCGUCAAUUCUGUUUGGUACUCUGCUGCUUUUCCCAUCGGCGCUACUCUGCGCCGGUGCGCCUGCCGAGUCGCCCCGCCGGUCGUAGCACAUCUGUUGGAUUCGUCCCAGUUGUAACCAUUGAAUCAGUAUCCUUUUUGUUGUUAGGGCAUGCAAAGCUGAAAGCACUGAACUCAAGCAAAACUGAACGCGCUAAACGCAAGCAACCCAUCAUCUGCUAGCGUCAAAUGCGUCACCUUUGCCAUGCGCUGCACCAUUGCUCGUCGACUCGCUACGCCUAGCUCUCGUGAAUGUCGCGUCCGUCGACACAGCUCGUCGUGGCUGCCAUGCAUCGCCGUCGCACCUUGCUGCUGCCGCCUCGCGGCACCCAGCCAUCCGCCCGCACAAAAGGCGCUGUCAUCGAUUCGCGACGCCCCAGUUCUCGUGAAUGCCCCAUCCACCAUCACAGCUUGCCGUCAUCACCCUGCAUUACCGUCGCAACUUAUCCUCGUCGCUCGCCAUUGUUGGUUUGUCGUCUCCUAUUUGAAGCUUUUUCAGUUGCCGGAUGUAACAUUCUCAGGUGCUGGUUGCAGCUUUUCGCGGUUGAGCAGCAGCCGCUGCCAGCUUCCUCGUCUCCUGUUGAAGCUUUUCCAGAUGGCAGAUGUAGCUUUUUAGAAUGCCGGUUGUAGCAUUUGGAGAUGCCGGUUGCAACUUCUUCACGCGUUGGUCAGCCGCCCUGCUCUCUGGUUCCAGCAAAAAAAACGUUGGUCGUAGCAUUUGUGAUGCUGGUUGCAGCUCCGUUGAACACCGGUUGCAACCCUCAUUUUCUCCGCAUCCAGCAAAAAAGAGUGAUGGACGUAGCAAUUGGCGUUGCUGGUUGCAGCUUUGCCUCGUGUCGGUCGCAAUUUCAUCAUAGUUGGUUGUAGCAAAACAGUGCGACGCGUCGCACCUUGCAGCUUCACCGGCCACGGAUGCAACUCCGACCAAUGACGUAGCUUCGCCAGCCACGGCCAUGUUUUAGAGAUUAAAGAAGGAAAUCAUCACAUCAAUAGAUUGGUAGGAGGGAGAGGAUAAGAGGUGGAUUCAUGGAGUUUGAACGGAAGGAGCACUCCACCCGUGUGGAGUAGAAGACGAGGGAUGGUGAUUUUGUUGAGAGGAAUAAAAAGAAAAGGAUAAGCACGUGUGUGGUCAAAGAGAGGACAAGUGGGCUUAUACAUGGGCUGAAAUAAAAACGCGUCCAGGGCUAGCUUGCCGAACCCACCUGGAUCUAACGAGCAGCCAGCGACCGGCCGAAACGCUAGCCGGUCGACCGGCUUCAAUCGUUUCCCAAAAUCAUAUGGUAGAUUGUAUCGUAAUCUCUAGCAUCCAACAACCUGGGAGGGUUUAGAAGUAAAUAGGAGAGAACGCAGAUUUUCCAUCUUUUUGUCUUUUUGAGGAAACGUGGAGAGUCCAAGGUGAGUACGACUACCACAACAAUCUCGUGACCAACCCAAAAAUCAGUUUUUUUCUCAUGAACCCAGGAAAAAUUCGAAAGAUCUAGACCGUAAUAAUUAGGUCCCACAAGAUUAACGGCUCUUAAUUACUGAUUAACGUGGAAUUUUUAGGAAGUCUGUAAUUAGUAUAGGUAUAGGUAUAGGUAUAGGUAUAGAUAGAUAGAUAAUUAGAUAUNNNNNNNNNNNNNNNNNNNNNNNNNNNNNNNNNNNNNNNNNNNNNNNNNNNNNNNNNNNNNNNNNNNNNNNNNNNNNNNNNNNNNNNNNNNNNNNNNNNNAUGUGUGUGUACGCCGCCCCGUACGCCGCCGCCCCGUACGUACGAGCGGGGGCGCCGGCGUACGGGGCGAGGGCGGCGGCAUACGGGGCGGGGGCGCCGGUGCGCGGGUGCGAGAGACGACGUACGGGACCGCGGCGACGACGACGGACGGCGGCGGCGUUCGAGGCGGUGGUGCGAGACGACGACGACGACGGGCGGCGGCGGGGACAGCGACGACGACGGCGGACGACGGGCGACGGGCGGCGACGACGGGAUCGAGCGGCGCGCGGCGAUGUCGAGAGGUUGGAGACAAAAGUGCGGAGAUAUAACUGAAAUUUUCGUAAGUGCUAUAUAUAUAGGAUGGGCCUUUAGUACCGGUUGGAGCCACCAACCGGUACUAAAGGCCAACUUUGGCCAGGCCAAGAGGCGGGAAGAGCAGGCCUUUAGUAUCGGUUGGUGGCUCCAACCGGUACUAAAGGGUGAUCUGUAGUACCGGUUGGAGCCACCAACCGGUAAUAAAGGCCUCGCGNNNNNNNNNNAUAGAAUUUCUAGUAGAACCAAUCAUCGAGUUCAACAUGAUUGUCAUGAUAUUAUAAGCGUUCAUAUAUAACACCACAAAAGCAAAUCACUUAAGUUCAGAACGAAGAACACGGACAUGAAAGGCCAAGUACUAAUUAAGAGCAGCAUGAAGAACUAGCUAAAUCACUCCUGCUAGCUACUCUCUCUCUGGUAAAAUAGCAUAGAACAUGUAUAGCUCUUCUGAUUGAUCAUACUGGAGCAUGCCGAUGAACCUGUCUCCUAAUCGUGGGCUGCGCUUCUCAUUGCUGCCCCCUAGUACUUCUCUGCGAUCAUUAACAAUUUUCCUCCAAUCUUUCACUAUUAAGCAUUCAUCGCUUCUAGAAAUCCUGAAUGCAUUCAUGUGCAAUGUAGGAUAUCUUGGCCUUAAGCUAACAAUUAACAUCUGACCUUUAGUCUCGAUCCCCUGAGGCACAACUGUCAUCGAGAGUCCCUGUUGAAGAACAUCGUAUAGUACUUAAUUAAUAUACUCAGCAAUGAAAGUUUAAAAAAAUAUGUAUACAAAAUAUGCACUGAGGACAAAUAGUAAAUAUCUUACCAUCAUUCCUAAAUAGAUGUGACCGUAGUUCAAUACCAUCACUAUUGGUCGCACAUUUUGAGUACUAACAUUUCCAAGUGCAGCAAAAAAAUUUGUCUUGACAGUAUGAAGAUCCUCAAGCCAUGAAACAUAAUGACUUAUCUCCUCACAGUUUAGUUCAGCUCCGGGACAGUAGAAGGGCCUGUCUACCAAGCGCCGGACAUGUUUGGUUGAAUGGAGAUAAGCUGUCAAUAGAAAUUAGUUGUCAGUUAUUUUUGAAAUAAGCAAUAUCAAAGACAAAAAUAUAUUUGAGAAGAACUCACAUAAUGGUAGAACUGGAGGCGUCUGCACAUCGACCCAUAUGUCUCUAUUACCUUCAAUAUCAUCUUCCGGACGAAUAUCAAAGGUGAUAACCAUACCAGGCUCAAAUGCAUAAGCCUUGCAUUAUGCUUGCCAAGUUUUGCAUUCAAAAUAGGUGUAGGUGUGUGCAUUGUAUACUUUGACGUUGAAAGUAUAACCAUCAUGCUCAGUGUUCAGGUAAGCUCUCUUUACCUCCAUAGUUUCCAUAUCUUUGAAACCUAUCUUAUCCAAGACAAAAAUUCUUGCAUGACAUGGGAUGCACUAGUAGAAUAGUGAAAAUUAAAAAUUAUAAGUCAGGCAAAUGAAGCAUAUAUAAGUCAUGCUUAAUUACGAAAACAGACUUGUUGUUGUGACUUACUGUAUCGAAUUCGAAAGUCUUAUCCAGCUUGAUGCUAAAUCGCUUACCAUGAACAAGGAAAUUUCUGUCGCACUGGCCGCGCUCGUCUUCACAGUAUGCUAAAUCGCUUACCAUUUCCUAUGUUCAUAUUAGGCGAAACAUUAAACACUUACUAAUUCUAUUAAUUCAACUACUUACUAAUUCUAUAAAUUCAACUAAGCAUUUACUAAAAAUAAACUAGUUAUAUUAAUUCAGUUAGUUCAACUAAGCAUUUAGUAAAAAUGAAUUAGUUAUAUUAAUUCAAUUAGUUCAACUAAGCAUUUACUAAAAAUAAUAUAGUUCUAUAUAUUAAUUCAACUAGUUCAACUAAGCAUUUACUAAAAUUAAACUAGUUCAAAUAUAUAUCUAACUAUAAUAUUUUAAUUAGAUAAUCAAAUCUCAGAUACGACAAUUUUCUUACUAAAAAUAAACUAGUUAUAUUAAUUAUUCAACUAGUUCAAAUCUCAUAUACCUAAAUAAACUAGUUCGACAAUUUUUUUACUAAAAAUAAACUAGUUAUAUUAAUUAUUCAACUAGUUCAAAUCUCACAUACCUAGCUAAUUAAUAUCUAAUUAAAUUUUCUAAAAAACAGAAAACAGAAAACAGAAAAUAAGUAAAAAAUGUGUGUGUGUGUGUGUAUGUGUGUGUAGUGUGUGUAUAUGUGUGUAUGUGUGUGUACGCCGCCCCGUACGCCNNNNNNNNNNNNNNNNNNNNNNNNNNNNNNNNNNNNNNNNNNNNNNNNNNNNNNNNNNNNNNNNNNNNNNNNNNNNNNNNNNNNNNNNNNNNNNNNNNNNNNNNNNNNNNNNNNNNNNNNNNNNNNNNNNNNNNNNNNNNNNNNNNNNNNNNNNNNNNNNNNNNNNNNNNNNNNNNNNNNNNNNNNNNNNNNNNNNNNNNNNNNNNNNNNNNNNNNNNNNNNNNNNNNNNNNNNNNNNNNNNNNNNNNNNNNNNNNNNNNNNNNNNNNNNNNNNNNNNNNNNNNNNNNNNNNNNNNNNNNNNNNNNNNNNNNNNNNNNNNNNNNNNNNNNNNNNNNNNNNNNNNNNNNNNNNNNNNNNNNNNNNNNNNNNNNNNNNNNNNNNNNNNNNNNNNNNNNNNNNNNNNNNNNNNNNNNNNNNNNNNNNNNNNNNNNNNNNNNNNNNNNNNNNNNNNNNNNNNNNNNNNNNNNNNNNNNNNNNNNNNNNNNNNNNNNNNNNNNNNNNNNNNNNNNNNNNNNNNNNNNNNNNNNNNNNNNNNNNNNNNNNNNNNNNNNNNNNNNNNNNNNNNNNNNNNNNNNNNNNNNNNNNNNNNNNNNNNNNNNNNNNNNNNNNNNNNNNNNNNNNNNNNNNNNNNNNNNNNNNNNNNNNNNNNNNNNNNNNNNNNNNNNNNNNNNNNNNNNNNNNNNNNNNNNNNNNNNNNNNNNNNNNNNNNNNNNNNNNNNNNNNNNNNNNNNNNNNNNNNNNNNNNNNNNNNNNNNNNNNNNNNNNNNNNNNNNNNNNNNNNNNNNNNNNNNNNNNNNNNNNNNNNNNNNNNNNNNNNNNNNNNNNNNNNNNNNNNNNNNNNNNNNNNNNNNNNNNNNNNNNNNNNNNNNNNNNNNNNNNNNNNNNNNNNNNNNNNNNNNNNNNNNNNNNNNNNNNNNNNNNNNNNNNNNNNNNNNNNNNNNNNNNNNNNNNNNNNNNNNNNNNNNNNNNNNNNNNNNNNNNNNNNNNNNNNNUGCCACCCCAAAGUUUAGUCCCACCUCGCCGGGCGAAGGGCAGCCGCACUGGUUUAUAAACCCAGCCGCGGCUACCUCUUUGAACUCCUCUAUAUAGCAGGCUUGUGGGCCUAAAUUCUGCGCGCUGCCCUGUGAGUCUGCUGGGCCUUUAAGGCCUGUAAUUGCACGCCCGUGGCCUAGCAGGCCCACAGGGCAGCGCCCCAAUUUUUUUAUAUUUUUUUCUUUUCUGCUUUAUUUUCUUCUAUUUAUUUCUGCGUAGUUUUUUGUAUAGUUUUUCUUUAUGUUAUAUUUAUUUUCUUCUAUUUAUUUCUGAGUAGUUUUUCAUCUAGUUUGCCAAAAUUCAACAUUUUCAGAGUUCAUUUUGUAGUGAUUUUCAAUUUCACAGUCAUUUUAUAUAUUUUUUUUCUUUUCAGCUAUAGUUUUUUUUCCUAUUAUUUUUUCUUUUCUGCAAAACUUGAUGGUCAAAGUCUGGAGUUAUAACCAAAGUUUAAAAAAAAAGAAAUGCCGACGUGCAAUUAGUUUUUGACAUAACAGAAGAAGUCCGGAGUUGUAAUAAGUUAUUAAAAAUAAAAAAGAGGUGCAAUGCUCGUUAAUUUGCUUCAAGCCUUUCGGGAUAGUGUAAACUGCACUGCGCAUAGCUCCGUGCAGGCUACCAUAUUCCUGAAGGCUUCAAGCUAAGCAACGUGAGCAUUGAGCCUCUUCUUCAUCGUCUCUGCACUCAGGGCUUAUAAACCGCUCCUAGUCCCUCUCUCUUCGCGAGGUGGGACUAAAAAACAGCUUACUAAGAAACUGUAGUACUAGUUCAUCCAUGAAUCGGUACUAAAGGUGCUCGUGCGGCCCCAGCUAUCCUUACCUGACACAACCUCAUUAGUACCAGUUCAUGGCACGAACCGGUGCUAAAGGUUCGCCACGAACCGGUACUAAACAGCUCCUCCCGCCUAGCAGUUGGUGCAUACUGAACGCAAAAAAUAUAAGAGCAUUUAGAUCAUGAUCUUAUAUUUCUUUACAGUCUAAAUUGCCAAUAUGAUCUUAUAACAUCAAAAAUACUUUGAUCAUCAAUGAUCUUUGUGUGUACAAUCUGAAUUGUCAAUAUGAGUCAUCAACGAUUUAUAAACCGAUGAAGACUCAUAUUGCGGCCACAAAUUCUAUACAUAGAGUUCAAUGAAGACCAAGUGCUUUUGAUAGUUUGAGAAAUAACAUAUUUAAGGUGGUAAAAGGCUUGUUAGGGGAGCGAUGUGGGACUAAAAACAGCUUGCCAUAACCUCAUUAGUACCGGUUCGUGGUACGAACCGGCACUAAAUGGUGAUGGUGGGGCCAUAUCCUGACCGCAGGCUGACACAGCCUCUUUAGUAUCGGUUUGUGGCAUGAACCGGUACUAAAGGUUCGCCACGAACCGGUGCUAUUGAUCGCCGCCACGAACUGGCACUAAUGUACACAUUAGUGCCGGCUGAAAUUCAAAUCGGCACUAUUGUGCUUCACAUUUGACCUUUUUUCUACUAGUGCUGGUUGCCCUAUGCAUUUGGUGCCGAGGGCCGAGGCUCCUUUUCCUUUACACAAGAAUCAAUCCACCUGGCUUCCUUUUCAGCCGGCGUACAUGUACAGGUGGACGUUGCUGCUCACUAAUUACAGCAUCGCCCAUCAACUGAUUCUUGGAUCGAGCCUUUCUAAAUACAUGUGCACGUUCUGCGGCCGGCAAAUAAUCGCAGGGCAAGCUUGUUCCUCGUCAGAGAGUAAUACGCAAGAGCAACAAUAUAUGCUUGGAGUCAGCUACAUGCCUGCACCAAACUGUUUCCAUUAGUUGGGGACUGAGACAUGUACAGUUGGGCGCUGCAAUGGUUAAUCCCCAUGGCAUGGAGUAGGGAGGCUGAAGCUCCUCUGCCUUGAUGUAUGCAUGAGUGGAUCCUGAUGAGCGAGUAUUCUAGGAAACUAACAGGUAAUCAGCGACCUGAUGUAAAGCAACCAAUGUGAUACAAAUGCAAUUUUGUUAGCCAGUACAUGAAAGACAGUUCCACAUUAGUAAUGAAAACGCUAUGUACUAAAAAGGAUUACAUGCCCAAAGGACAUAAUAGUGUAUAUAUCCUACUAUUACUUCAUAUGCUUCAACAAAUUCCUGAGGAAAACUCUGCUAUAGGAAUUCAAGUGUUGGCACUUUAACAAUUCAACGAACAGUUGAGUGCAUUACCAAACAGAAAACAUAAUUGGAUCCCUACGUGCAUAAGAAAGGACCGGAAGAGUGAAAACAGAUUGUUGGCUGGAACAGUACCUCAAUAUCAGGUUGAUCUCGUAUUCGUCUAAAUCGUCGAUGGGCAUGCCCAUGUCCAACCGCCUGCAGUAUAUGUGUGUGGUGCGUGUCUCACCAUGUAGCUGGUCCUAUGCUUGAACGAUUCAUGUCAUCUUCCUCUGCCGCCAUGAUGUUUCAGCACCGCCCCCUGAUGGCAUCUCUUUCAUGUUCCUAAGCAACCUCCACUUUCUCUAUGAAGUGGCGGCUGUGUGCUGCCACGAUGAAUGCACGGUGGUGAGGAGAUAAAAGAAAGCGUCCUUGCAUCUAGCAAAUGGGAGUCAUGCGCCCCCAUGAGAAAUUUCCGGCGGCGAGAGAAAAAUAGGUCGGUCUCGCAGAAAGAUAAAAAGUAGGUGGAAGUCACGAGAACCAAAGUCGGCCAUAGUUUUCUUGAGGGUGAUAUAUAGGCAUGGUCAUCAUUUAGAUGAGACCAUAAAUCCUUUUUUUUCUCUUGGAGGAGAGGGUGGCUGGGUGCUAGGGAAGAUCGAGAGGCAUGGGUUAGCGACGAUAAGCUGAACUGGCGUCGAGGAGAUCGGAGGUACUCCCUCCGUUCGGAAUUACUCGUCCAAGAAGUGAAUGUAUCUAGAUGUAUUUUAGUUGUAGAUACAUUCAUUUUUGUGACAAGUAAUUCCGAACGGAGGGAGUAACACGGAGGGAAUCGUCUUGGGUUCCUCUUUUUUUCCAACAAAACGAACUUGGAUCCUAUUUUUUUACGAAGGAUUAAGGUGGCUCUUUGAAAAGAACUUUGGCAGAGGUCGUUAGCUAUUUUUUCCCUCAAAACAAUCACGAGAGAGAGAUGCUUACGUGACAGUUGUUUUUCAUGUGGGAGAUUGAGAAAUUUAGGUCGUGAGGGACGUGACUUUUUUUUCAGCCCAAAAUCAUAGGCGAGUGAUGGGCGCCGGUGCGCCCGCCGAAAUUUCGGCCGGUCGCACCGGGUACGUAUCAUUAGCUCGUAAAUAGCCGCACGAUGCCUACGUUUCACAACUGAUUUCGCUAGUUAAAAGAAGAAACCGUGUCGCAUAUUUCAUCCCGAGCAAUCCUUGUUAUCCGCCACAUGUGAACCAGCUUACCGGCCGCCCACGUUGCCGCCGGCCGCCGGCCUCGUCGUUGCCGGCCACCGCCCUCGACCGCCCCCGUAUCCCUGGACGUCCUCCCAGCCGCGGGCCGCCGGCUCCUCUCCAGCGUCUCGUCGCUUGUUCUCAGCGUAGCCCGCACCCGGUUGCAGCAUCCCCGAUUCGUCGUGGUUCUCGUCGGCUCCGCCGCAUGAAGCUCCUGCCGACGAAGGUUGCAGCUCCCACAAAGGAGGGCCGCCAUUGCAUCAAUGGUGAGGUGCCAGUUUCAACUUUUUGUCGCCGGGUUGAAACUUUUCAAAAAUUGGGUUGAAGCUUUUCAUGUCGUCAAUUGCAACUUUUCAAAAAACUAACCUCGCCAGUAGUAGCGAAAGCAAACAGUGGUAGAUGGCGGUUGCAGCAAAAAAUCAUCCUCGCUGGAAGUAGCAAAUUGUCUCGCCGGUAGUAGCAAAAUUAGACGGCGGUUGCAACCAAAACUGGUCAUCGCCCAGUCGCGGGGCGCGGUAUGGCCAAUUGGUUGUAGCAAAAAAAAUGUGGUCGUAGCAAAAAAAGAUGACGGCGGUAGUAAAUCAUCUCGUCGUCGUCACUGGGUGCAGCUCCCUCAUGACGAAUGUAUCAAAAUUGCUCACCGGUGGUAGCAAAAACUGAGGACGGUUGCAACAAAAAAAAUGAACCGCCAUAGUAGGUCGCAACUCUGCCAUGAUGGAUGUAGCAAAUCCGUCGCCGGUAGUAGCAAAAUUCAAUGACGGUUGCAGCUUCUGGCUCAACUGGUUGCGGCUUUCAGAGGUAACGGAUUCCAUGGCGGUGUAGCGCGUCCGCGUUGUAGCAGGAUGUGAUGCCGGUUGUUUCCCGGAGCAGCGUCGCCACGUCUUCGCCGACACGGGUGGUAGCUUUCUUUUUUUGCUGCAUCAGCUCCACAGCAACGCUCACAGCAGCGGCGCUCGCGCCAAUGGUAUGUCUUCUUGAAGCACGGCCGUGUAGGGGAGGUCAGCCUGUGGUAGCCUUACCGGAGCUAGGAUGCGUCAAUGUGUGCGAGAGGUUGUGCAGGCGGAAGAGCAACAGAUGAAAAAAGAGGAAGAAAAGACGAUGCAGGCAAUACGAUUUCUAUGGACGAAGAGGCUCUGGGGAUAAAGAUGUGCGUGGGGACCCAUGUCCAUGUGGAGCGCGUGCAGCGGACCGGCGCAAAGUUCCGCCGGCGCACCAGUCGUAAAUGUUUCCCAUCGUCAAUUCUGUUUGGUACUCUGCUGCUUUUCCCAUCGGCGCUACUCUGCGCCGGUGCGCCGGCCGAGUCGCCCCGCCGGUCGUAGCACAUCUGUUGGAUUCGUCCCAUUUGUAACCAUUGGAUCAGUAUCCUUUUUGUUGUUAGGGCAUGCAAAGCUGAAAGCACUGAACUCAAGCAAAACUGAACGCGCUAAACGCAAGCAACCCAUCAUCUGCUAGCGUCAAAUGUGUCGCCUUUGCCAUGCGCUGCACCAUUGCUCGUCGACUCGCUAUGCCUAGCUCUCGUGAAUGUCGCGUCCGUCGACACAGCUCGUCGUGGCUGCCAUGCAUCGCCGUCGCACCUUGCUGCUGCCGCCUCGCGGCACCCAGCCAUCCGCCCGCACAAAAGGCGCUGUCAUCGAUUCGCGACGCCCCAGUUCUCGUGAAUGCCCCAUCCACCGUCACAGCUUGCCGUCAUCACCCUGCAUUACCGUCGCAACUUAUCCUCGUCGCUCGCCAUUGUUGGUUUGUCGUCUCCUAUUUGAAGCUUUUUCAGUUGCCGGAUGUAACAUUCUCAGGUGCUGGUUGCAGCUUUUCGCGGUUGAGCAGCAGCCGCUGCCAGCUUCCUCGUCUCCUGUUGAAGCUUUUCCAGAUGGCAGAUGUAGCUUUUUAGAAUGCCGGUUGUAGCAUUUGGAGAUGCCGGUUGCAACUUCUUCACGCGUUGGUCAGCCGCCCUGCUCUCUGGUUCAGCAAAAAAAACGUUGGUUGUAGCAUUUGUGAUGCUGGUUGCAGCUCCGUUGAACACCGGUUGCAACCUUCAUUUUCUCCGCAUCCAGCAAAAAAGAGUGAUGGACGUAGCAAUUGGCGUUGCUGGUUGCAGCUUUGCCUCGUGUCGGUCGCAAUUUCAUCAUAGUUGGUUGUAGCAAAACAGUGCGACGCGUCGCACCUUGCAGCUUCACCGGCCACGGAUGCAACUCCGACCAAUGACGUAGCUUCGCCAGCCACGGCCAUGUUUUAGAGAUUAAAGAAGGAAAUCAUCACAUCAAUAGAUUGGUAGGAGGGAGAGGAUAAGAGGUGGAUUCAUGGAGUUUGAACGGAAGGAGCACUCCACCCGUGUGGAGUAGAAGACGAGGGAUGGUGAUUUUGUUGAGAGGAAUAAAAAGAAAAGGAUAAGCACGUAUGUGGUCAAAGAGAGGACAAGUGGGCUUAUACAUGGGCUGAAAUAAAAACGCGUCCAGGGCUAGCUUGCCGAACCCACCUGGAUCUAACGAGCAGCCAGCGACCGGCCGAAACGCUAGCCGGUCGACCGGCUACAAUCGUUUCCCAAAAUCAUAUGGUAGAUUGUAUCGUAAUCUCUAGCAUCCAACAACCUGGGAGGGUUUAGAAGUAAAUAGGAGAGAACGCAGAUUUUCCAUCUUUUUGUCUUUUUGAGGAAACGUGGAGAGUCCAAGGUGAGUACGACUACCACAACAAUCUCGUGACCAACCCAAAAAUCAGUUUUUUUCUCAUGAACCUAGGAAAAAUUCGAAAGAUCUAGACCGUAAUAAUUAGGUCCCACAAGAUUAACGGCUCUUAAUUACUGAUUAACGUGGAAUUUUUAGGAAGUCUGUGAUUAGUAUAGGUAUAGGUAUAUGUAUAGGUAUAGAUAGAUAGAUAAUUAGAUAUAGAUAGAUAGAUAAAUAGAUAGAUAUGGAUAUAGAUAGGGCAACAUAUCCUAUGAAUCCGUCCGGUAUGUUGUAUCCGUGUGUCCCUUUGCUCUCAGCCCCACGAUCAAAAUCGUGUGUGUUAACAGAUUUUGUAGUAAUUUUACACCUACACGCCCGCCCCCAACUGAAGCCAGCAAACUAAUUUUACAAGAACCCCCCUCCCCCUGCCAAUCGAGUGCGUCGUGCGUGGUGCAUCGUGCGCCGCCGCCGUCAAGCAGCAGCCGAUCCAAUUUCCAUUGAAUUGAUCCCGACGUCCAUCGGCAGCCAUCCCAUGCAGGUACCGUCCCAGACUCCCAGUCAUGUGAUCCUUUUGCUCCCACGUUGAUACUUGAUACGAACCUGAUCGAUGAGCACAGGCAAGCGGCCAAUACAUGUACUCUCCGAUCUAGACGUAUUUCUUCUAUAACGGGUGAUACUUUAUUUCAGCGGAGACUGAAGACGAGCGGCUAGCAGGUACCACAACAACAUAUACGUUCAGCGAUACGACAACAUCAUAAGUUUCAGGUAACACAACAGAGAAAUUCAGUCCUUGAAUAUACAUGUGUGACUGACAAAAAUUCAGUAGCACAGAAGGUUUUUUUUUGGCCAAAUGCCAAGCAAACUGACAAAAAUUGCACUAAUAUGAUUAUGUGAGCAAAAACACUAGUACAAUCUGCUACAGUUUAGAGCUUCGGGAUACAAUCAAACUGACAUGCUACAGAAUAUAAGCAUUGCACUAAUUCAUCUGUGUAUGCCUACAUCUGCUACAGACUAUAAGCAAUUAGGCACGACAUUAAUACAUGUACUACAGGGUACAACUUCCUAUGAAGGAAUUGCAGUAAUAUGACUAUCUGAGCAAGCAUUCGACUAGUACAUCUCCUGCAGUCUACAGCUUCCAAGUUCCAAUGGAGGACAAGCUACAGCAUCGGGAUUUCCGUGGUUGCAGGAGGCCGUCCAGGGGGUGUUGGCGCCUCAUCUCAGACGAGUCAUUACCGUCGCGGAACCAUACUGCCGUGUCGGGACGGCGGCCGGAUCUUCGUUGCCGUCGCUGGUGGUCGUUGGGUAGCUGUUGUCGUCGCUACUUUGUUGCCGUUGCCGGAGGACUGCAUGGAGUCGUCCAGGCCAAGCUUGCUGUCGUAGGAGGCCUCGGGUUGAGAUUUAGGUUUUGGAGCGAUGAGACGAGGUAUUUGGCACGAGAGGAUUCAGAAGAUUGGAGCAGGACGAAACGACAUGGGGCCUCCGUUGAGGAUCGUGGAUGAGAGACUUUGGGGGUUAUUUUGCAAAUGAAAUGGUUAUUAGGUCCAAAAGCGGGCGUCUAAAUACAAUUAUUCCUCUUGCUGCACAGGAGGCGCGCGAUUUAGAUUAUAGGGCUGAGAUCACAUGGACACAGGGAUACACAAUAGGCACCGGAUUCACAGGAUAUGUUGCCUAUAGAUAGAUAGAUAGAUAGAUAGAUAUAGCUAUUCGGCGUGCCGUGUCCUGCUACCAAAAGUUGUAAUCAGGUCUAGUUUGUUAGUAGCUUGUCUAGGUUAUCUAGUCCGACCAGAACAUGGAGUCCUUUGCCAAGUCACGUUGGGUCUGCUCCUAGGUGUGUAUAUAAAGCACACCAGGGCUGUUGUUUUCUAUGUGUGUAGCCAUCGCAAACUUCUUCCACUACUGGAAUUUUCGUAUACGCGGGGUGUCGGUGUCUUCACCCAGAGCCAAAACACGGGCACUCGGCAACGUAACGAACACCGUGAGCCGCACUCGGCAAAGGAAACAAAUCGCCAAACACAUGAUAAUGCCGACAGUAUUGCUCGGCAAACAGGCUACACUCGGCAAAGACACUAUUUGCCGAGGGCCAUUUGGUCACACUCGCAAAGUUUUGCCACGUAGCACAUUCGGCAGUGACUGACGGCACGGUCACGGUUGCAACUCUUUGCCGAGAGUGGCUCUCGGCAAAGAUUUAAUCACACCUCGCCUACCCACUAGCAAAAAGAGCUAUUUAAAUAGUUCAAUAGUCCCACUAGUAGAAAAAGGGCCUUAUGUUCAACUCUUUAGUCCCGGUUUGUAAUAGAACUGUGACCAUUAGUGCCGGUUCCAACGGCUAGGUGGGCGGCUCUGAUUAGUACUGGUUCGUGGCGAACCUUUAGUACUGGUUCGUGCCACGAACCGGUACUACAUAGGUGGUGGUAGGCUUGUGUCAGGCUGCGGUCCCACCAUGACCUAUAGUACCGGUUCAUGCCAUGAACCGGGACUAGAAGUUCACCUUUAGUCCCGGUUCAUAUAACCAACCGGGACUACAGAUAUCACUAUAUAUAGUGCUUCUUCCAGCCCGAGCCGAAGCCCUCUGUUUUUCCCUCCUCUUUGUUUCCCCCCCUCUUGCUCGAGCUCCCACCUCCAUUUUUGCCAAAAUUUUCCAACAUUUGAAGGCACCCCAUCCAUCCAAGUGAUCACAAAGGUUAGCAACUCUAUCCUUUCAUCUCUCAUUGCUACAUUAGCUCUUGCAAUGCUCUAUAAGUAUAGUGAUUUGUGGGUUUUAGUUUGAGAGGAAUUAUAUGUUGCAGUUUAUUUGAUUUAUAUGCAAUUUGAGGUCAAAAUAACUCUUAGUUUGCAUAUGUAGGUGUUGUUUACUUAGUGCCUUCCCAUCUCCGUCCUAACCACCAUCAAUUGCCCGCACCGUCCUGUCACCGGCACCACCUUGUGGUGAGCCUUUGGUUCUUAUCUUUAUAAUAUAAGAAAAAAAUCAUGUUUGUGUUAUUCAGAUAUAUAGUUACUUGUAUAAUUAUCUUACCCGUACAUUGUUUGUUAUACAUAGUGCCAUGAUUUUGAUAUCCGUCCCCGUCGGCCCUCAUCUGGGUUAUGAUUCGGAUGUGGUAUAUUCUCUUUUAUAACUAUUUGUUGCAUUUCGUGUUUAUGACAAAUUAUGCCCAUCAAGUUGACAUAGAUAUUUUUAUCUAGGAGGUAUGUGAACCGGAAAUUCCAACCGACCCUAUUUUCGAGAGGUUAAAUUCAGUUGAAAAAGAAAACGAGUAUUUGAAAGAAAAAUUGAAAAGAAUUGAGGGGGAGAAGAUGGAAUUGGAGUUGCAUGUUGCCGAUGUCGUCGAUGAUCACAAGAUCAAGAUGGAGAAAAUGCGCUUGAAGAUUAGAAAGAUGAGAAAAUAUGCCAUCGAUAGUGAGGCUUGCUAUCAAUAUGUUGUUGGAUCAAUUGUUACCUUAGUUGCGAUCUUGAUCGCAUUUGUUGUUGCAUUUAAAUGCUUUAGCUAGAGAGUUAUUUGUAUGUUGUUUUAUGAGAAUAAGUGUUAUAUGAACUUUAUGUAUGAACUUGUAUUAAUUUGGUCUAUUCGGUGCUGUGUAAAUGAAGAUGAGCCGGCAAUAGAUGUACGAUGACCGAUGCUCUCCCUAGUUUAUUACUGGCGUGCAUAUGCUUGCGGCUGAGGCAAACAAGCGGGCGGGUGGUUUUAUGCCUUGUCUAUGUGCUAACUAUAAGAAUGAUCUGAAUUACUUUAAGUCAAGAACCAUUCACGUCCACCUGUUUGAGUCCGAUUUCAUGCCCAACUAUAAUGUUUGGACCAAGCACGGAGAAAGAGGGGUUAUGAUGGAGGACAAUGAAGAAGAAGAGGACGACGACAACUAUCCUGACCAUGGGUUCCCUGAAUACAAUGGUACAACAAUGGGGGAAGAAGCUGAAGAAGAGGCAUCAGAUGAGCCCGCUGAUGAUCUAGGUCGGGCCAUUGCCGAUGCAAAGAGAAACUGCGCAAGUGAAAAGGAGAAAAAGAAGUUGCAGCGCAUGUUAGAGGAUCACAAGAAAUUGUUGUACCCGCAUUGCGAAGCUGACAAGAAAAAGUUGGGCACCACACUGGAAUUGCUGCAAUAGAAGGCAGAGAAUGGUGUAUCUGACAAGGGGUUUGCAAAGUUGCUGAUAAUGUUAAAGAAGAUGCUUCCAAAGGACAACGAAUUUCCCGAGAGUACGUACGAAGCAAAGAAGGUUGUCUGCCCUCUAGGAUUAGAGGUGCAGAAGAUACAUGCAUGCCCUAAUGACUGCAUCCUCUACCGCGAUGAGUACGAGGAUUUGAACGCAUGCCCGGUAUGCGGUGCGUUGUGCUGUAAGAUCAGCCGCGAUGACCCUGGUGAUGUCGAGGGCGAGCGCCCUAGGAGGAAGAUUCCUGCCAAGGUGAUGUGGUAUGCUCCUAUAAUAGCAUGGUUGAAAUGUUUGUUCCAAAACAAAGAGCAUGCCAAGUCGAUGCGAUGGCACAGAGAAGACCGUAAGAAAGACGAGAAGUUGAGAGUACCCGCUGACGGGUCGCUGUGGAGAAAAAUCGAGAGAAAGUACUAGGAGGACUUUGCAAGUGACGCAAGGAACGUAUGGUUUGGUCUAAGCGCAGAUGGCAUAAAUCCUUUUGGGGAGCAGAGCAGCAACCAUAGCACCUGGACUAUGACGCUAUGUAUGUAUAAACCUGCCUCCUUGGUUGUGCAUGAAGCGGAAGUUCAUUAUCAUGCCAGUGCUCAUCCAAGGCCCUAAGCAAGCCGGCAAUGACAUUGAUGUGUACCUAAGGCCAUUAGUUGAAGAACUCUUACAGUUGUGGAAUGAAAAAGGUGUACGUGCGUGGGAUGAUCACGAACAGGAAGAAUUUGACCUACAUGCGUUGCUGUUUGUGACCAUCAAUGAUUGGCCUGCUCUCAGUACCUUUCAGGACAGACAAACAAGGGAUACCGCGCAUGCACGCAUUGUUUGGAUGAUACUGACAGUAUAUAUUUGGAUAAUUGUAACAAGAAUGUGUACCUGGGACAUCGUUGAUUUCUUCCGAGCAGUCAUCUCGUAAGAAAGAAAGGCAAGCAUUUCAAAGGUGAGGUAGAUCAUCGAUGAAGCCUUGACACCGUAUCGGUGAUGAUGUACAUGAUAUGGUCAAGGAUUUGAAGGUAAUCUUUGGAAAGGGUCCUGGCGGACAAUGUUUGGAAAGACACUGACGGACGCACACCCAUGUGGAAGAAGAAAUCUAUAUUUUGGGACCUGCCCUAUUGGAAAGACCUAGAGGUCUGCUCUACAAUCGACGUGAUGCACGUGACGAAGAAUCUUUGCAUGACCCUGCUGUCGGUGGGAAAUGACACCUAUGGGAUCACGAGGAUCCCUUCUACAGUUGCGGGGCACGGGAUUGUGAGAAGAGCAGGAUUAGUAACCAGCACAAGGAUAGUUUACCCAGGUGUCGGUGUCAAAACCGGCGGAUCUCGGGUAGGGGGUCCCGAACUGUGCGUCUAGGCAGAUGGUAACAGGAGACAAGGGACACGAUGUUUUUACCCAGGUUUGGGCCCUCUCGAUGGAGGUAAAACCCUACUCCUGCUUGAUUAAUAUUGAUGAUAUGGGUAGUACAAGAGUAGAUCUACCACGAGAUCAGAGAGGCUAAACCCUAGAAGCUAGCCUAUGGUAUGAUUGUUGUUUGUCCUACGGACUAAAAACCUCUGGUUUAUAUAGGCACCAAAGAGGGUUAGGGUUACACAGAGUCGGUUACAAUGGUAGGAGAUCUACAUAUCCGUAUCGCCAAGCUUGCCUUCCACGCCAAGGAAAGUCCCAUCCGGACACGGGAUGAAGUCUUCAAUCUUGUAUCUUCAUAGUCCAGGAGUCCGACCAAAGGUGAUAGUUCGGCUAUCCGAACACCCCCUAAUCCAGGACUCCCUCAGUAGCACCUGAACCGGGCUUCAAUGACGAUGAGUCCGGCACGCAUAUUGUCUUCGGCAUUGCAAGGCGGGUUCCUCCUCCGAAUACUUCAUAGAAGAUUUUGAACACAAGGAUAGUGUCCGGCUCUUCAAAAUAAGUUCCACAUACCACCAUAGAGAGAAUAAUAUUUACACAAAUUCAAUCUGCCAACGUAUUCUGUGGCGUGACAUCACAACAUGGCCAAGCCUUUAUUCGAAUCGUUUUUACUGUCCCACCUCAGCGCGUUUAGCGAGGCGGUUUCCUUGGAACAUCUUGUUAAAGCAGAGAUCGUGUCCCCUUAUUCUGGGAUUCUCAUCAAUACGGGCGUGGGUAACCCAACCGCGCCUUCAAUUACGGUGCUCGGGAGAUAAGCGAGUUUUACCAGGCUGGUGGGGACGCAUAGUUUCAUCCGUCCAUAUAAGGGGAUAAGGAUCCACUUUUUCACACAUGCCUUCUUCCUCCUUUGCUCAUCCAUUUCCGCUCACUCGAGCUCCAGUGCCCAAGUCCGCACACCUCGCCUCAAUCUUCCCCUUCCAUGUCUGGAGGGGGAGGCAAGUGGAUGGUCUCCUCCGUCACGGAGGGACAUAUCAAAAAGUUGUGGAAAGCCGGAUACUUGUCCAGUGACAUCGCGCAUCGGCUCCCCGACAAGGGGCAGCUUAUCCCCAACCCCAGGCCCCAUGAGAGGGUGGUGUUCCUCACCCACUUCCUCCACGGACUAGGUUUUCCACUUCACCCAUUUGUCCGGGGGCUCAUGUUCUACUACGGCCUGGAUUUCCAUGAUCUGGCCCCGAAUUUCGUCCUCAACAUCUCGGCGUUUAUCGUCAUGUGCGAGGCCUUCCUCUACAUCCGGCCACAAUUCGGCUUAUGGCUGAAAACCUUCAAUGUCAAGCCGAAUGUAGUGGGCGGCCGCCAGGCGGAGUGCAGAGGUGCCAUGGUGGGCAGGAUGCCCAACGUUUUAUGGCUCGAGGGCUCCUUCAUGGAGACCAUAAAGGGGUGGCGAUCGAGGUGGUUCUACAUCACCGAGCCGCGUGACCCUAAAUGGGUGGCAGCCCCCGAAUUCCGAUCUGGCUUCCCUACACGGCUCACCUCUUGGAAAGAGACGGGCCUGACAUGGGGUAAUUCGGAAGAGCUGACCGGACUCCAAACCUGCGUCCAAUCCCUGGUGACCAAGAAGCUCAAGCUUGUCAACGUAGUCCAGGUCAUGCUCAUCCACCGGAUCCUCCCGUGCCAACAACGGGCCUUCAACCUCUGGGAGUUUGAUCCGGCACAGCACCAAACCUUGAGCAGGCUCUUCGACACUACAUACAAAGAUGCCUGGAAGGUGCUGUUCAAGGGCGCCGAGGCUCCCGCAUCUGAUACCGAAGAUCGCGGAUUCAGCUCGCAGUGUCAAGCCAACGAGGUAAGCUAUUUUACCCUUUACAGGACAUUCGUUUUUCAUAGUUUGACUCUAUGCUCGAAGACAUCCGGGCAGGUUGACUGUCCGGCUCCCUUGCCAGAAGACCCAGCGGACGCUCGAUUGAUGGGGCUGCUGGUUCCGGCACCUCAUGUGGUGUCGGAGAAGAAGGCCAAGAAGAAGGCCAUGGGAACUCGAAAGAGUUCCCGGCGCCAGGUUCUAUCGGACUCAUCGUCCGAUGACUCUGAGGCAGACUCCUCCCGCGAAGACGAGGAGGAGGAAAAAGCGGCCUCUCCCCCAGCAGGGGGGAGAAGAAAAGGAAGGCUGCCCCAACUGGGGAGGCCAGAGGGUCCAAGAAGGGAAGGACCCUUCCUCCAGACUACUCCACCAACGCCGACAACGGCGAAGAGGAGUGGCUACUGAGGGCUAAGCCCCCGGCGACAUCGUAAGUAUCCGGAUACCAGAAUAACUCAUGGCGUUUCGUUUGUCGUAUAGAAUCUCCUAACGCCGGAUAUAACCCUGCAGCCCGCCCAAGGACGAGCUCGACGCUUCAACGAGGGGCUCCCUGGCUUCGUCGGACGUGAAUAGCAAUUCACUUCCAGCCGCCUCCUCUCCUCGCGCUGCGGAUGACGCCGAGGUGGGGUCCCAAAAGGGGCCCAGCCAGGAGGAGGAGGCCUAGGAGGCACCGCAAGGCAACCUCCCAGACUCCAGGCACAAGGGGAUCAAACCCCAAAGGGCUCUAAGUCCGGCCCUGGGCCGGACUCCGUACCGGAACCUUUAGUGGUUCCGGAGUCCGGCAGGCGGCCCCUUCGUAAGAAGGGCGGGGCUGCAACGCCGGUGACCUCCGUCCAACUGGAUGCGCCGCGUAAUUUGCUGGAGGCGCUUAACGGCGCCUCCAUCGAUGAGGAGCACCGCACUGUUAUGAGUGUGAUGAUCCAGAAAGUUCAGUCCACCAAGAGCGGGCUGUCUGAAGCCCGUGCCAGCCAUCUAACAGGCUUUGAGGUAUGUAUUUGAGAUAUGUAAAAAUAUUACCGCAUAGACAGUAGCCCCUGAUGCUCAGUUUGGUGUUCGGAAAGAAAAGCCGAACUGAGGAUCUAAAAAGAUGUACGCAGGAGUCUAACAUAAGUAUGUCAAUACGGGGAAUGCAGGCUGUGCUGCUGACCUCUGCCGCACUGACUGCGGACGCAUUGAAGCAGAACCUCGAGUGGUCCGAGAACGAGCUCGGCCUUGCCAAAAAGCAGCUCGAGGACAAGGAAGGUAAGUAAUACCUUAUGGAAGUAUAUAAAAGAUGUGGUUGCAAAAAAUAGCAGGAAUAACGUGAGAAUUGCAGGGGCCACAAACGAGGUGGCGACCCUGAAGGAAGCAGUGUCCAAGGCCGAAAGCAAUGCGGCCGCAGAGCGCACCGAGCAAGAGAAGCAGGAGGCGCGGGUGGCGGAGGUGCGGCAAGAUCUCCAGGAUCUCGUGGAAAAGAACGAGAGUUUGGAGCGUGACUCAAAGACUCGAGAGUCCGAGCUCGCCUCGGCUCUUGAGAGCGCCAAAGCUGCUAAGGCAGAAGCCCAAAAAGCCCUCUAGGAAAUUGAGGCGAUGAAGAAGAUAGCGGCGGGUAAGGCAUUCUUCAUGCAAAGCAAACACGUGAAAGUGAAUUACUUGUUACGUACCCGAAUCCGAAGCUCUCGAGGAGCAUUCGCAGAUCUGCCCCGCAGUGUGUCCGACGCUGCCGCAUUCUACCGGGCCGAGGAGGGGAGCUCGACUGAGAAUGUGUUCUGGUCUCAGUAUGCUGAGGCCGGACACCCGGUGCCCUUGAGCGACCAGCUGAAGCAGCUGGUCGAGCUCCAUAAGGUGGCUGAACAGGCCAUGAAGGGCCUCAUAGUUCGGCUAUGGCCUAGUGAAGCCAUGCCUGGGAGCUACUUCGGGCUGGUGAGGCGGCUGGUGGACGUCUGUCCAUGGAUUGAAGUCGUCAAGCGCUUCGUCUGUAUCAAAGGUGCCCGCAGGGCUAUUGCCCAUGCUAAAGUGCACUGGGGCAAGAUGGACGCUGAGAAGCUUGUGAGGGAUGCUCCACCGCCGGGUAGGGAGUAUCGCAUGCCCGAGAUGUGUUAUGCGUGCGUCCUGAAGGGUGCCCACCUUAUAGCGGGUGAAUGCUCCAAAGAUGUAAUUUUGAGUAAACUCGCAUUUGUUAUCCUGUACGCUUGAAAACUUGUUCAUAUGCGCUAAGAAACGCUUGUGAAUUUAAAAUAUUACCUUCUGUGCGGCCGUUUAUUAAAUAUGAGAGAUGGCGAGUCAUCGGCUUCUGCCCCCAUGCCUCGAGUGCUGGGGUGUUCGGGAUAAACUUGAGCGCUCUUUUUCCCAUUCUUGGGUCCUUCGAGGGAGGCGCUCAACGCAACGAACAAGGCAACCGGACUAUAAUGCUUGAACACUCUCACUUAGCCAUAGAAUUCUAUAAUUUUAAAUUUUGGCGAAGCCCCUAAUAUUCGGAAGACCGAAUUCGGGGCGUUAUCCACGCCUGGGCUGGACAAAGCCGGCUCCUCGCUCUAAGCGGCAUAAGUCUUUAGGGACUCUAAAACCUCUCGAACAGCGACCGGCUCUCGCCCUAUCAUGAAGGUCAGUUUUAGCUUUCUCCACUUAGGUGCUCAACCCAGCUCAACCGGGGCACAAUCGCAGUGGUUCUCCCAGCGCUACCUUAGCCGAUAUAACGGAACGUAAGGUACAAAAACAUGGGAGCCGGGCAAACCCAACUAUUGACCCAAGACAUGAUUCGAAGCCGAUGCAUAUAAUGCUAUAAGUUCGGGGUGCCACACUUGUGAAAGUGUUCGGACUUAUCACACCAUAUUUUGGGGUACUUAAGCCCCUGGUGUAUUUGGCCGUACCAAAGCGUACGGAUGCAAUAUGUCAUAUGUGAACAUAUAUAGAUAAGAAAAAGGAAUGCCAUAAUAGGCAAAAGUUGUGCAUUAAUUAUUAAAAAAGCUGCGGUAAAAGCAGAACGAUACAAAUAGUGCGAUAAGCAAGGGACAGGACUAUUUGACACGUCCCCCUCCAGGAGCGAGCCACGGGAUGAUAUGUAAAACAAGUAAACUGCUCGUUAUAGAGACCACCUGGACAUUCGACGUAGCUUUCUGCUUCCCUGGCUGUUGCAUCGUGUGUUCGGCGAUUCUACUACCAGGCAGGGCUUCUUGAUAAAGGAGUCCUGAAAGUAAGAAAAAGAAUUACACAAUCAGGAGCCCCUGGUGCGGUUGAGCCGCAUUCUAGGCCUGCCAUGGUCGUGCCCCUCCCCCUAUAACCAUGGUAUUUCCAGAGCGUAAUUAUGUACGCGUAGUACUGGUUUCGCAAUGUCGCGAGGGCUGGGGUUGGGGCCGCAUUGCUACGCGUGCUCGGAACGUGCUGGGCGGUCCUGUUGUAGGUUACUCCGGGUGCGCUUGGCGGUGUCCGGACGUUUAAUAGCCGGACUCGAGAAUUGCCUUAAGAGGCUGCUUUGUACUUCCUCCGCGAGAGCCGCCGUGUGCUCCUCCGUUCGGAGAGAGCAUUUGGUGUUUCCGUUGACCGUAAUGACUCCUCGAGGGCCUGGCAUCUUGAGCUUGAGAUAUGCGUAGUGCGGCACCGCAUUGAACUUUGCAAAUGCGGUUCGUCCGAGCAGUGCGUGAUAGCCGCUGCGGAACGGGACUAUGCCGAAGAUUAAAUCCUCGCUUCAAAAGUUAUCCGGGGAUCCGAAGACCACUUCAAGUGUAACUAAGCCUGUACAAUUGGCCUCUACACCUGGUAUGACGCCUUUAAAUGUUGUCUUUGUGGGUUUAAUCCUUGAGGGGUCUAUGCCCAUUUUGUGCACUGUAUCCUGAUAAAGCAGGUUCAGGCUGCUGCCGCCGUCCAUCAAGACUCGAGUGAGGUGAAAUCCGUCAAUGAUUGGGUCCAGAACCAAUGCGGCGAAUCCGCCGUGGCGGAUGCUAGUGGGGUGGUCCCUUCAAUCAAAAGUGAUCGGGCAAGAGGACCACGGGUUGAACUUUGGGGCGACUGGCUCCAUUGCAUGUACGUCCCUUAGUGCAUGCUUCCGCUCCCUUUUGGGUAUGUGGGUUGCGUAUAUCAUGUUCACAGUCUGCACUUGUAGGGGGAAGCCUUCUGUCCUCUGUUGUUCGGCGGCCGGGGUUCCUACUCGUCGUCGCUAUGCAUCCCCUUGUCAUUGUUUUCGGCAUGUAACUUGCCUGCCUGCUUGAACACCCAACAAUCCCUGUUGGUGUUGUUGGCUGGUUUUUUGGGGGUGCCGUGUAUCUGGCAUGAGCGACCGAGUAUUCGGUCCAAAUUGGAUGGGCCCGGAGUAUUUCUUUUGAAUGGCUUUUUCCGCUGACCGGGUUUAGAGCCUCUGAAUCCGGCAUUGACUGUCGUAUCUUCAUAAUUAUCGCCGUUAAUGCGGCGCUUGUGCUUGUUGCGACGUAACCUGCCAUUGCUGUCCUUGGUAUCCAAAUUACCAGGGAUCUUGGUCAUGUUAUUGCUACGAGCUAGCCAGCUAUCUUCUCCCGCGCAAAAGCGGGUCAUGAGUGUUGUGAGGGCUGCCAUGGAUUUCGGCUUUUCCUGUCCUAGGUGCCGGGUGAGCCACUCGUCGUGGAUGAUAUGGUUGAAGGCUGCAAGGGCCUCUGCAUCCGGACAGUCAAUGAUUUGAUUUUUCUUGGUUAGGAACCGUGUCCAGAAUUGUCUGGCCAAUUCCUCUGGCUGCUGAAUUAUGCGGCUUAGGUCAUCGGCGUCUCGUGGUCGCACAUAGGUGCCCUGGAAAUUGUCGAGGAAUGCGGCUUCCAGGUCUUCCCAACAACCAAUUGACUCUGUUGGCAAGCUGUUAAGCCAAUGUUGAGUUGGUCCUUUAAGCUUGAGUUGGAGGUAUUUGAUGGCGUGUAGAUCAUCACCGCGGGCCAUGUGGAUGUGGAGGAGAUAGUCCUCGAUCCAGACCGCAGGAUCUGUUGUGCCAUCGUAAGAUUCAAUGUUUACGAGUUUGAAACCCUCAGGGAUUUGAUGAUCCAUCACUUCGUCUGUGAAGUAUAGUGGGUUUGCGGCGCUUCUGUAUUGGGCUAUAUCACAACGUAGCUCAAAUGGGCUUUGUCUGCUGUGUUCGGCCCGGCCGGAUUUGCUGUAUCCGGCAUGACGGUUGUCGUCACGUGUAGUGAGGCGCCCACGUGAUCCGUAGAUCGAUCUUGUUUGCCUUGCCUUGUCCUCCAAUAUGUCUCGCAGGUCUGGCGCACUUCCCCGUGCCUUAGUAUUUUUGAGCGGCGCCGGGGUGCGGCUUGAGUGGAGGACCGAGAGGUCUCUCUGUCGCGGCAACGAGGUGUCCGGUUGGCCGCAUCCUGCGCUGGUGAUGUAGGUUUGAGUGCUUCCUCCUCCAAUCGGGGUAGCAGCCUGCGUUUUGGGUAGCUCUUGGAGGGGCGUUCGAGUUCGUACUCUUGGCCGCAAGGACUUCAGUCCAUCUGUCAGCUAGCAAAUCUUGAUCAGCUCUAAGCCGUUGCUGCUUUUUCUUGAGGCUGCUUGCCGUGGCCAUAAGCCUGCGUUUGAAACGCUCCUGUUCGACGGGAUCCUUAGGCACGACAAAUUUGUCGUUGUCGAGGCUUGCCUCGUCUUCGGAGGGAGGCAUGUAAUUAUCAUCCUCCACCUCUCUAUCUACCGCUCUCUCAUGAGGGCUGGCUACUCCAUCAUCCUAUGCUGAAUCCUGCUGGAGGGGGUUGUCUUCGGCACUUUUCGGGGUGUUAUUGCCUCCCGUGCCGGAAUCACCGUUUUUGCUGUGGCGGGAUUUAGAGCGGCGCCGCUGACGCUGGCGCUUAGGCUGUUUCUUGGAGGGGUCAUCCUCCGUUAUUCCAUCGCCGUUCCCAUCUUUUGGGAUGUCCACCAUGUAAAUGUCGUAGGACGAGGUGGCCUUCCAGUGCCCUGUAGGCGAUGGUUCUUGGCCGUCUCCUGCAUCGUCGUCCAUACCGUCGAUGUCUUCAGAGUUGAAGUUGAGCAUGUCAGUUAAAUCAUCGACAGUGGCUACAAAGUGGGUGGUGGGUGGGCUUUGAAUUUAGGACAGGGCUCCAUCACCGUAGUACGGCCAGGGCUCUCCUAAUAAAGAGAGAGACUUUAGUGAAUUUAGUAUGUCGCCAAAGGGAGAGUGCUGAAAAAUGUCUGCGGCGGUGAACUCCAUGACCGGCGCCCAAUCGUAUUCGAUUGGCAGGGGCGCGGAAGGUUCGGAGUCCGGAGAGGAGUCCAGAGAGGAGUCCGGUACCUUGGAGUUACGAGCCUUGCAAAGGACUGGGAUAGUAUUCAGCUCCAUCACCGUAGAGAUAGCAGCCCCCGAGGCGGUGUCCAGCCACCCGUCCUCGGUCGGCGCAGUCGGCUCCGCGCUAAGGGUCGGAGCGAACACUUAUGCAGCCUCCAGGGCACUGUCCGGCGACAGAGCUAGAUCGUGACCAUCGUGCAGUGCGGCGCGCUUGGCUUUGGCUCGAACCCGUCGAAGAUCAAGUCUCCGCGGACGUCAGCCGUAUAGUUCAAAGCCGCCGAAUACGAAGAUCUGCCUGGGGAGACAAGUCUCACCCUGGACCGCAUCGUUGUUGAUGAUCGGAGGAGCCAUCGGGCCUAAAGAUGACGACACAGAGGAACUCUCAAUGAAAGCACCAAUGUCGGUGUCAAAACCGGCGGAUCUUGGGUAGGGGUCCCGAACUAUGCGUCUAGGCGGAUGGUAACAUGAGACAAGGGACACGAUGUUUUUACCCAGGUUCGGGCCCUCUCGAUGGAGGUAAAACCCUACUCCUGCUUGAUCAAUAUUGAUGAUAUGGGUAGUACAAGAGUAGAUCUACCACGGGAUCAGAGAGGCUAAACCCUAGAAGCUAGCCUAUGGUAUGAUUGUUGUUCGUCCUACGGACUAAAACCCUCCGGUUUAUAUAGGCACCAAAGAGGGUUAGGGUUACACAGAGUCGGUUACAAUGGUAGGAGAUCUACAUAUCUGUAUCGCCAAGCUUGCCUUCCACGCCAAGGAAAGUCCCAUCCGGACACGGGACGAAGUCUUCAAUCUUGUAUCUUCAUAGUCCAGGAGUCCGGCCAAAGGUGAUAGUUCGGCUAUCCGGACACCCCCUAAUCCAGGACUCCCUCACCAGGUUCGGGCCGCGAGGAUGCGUAAAACUCUAGUCCUGCUUUGGUGGAUGUAUUGAGUGUUCUUGAGCUCCUGAACUGGCUACCGUGGAUGCCUCAUUCAAAAGAGCCAAAUCCCUCUCCAGUACGCCAUGGGCCUCCUUUUAUAGUCGAAAGGGGCUGCCACAGUGGAACACAUGAGGUGGAAAGGCCUACAGUGCUAUGAGAUUAUCGCUCGUAUUACAAGACAAGGAUCAUUUAAUGCGUAGCUUAGGUGUCCUCUUGCUUUAUCGGGGAUGGGAGCGAGGCCCAUCCUGUCCGUCGCUGCUCCUCCUCGCUUGGACACGCUCCUUGGCCAGCGAUGCAUGCGGCGCCAUGUAGGCAGGCAAGCAGCUGAGGUGGCGCGGUGGUGGAGCCUCUAUGAAGAUCUGCAUGCCACCACGCAGGCGUGUGCUGAGUUGGCCUGGAAGCUGCAUGUUGCCACGCAGGUGCCUGCCCAGCUGGUUGGGCUGGCAACUGCAUGUGAACGGCGGUGGAGACUUGGUUGGUGCGGGCCUGGCAGUGGCCCCGCUGACGCCCUUGGUGAGGGUCUUGCCGGGUGGCCCGGCAAGGGUCUUGCCGUGGCGCUGUCGUCCCCGGCAAGGGUCUUGCCAGGGGUCUUGUGGGUUUCCUCGGCAAGGAUCUCGUCGAGGAUCGUUGCCUUCCAAUCCUUAUCUGAUCUUGAAUAUUCUCUGUCAUCACAAAGAUCUGCAUGCCACCAUGGAGGUGCCUCCCGAGCCCUAGGCCAACGUGGUUGAUGGUGUUGGAGACCGUGGGUUCGAGGGUGGCUCACUCUGCUGGUGUGGGCGAGCCGCCCCGGCAAAGGGCUUGCCGGGGCUGCUGAGGCUGCCCCGGCAAGGGUCUUGUCGAGGAAACCUGCUUCGUCCAUCUGCUCUCUUAUGUGGAUGGUUUUGUCGAAGAUCUGUAUGCCAUCUCAGAGGCGCCUCCCGAGCCCUGGGCUCAAGGGUGGUCCACUCCGUUGGCAGUGGGCAGGCGGCCCUGGCAAGGUUCUCGCUGGGGCCGUGGGGGCUGCCCCGGCAAGGGUAUUGCUGGGGGAACCCUCCUUGCCUGUUUGCUCUUGCUCUUGGUGUUUCUGGUCUGGGCGUCGCUUUGACCAUCUUGCGGCUUCGAUUCCUCCCUUCUGCCCUGCUAAGUGUGGAUUCGGCCUAUGGCUCUGACUGCCCAUGCACAAGUAAGGGGUGCAAAGAAGUGCCCCUACUUUGGUACACCGACAGGAGCCCCCGGGCCUGGGCCACACAUAGGCGCAACGCCUUGUUGGGCCAGGCCCAAGACGGUGCGCGGGCAGGCGGGGCGGUUUUUACCGCAGUAUUUGUCCGUCCGCCACGCUUCCCCACGAUCUGCGUUGAAUGUGUGACGUGGUGGUCGCGCGCACGCGCGGGUGAUCAAAGCAUGCUUUUGUCAUCUUGCGGUGAAUAGUAAAGAGGCGGCUUGCGCGUCCCUUCGAGACCGCGGGGCCGCCGCUCAUUUACUGUCCGUACCUGGGAACCGUCGCUCCACUUGUCCCAUUACCCCGUCUCCCACGCCACGUACACCUCAUGCAUGAUGCAGAGCGAAUGACAGGCCUGCGGGAUACGGGAAGGCGUGCACGGGUGGGUCGAUUCCCACGCUCCUUCAAUUGGGAGGGGAUGGCGGUCGACGGCCCCACGCGUUGUCACUUCAAUGAACCGGAUUGGCCGAGAGGGGCAGCCGAGCCCCGCCCCCGCUUCUUUAUAAGCAGGGGAGCAGGAGGAACGGCGCCUCUCAAUCCUUCCUCACCUGCUUCUCUCCAUUCUUGCUCCCUCCUUCCUUCUGCCAUGGCGAGGGGGCAUGGCGACGCUUCAUCGGUGGCGGCGAGGGUCUCGGCUAGAUAAUGCAUCGCUCCUGCCCAAGAGCUCGUGGUGGCAGAGCUAGCCGUUAGAGGAAGGGGAGGGGGGCGAGGUCGAGGCCGUCGCGGCGCUCGAGGGAGAGGAGGACGGGGCGGCAGAUCGGCCUCGCCUCCACCAGUGGCCCUCCCCCGGUGGAGGGUCACAUCGGGGAUAACCCUUAUGAUUUCUUCAUCAGGCUGCGCGAGCCGCCGCGCCGUCGUCUUCGCCUCUCCCCGUCUGAACUACCAACUAACCAUCUGAACUACCAUAUGAAUCACAAUCUAACCAAUGCAACUGAUACGUCUCCGUCGUAUCUACUUUUCGAAACACUUUUGCCUUUGUUUUGGACUCUAACUUGUAUGAUUUGAAUGGAACUAACCCGGACUGACGCUAUUUUUAGCAGAAUUGCCAUGGUGUUGUUUUAUGUGCAGAAAAUAAAAGUUCUUGGAAUGACCUGAAACUCCACGGAACACCUUAGAAAAAACAAUAAAAAAUCCUCGCCAAAGAUGAAGACCAGGGGGCCCACACCCUGUCCACGAGGGUGGGGGGCGUCCCCCUGUGCGCGCCCCCCUACCUCAUGGCCCCCCUGGUGGCCCUCCGACGCCAACUCCAACUCCAUAUAUUGGCUUUCGGGGAGAAAAAAAUAAGAGAGAAUAAAUCAUCGCGUUUUACGAUACAGAGCUGCCGCCAAGCCCUAACUCUCUCGGGAGGGCUGAUCUGGAGUCCGUUCGGGGCUCCGGAGAGGGGGAUUCGUCGCCGUCUUCAUCAUCAACCAUCCUCCAUCACCAAUUUCAUGAUGCUCACCGUUGUGCGUGAGUAAUUCCAUCGCAGGCUUGCUGGACGGUGAUGGGUUGGAUGAGAUUUAUCAUGUAAUCGAGUUAGUUUUGUUAGGGUUUGAUCCCUAGGAUCCACUAUGUUCUGAGAUUGAUGUUUCUAUGACUUUGCUAUGCUUAAUGCUUUUCACUAGGGCCCGAAUGCCAUGAUUUCAGAUGCUCACCGCUGUGCGUGAGUAAUUCCAUCGCAGGCUUGCUGGACGGUGAUGGGUUGGAUGAGAUUUAUCAUGUAAUCGAGUUAGUUUUGUUAGGGUUUGAUCCCUAGGAUCCACUAUGUUCUGAGAUUGAUGUUUCUAUGACUUUGCUAUGCUUAAUGCUUUUCACUAGGGCCCGAAUGCCAUGAUUUCAGAUCUGAACCUAUUAUGUUUUCAUGAAUAUAUGUGUGUUCUUGAUCCUAUCUUGCAAGUCUAUAGUCACCUACUAUGUGUUAUGAUCCGGCAACCCCGAAGUGACAAUAAUCGGGACCACUCCCGGUGAUGACCAUAGUUUGAGGAGUUCAUGUAUUCACUAUGUGCUAAUGCUUUGUUCCGGUUCUCUAUUAAAAGGAGGCCUUAAUAUCCCUUAGUUUCCAAUAGGACCCCGCUGCCACGGGAGGGUAGGACAAAAGAUGUCAUGCAAGUUCUUUUCCAUAAGCACGUAUGCCUAUAUACGGAAUACAUGCCUACAUUACAUUGACGAAUUGGAGCUAGUUCUGUGUCACCCUAUGUUAUGACUGUUACAUGACGAACCGCAUCCGGCAUAAUUAUCGAUCGCUAAUCCGGUGCCUACGAGUUUUCCAUAUACUGGUUCUCGCUUAUUUACUUUUCUGUUGUUACUAUUACAAUCACUACAAAAUACCAAAAACAUUACUUUUGCUGUCUUUACUUUUGUUACUGUUGCCACCACUAUCAUAUUACUUUGCUACUAAACACUUUGCUGUAGAUACUAAGUUUCCAGGUGUGGAUGAAUUGACAACUCAGCUGCUAAUACUUGAGAAUAUUCUUUGGCUCCCCUUGUGUCGAAUCAACAAAUUUGGGAUGAAUACUCUACCCUCGAAAACUGUUGCGAUCCCCUAUACUUGUGGGUUAUCAAGACCUUUUUAUGGCACCGUUGCUGAGGAGGAUAGCUCUAUUCUUUGAGUCACUUGGGAUUUAUAUCUGCUGGACGCUAUGAAGAACUUGAAAGAUGACCGAACUACUAUUUUGCCAUCAACUACAAGGGGAGGUAAGGAACUGCCAUCUAGCCUUGCACUAGAUUCUCCUUCUGUUAUAAGUAAGCUUGCGACACCUAAACCUGCAACUGCUAUGAAUUUUGGUAUGUCGCAUGCUAUUGAUGAUGCCACUUCUGCUAUGCAUGAUACUUAUGAUGAAACUACUUCUAUGCUUGAUACUAUUGUGCCCCUUGGUGAAUUUCUUGAUGAGCAAAUUGCUAGGUCUAGAGAAAGAGAAACUAUUGCACCUGAAUACGAUGAUGAUAGUGAUGAUGAUAAUAUGCCUGCUAUUCCUGAGGGUUAUCUUUUUGAUGCUGAAUCUUCUGUAGCUAUUUUUGCUUGCCAGCAUAGAUAUGAACUUAAGAGGUUGCUAGUUAAAUGGAGUAAAUAAUCUUCUAGAGAUAGAAUGAGACCCGACCCUGCUUUUGCUACUUCACCAAUUUGUGUUCCCGAUAAGGAUUAUUAUGAUUUUUCUGUUGAUCCAGAUAUAAUUACUUUGGUUGAAUCUGAUCCUUUUUAUGGCUAUGAAUCUGAAACUGUUGUGGCACAUCUUACUAAGUUAAAUGACAGCUGCUCUGUUUACUAAUAAUGAGAGAUCGCGCUACCUUUAUUUACUCAAAAUAUUUCCGUUCUCAUUAAAGGGUGAUGCUAAGAUAUGGUUUAAUUCUCUUGAUCCUGGUUGUGUGCAAAGUCCCCAGGAUAUGAUUUAUUACUUCUCUGCUAAAUAUUUCCCUCCUCAUAAGAAACAAGCUGCGUUGAGGGAAAUAUACAAGUUUGUGCAAAUUGAAGAAGAGAGUCUCCCACAAGCUUGGGGGAGGCUUCUCAAGUUACCUAAUGCUUUGCCUGAUCAUCCUCUUAAGAAACCUGAAAUACUUGAUAUCUUUUAUAAUGGACUAACUGAUGCUUCGAGAGAUUACCUGGAUAGUUGUGUUGGUUCUCUUUUUAGGGAAAGAACACCUGAUGGAGCUGAAAUUCUAUUGAAUAAUAUGUUGACAAAUGAAAAUAAUUGGGCACCUCCAGAGCCAGUUCCGGAGCCAAUUACUGAGCCUAUUCCUAAACCAACUCCGAAGAAGAGAGGUGUUCUAUUUUUCAGUCCCGAAGAUAUGCAAGAGGCAAACAUAUCUAUGAAAGAAAAAGGUAUUAAAGCUGAAGAUGUUAAGAAUUUACCUCCUAUUGAAGAAAUACAUGGUCUUAAUUUACCACCUGUUGAAGAAGUAUAUGAUCUCAAUAACUUAUUUACUGAAGAACCUCCCGAUAUCCCGACACAGGUAGUAAAGGUAAAUUCUCUCUAUAGAUAUGAUAAAGCUGAAGUCCCUCCUACUAAAAUUGCUAGUCAGUGCUUGGAUGAGUUUGAUGACUUUAUGUUUAAGCAAGAUGACUUUAAUGCUUAUUUUGGUAGACAUUUAAAACAAAAUACCUUUAUGAUUAAACUCUUGCGUGAUUAUAUGGCUGAUAUUAGAGGUGAACUUAAACUUGUUAGCAAACAUGCUUCUAUGGUUAUACCACUCAAGUAGAACAAGUACUUAAAGCUCAGAAAGAAGUGCUUGAUGAAAUGAAUAGUAAGAAAAAUGAUUAUGCUGUUAGAGUGGCUACUAGAACUGGUAGAAUGACUCAGGAACCUUUGUAUCCUGAAGGCCACCCUAAGAGAAUCGAGCAAGAUUCUCAGAGAAAUAAUAUUGAUGUACCUAGUUCUUCUAAAAGGAAGAAAAAGAAAAAUGAUAGGACUUUGCAAACUUCUAGUGAACCUAUUGUUGAACCACCUGAGAAUCCAAAUCACAUCUCUACGUCUAAUGUUGAAACACAAUCAGGUGAUGAACAUGAACCUAGUGAUAAUAUUAAUGAUAAUGUUCAUGUUGAUGCUCAACCUAGUAAUGAUAAUGAUGUAGAAGUUGAACCUACUGUUGAUCUUGAUAACCCACAAUCAAGGAAUCAACGUUAUGAUAAAAGAGACUUCGUUGCUAGGAAACAUGGUAAAGAAAGGGAACCAUGGGUUCAGAAACCCAUGCCUUUUCCUCCGAAACCAUCCAAGAAAAAGGAUGAUGAGGAUUUUGAGCGCUUUCCUGAAAUGAUUAGACCCAUCUUUUUGCGUAUGCGAUUAACUGAUGUGCUCAAAACAAAUCCUUAUGCUAAGUAUAUGAAGGAUAUCAUUACCAAUAAAAGAAUGAUACCUGAAGCUAAAAUUUCCACCAUGCUUGCUAAUUAUACUUUCAAGGGUGGAAUACCAAAGAAACUUGGAGAUCUAGGAGUACCUACUAUACCUUGCUCCAUUAAGAGAAAUUAUGUUAAAACUGCUUUAUGUGAUCUUGGAGCCGAUGUCAGUGUUAUGCCUCUCUCUUUAUAUCAUAGACUUGACUUGAAUAAGUUGACACCUACUCAAAUAUCUUUGCAAAUGGCAGAUAAAUCAGCUGCUAUACCUGUCGGUAUUUGUGAGGAUGUGCCUGUUGUGGUUGCUAACAUUACUAUUUUAACGGACAUUGUUAUUCUUGAUAUUCCCAAGGAUGAUAGUAUGUCUAUUAUUCUUGGAAGACCUUUCCUUAAUACUGCAGGGGCUAUUAUUGAUUGCAACAAAGGCAAUGUCACUUUUCAUGUUAAUGGCAAUGAGCACACGGUACACUUUCCGAGAAAACAACCUCAAGUUUAUAGUAUCAAUUCUAUUGGAAAAAUUCCAUCGAUUAUAUUUGGAGGUUUUGAAUUUCCUCUCCCUGCUGUCAAGAAAAAGUAUGAUAUUCUUAUUGUUGGGGAUUUUCAUAUCCUUGUUGAGGUAACUUAGUGUCAUUCAAAAUUUCUCCGGUUCCGUGGUUAUUCGGAAUGAGUUUGUUAACAAGACUUGAUCAACCUUGUUAGUGGGUUCAUUUUGAUGAUCACGAGAUGGAUGAAACUAGAAGCACAACCUUCUGUACCCUUUUUAUAUUUUCUGUUAUUUAGUAGAAAUAAAGUAAAAUAGUAUUUUUUCUGUCUGUCUCCUCACUUACCCGUGCAAUAUAAAAAUAUCCCGAAAUAAAAGUCCUCAGAAUGCCAUGCCAAUUUAAUAUGAUUUUCGGGAAUAUUUGAGGAUUAACUGUGCAAAAAUUACCGUGGGGGGAGCUGCCACCUGGCCACGAGGGUGGAGGGUGUGCCCUACCCCCCUGGGCGCGCCCCCUGCCUCGUGGGCCCAUGGUGGCCCUCCUCCACUUACCCCUGCACCCAUCUUCUUCCUAUGUCUCCCGCAAACAUGAAAAACCAACUCAAGCACGAGUUCCAGCCCCCGUUGCUGUGAUUUUCGAUCUCCUUGCUCAAAGCACCUCUCACAAAACUGCUUAGGGAGAUUGCUCCUUGGUAUGUGACUCCUCCAUUGGUCCAAUUAGUUUUUGUUCUAGUGCUUUAUUCAUUGCAAAUUUGUGCUGCAUAGGUGACCAUGUUCUUGAGCUUGCAUGUCAAAUUUAUAUGGUUCCAAGUAGUUCCAAAGCUUUAUAUAGGCUCUAGGCACUUGUGGGAAUUGUUACAUGUGUGUCCCUAUAGGGAGCGUUCACUUUCCUGCUAUACAUUAUUUUGCUCUCUUCAUAGGUAGAUGCAUAAAUGCUAAGGAUGAAGCAUGUCACAUGUGUGUCCCUGAUCUCAGCAUUCUUAGGAGUGCUAUGUUACGAGACCAAUCUUAUCAUAUGGGAGCCAUUAUAGCUCGUAGGUUGCAUCAGAAUAGACAUAACAGAGAUUUCUUUGGAGGAAUUUAUGCAACCCGCUUAGCUAAUUUUCUUGAGAUAGACAUUCGUGAGGGUGAUAUGGGGUUACCCCUUCUUAUUUAGAUUUUGAUUCUAUGGUUUCCCACCAGUUUGUUGAGAGGACUGAACCACCUCUCCAGUAUCGACUAAUCUUUAACAAACGUCAUAUAGUCCAUAUUGCUCUUCCUGCUCUUGCCUUCUUUGAUUCUCAGACAAAAGGAAGAUAUAUUAUUACCAGAGAGGAGGCAGAUGAGUACGAGAGGAGAGCGGAGGCUGCUCGACGCCACGCUACAGCUCAGGCGGCGAUAGCCGCUGCGUCACAGUAUGACCCCAGCUUCACCUACGGGUAUCCGCCAGGCUAUCCCUGGCAAUAGACCAACUUAGGCCAAAAGCCUAAGCUUGGGGAAGUACAUAUUUCCCACCGACAUUGCAUUCAUGUUCACACACUCAUUUCUAGCUGUCGGUGCUCAUACUCUUUCACUGUAUAUCCAUGCUAGUUUAUUUUCUUUUUCCUGCUUUCUUCUUGUGUGUUUGAUAAACCUUAAGAAAAAACCAAAAAAAUUAGUAGUAGUUUAUUUCUUUGCUGUAGUAAUUAGAAAGAAAACCCACAAAAUAUUUCCCAUUCUUCUUUUGCUUGUUGGGAGCUUUCCCGUGUAAAUAGUUUUUAUUUCUUUUCCUUUCUUUGGGGGUCGAGAAGACUAUAUUGAAAAUGCUUAGUGGCUCUCAUAUGCAUGAUUGUUUAUUUAACUUAGAGCCCAUAUUACUUGUCUUCUCUUUGAGUUGAAUGCUUGCAGAUUCCAGCUUAGUCCAAUGCACGUGCACUCUUAUUAUUAUACACAUCGUUCGGUCGUGCAAGUGAAAGGCAAUAAUGAUAAUAUAUGAUGGACUUAUUGAGAUGAGAAAAGCUGGUAUGAACUCGACCUCUCUUGUUUUUGUAAAUAUGAUGAUUCAUCGUUUCUGAGUCAGCUAUUAUGAAGUAACAUAUUUGCAAUGACAUUUAGAGAUUAUAGUUGCUUGUGCCAUGCUUGAUUAGCUAUGAGUUAUAAUGGAUUACCUUGCGUGCCAACAUGCUAUUAGAAUGAUUAUGAUGUGGUAUGAUGGGAUGGUAUCCUCCUUUAAAUGAAUUGAGUGACUCGACUUGGCACAUGUUCACGCAUGUAGUUGAAUCAAAUCAACAUAGCCUUCAUGAUAUUUAUGUUCAUGGUGGAUUAUAUCCUACUCAUGCUUGUAUUUGGUGUAAAUUAAUUUUAAUGCAUGUUUACGACUAUUGUCGCUCUCUCAGUUGGUCGCUUCCCAGUCUUUUGCUAGCCUUCACCUGUACUAAGCGGGAACACUGCUUGUGCAUCCAAACUCCUUAAACCCCAAAGUUGUUCCAUAUGAGUCCACUAUACCUUCCUAUAUGCGGUAUUUACCUGCCGUUCCAAGUAAAUUUAUAUGUGCCAAACUCUAAACCUUCAAAUAAACAUUCUGUUUUGCAUGCUCGAUUAGCUCAUAUGUCAACUAGAGCUUCCCUUAUCUUCCGUGUUAGGUGGGUUAUUCUCAAGAGGAGUGGACUCCGCUCCUCAUUCACGAGAAAAUGGCUGGUAGUCGGGAUGCCCAGUCCCAUGCUUUAUGCAAACUAAAUCAAAAUAACUGCAAACAAAACUCCCCCUGGGACCCGUUGAAUGUUGGAGGCACUCGUUGUUUCGAGCAAGCCAUGGAUUGAUGCUUGUGGAGGAGGGGGAGUAUAAACUUUACCAUUCUGUUUGGGAACCGCCUAUAAUCUGUUUAGCAUGGAAGAUAUCGUCGUCUUUUAGUUGUUAUGUUGACAAUGAGAGUAUGCCGCUCAAAAUAUAAUUUAUCUCUAUUUCAAAACCGAGCUCUGGCACCUCUACAAAUCCCUGCUUCCCUCUGCGAAGGGCCUAUCUAUUUACUUUAUGUUGAGUCAUCACCCUUCUUAUUAAAAAGCACCCGCUGGAGAGCACGCUGUCGUUUGCAUUCAUUAUAAUUGGUUUAUAUUGGGUAUGACUUGACUGGAUCUAUUUUACCAUGAAUUACAAUGUUUAGUCAGUCCUUGAUCUUUAAAGAUGCUCUGCAUUUAUGUUUUGCGGUCUCAGAAAGGGCUAGCGAGAUACCAUUUUGUUAUAUCAUGUUAUGAUUAUUUUGAGAAAGUGUUGUCAUCCGAGUUUUGCUAUUAUAGCUCCUAGCUGAUUAUGCUAUUGAUAUGAGUAAUUGUGAGACCUAUGUGUUAUUGUGAGUAUGGUUAGUUCAUAAUAUUGGCUGAAACUUGAAUGCUGGCUUUUCAUGUUUACAACAACAAGAGCAAACAGAGUUUGUAAAAGUUUUUCUUUUUCUCUUUUAGUUUGUCAACUGAAUUGCUUGAGGACAAGCAAGGCUUUAAGCUUGGGGGAGUUGAUACGUCUCUGUCGUAUCUACUUUUCCAAACACUUUUGCCCUUGUUUUGGACUCUAACUUGUAUGAUUUGAAUGGAACUAACCCGGACUGAUGCUGUUUUCAGCAGAAUUGCCAUGGUGGUGUUUUAUGUGCAGAAAAUAAAGGUCUCGGAAUAACCUGAAACUCCAUGGAACACCUUAGAAAAAACAAUAAAAAAUCCUCGCCAAAGAUGAAGACCAGCGCGCCCCCCUACCUUGUGGGCCCCCUGGUGGACCUCCGACGCCAACUCCAACUCCAUAUAUUGCCUUUCGGGGAGAAAAAAAAUCAGAGAGAAUAAAUCAUCGCGUUUUACGAUAUGGAGCCGCCGCCAAGCCCGAAUCUCUCUCGGGAGGGCUGAUCUGGAGUCCGUUCGGGGCUCCGGAGAGGGGGAUUCGUCGCCGUUGUCAUCAUCAACCAUCCUCCAUCACCAAUUUCAUGAUGCUCGCUGCAGUGCGUGAGUAAUUCCAUCGUAGGCUUGCUAGACGGUGAUGGGUUGGAUGAGAUUUAUCAUGUAAUCGAGUUAGUUUUGUUAGGAUUUGAUCCCUAGUAUCCACUAUGUUCUGAGAUUGAUGUUGCUAUGACUUUGCUAUGCUUAAUGCUUGUCACUAGGCCCCGAGUGCCAUGAUUUCAGAUCUGAACCUAUUAUGUUUUCAUGACUAUAUGUGUGUUCUUGAUCCUAUCUUGCAAGUCUAUAGUCACCUACUAUGUGUUAUGAUCCGGCAACCCCGAAGUGACAAUAAUCGGGACCACUCCCGGUGAUGACCAUAGUUUGAGGAGUUCAUGUAUUCACUAUGUGCUAAUGCUUUGUUCCGGUUCUCUAGUAAAACAGGCCUUAAUAUCCCUUAGUUUCCAAUAGGACCCUGCUACCAUGGGAGGGUAGGACAAAAGAUGUCAUGCAAGUUCUUUUUCAUAAGCACGUAUGACUAUAUACGGAAUACAUGCCUACAUUACAUUGACAAAUUGGAGCUAGUUCUGUGUCACCCUAUGUUAUGACUGUUACAUGACGAACUGCAUCCGGCAUAAUUGUCCAUCGCUAAUCCGGUGCCUACGAGUUUUCCAUAUACUUGUUCUCGCUUAUUUACUUUUCUAUUGUUACUAUUACAAUCACUACAAAAUACCAAAAACAUUACUUUUGUUGUCUUUACUUUUGUUACCGUUGCCACCACUAUCAUAUUACUUUGCUACUAAACACUUUGCUGCAGAUACUAAGUUUCCAGGUGUGGUUGAAUUGACAACUCAGAUGCUAAUACUUGAGAAUAUUCUUUGGAUCCCCUUGUGUCGAAUCAACAAAUUUGGGUUGAAUUCUCUACCCUCGAAAACUGUUGCGAUCCCCUAUACUUGUGGGUUAUCAGCAACUAGGGAGCAAUUAACUCUACAAGAUAAGCAAGUGCAAAUACCUGAUCCUCCACGGUAGGCGGCGCAAUGGGGGCAUCUGGAUUGACUGUGCCGCUUGGUCCCUUCACCUUCUGCAGCGAUGAGGCAGAGCCCGCCACAUCUGCAGCGGUUGCGAGUUUCCCCGCACCAUCAUGAACGCCACCAACAUCCGUGGUCGCCGCGCCCGGACCCUGCAGCUCCACCACAUCUCCGGCCGCUGCGCCGGCGUCGCCACGAGCGUCGGCCAUCUUACAGAUGGAGGCGAUGAAGGUGAGGAAGAGGAUGCGGUGGGGGAGAGCGAGAUGGUGCGGUGGAGGCAGUGGAGGAGAGCAAGAUGACGCCGGUGGGGGAGAGGAAGAAGAUGUGGCAGGGAGGGGAUUUGGGGUUAAAUGGUAGGGGCGAUGGAGGUGGUUGCCCUCUUUAUAUGAUGGGACGUUUCAGGCAUGUCCAUGGACACAUGCUACCCCACGACCGCGGUCUCGCAUGCGCCCACGUAUACGCGGCCCCACUCGUCAGCUAACGGUCAAAGGUAUUGACCCGACAACAACGUCCGUUAUAACCUGUUUUGAGGGUUUCGGGCAAGGGAGUGGGGAAAAGUGAGCAAAAGUUAACAGAGUGGGGAUGAAUGAGUAGAGCUAGGGAACCAGGAGCACAGAAAUAAAAAUCCCUUUUGUGUAUGGGGCAAUGAGAUAUUCAUGAACAAGCAUCAAGUGAGGAAAUUGAUAAGGAUUGUUAGCAAAAAGAUAUGAAUUGUGGCAAGCAAAUUAUUUGUUUAUGCUCUAUCCAACACAAGAGUGAGCUGUAGGAUGGUAACUACAAAAUCUGCAGCCUUGUCUUUUUACUGCCCAUAAUGAUUUGUUAGAAAACAAUGUCUGAAUCUUUUUCAUUCGCGGUGGUUCCCGAAGCAGUUCACUCAAGAUUACCUUGCAAAGUACAUGAUUGGUGGACACACAAUAAAGGUUAAAGUAUUUCAUCCAGACUAUAGUGAGCAUCUAGAAGUCAUAAUGAAGAUAGUGAAGGAUGGACGGGAAACCAUCACAAGGGGUUGGCCUAGAGUCAUGCGCGCAUUAUGCAUGAAGGAGGGCACAAUAUGGGCAUUCCGCUUCAGCUUCUCCAGCAACCAAACUGUCUUUCGCCUCUCUCUUUACAGUCUUUAGUACAACUGUGGUCCAUCAUUCUUUACUUGGUGCUUUUGUAGUUCUUCAGUAUAUGUACCUGUGCAUCAAAUUAUGCAUUCGUGGUUGAACCUAUAUUUGUAAUAAACCUGGUUGGAUAUGAAAUAAGUGAUUGCCUACUUUCAAAUUCAAACAAGUGAUUUUUUUUCAAUUAGGGAUUAAUUAGGGAUUACACUGCACAUGCUUAGCAAAAGCGAAACGUAUGGAAUAGACAUGGAGAUCAGACACGUUUCUAGGAUUUACUACGUGUGCGAUCAAUCUCCACCGCACACAUGAUUAGCAGGAAAAAACGUGUGUGAUCAAUCUCCACUGCACACAAGAUCAGCCAAGAAAAAACGUGUGCGAUUAACAACAGUAUCGCACACAGUUCUUUCUUAUUAAAUGUUUGUGAUAUUCACCUUACCACACACGCCUCGAAAUUAUUGACUGUUUGUGAUGUUGUACGCAUCGCAAACGUUUGGUACUUCUUAGAUUAACUGUGUGGGUUGUACAUACUAACGUAAACAUAUUCCUUGGAUGGAAUGUGUGGAAUGUACAUAUGAACGGAAACGUUUAGCGGAGGCUGACUGUGUGGGAUGUACUUAAAACAGGAAAUGAUUUCGCCUGUAUAAUUCUUUUUUAGCACUAUUGUGCGUAUAACCGUAUUUGCUCGCUCGCCGGUCGCACACGACCUCAUUUUGCCGAGCGUGUGUGCCAGGAGGGCAUAUCCCCGACGGUUUUUGGGUCGUGUGGGAAGGGCCCCCCUAUCGCCCACACUCACUUGGCGACGUUUCCAAAUUCCAUCGCGGAAAGGUGUUUAAAACCGUUUGUAUAGCACCGACGCGUACUAGUGCACUUCGAGUAUCGGAGAGGUAUCUCUGGGCCCUCUCGGUAAUGCACAUCAUAUGAAGCCUUGCAAGCAAUGUGAGUAAUGAGUUAGUUACGGGAUGAUGCAUUACAGAACAAGUAAAGAGACUUGCCGGUAACAAGAUUGAACUAGGUAUGAAGAUACCGACGAUUGAAUCUCGGGCAAGUAACAUACCGAUAACAAAGGGAAUAACAUAUGUUGACAUUGCGGUUCGACCGAUGAAGAUCUUCGUAGAAUAUGUGGGAAACAAUAUGUGCAUCUAGGUUCCGCUAUUGGUUAUUGACCAGAGAGGUAUCACUACUAGGAAAACCCUUGCCAGUAGCGCUGGUUUUUUGGCUAUUAGUAGCGUGGGCAGGCGCGCUACUUCUACGGUGCUACAACUAUUUUUUAGCAGUAGCGCUUGUUUGAACCAGCGCUACUGCUAUCUGUAUCUAGCAGUAGCGCACCUCUGUCCAUCACUACUGCUAAUACUAGUAGCGUGGCCCUUCAAAAAAACGCUAUUGGUAAGCAGCGCUGCUACUACUCCAAUACCCCACACUACUGCUAGUAUUUUCUUUUUUAUGUUGUUGUAUUCUUAGUUUUACAGGUUUUAUACUGUGACACCCCAAAAAUUUUAACCUGGUUUUGUUAAUUAAAUCUUGCCAGGAAAUUUAACUUUUCAUUUUUUUUGGUUUUCUUGAUUUCGGAACCAUUCUCUUGUUGGUUAUUAUGGAGUUUUUACCCCAAGUGAAAACUUUCCAAAUGUUUUGUUGGACUUGUGUACCCUCUCAAGAAAAACUUUUCCUUUCAUCAGAGGAAUUAGAUAUAUAAUGAUUUCCCUGAUCUUUAUUACUUUAAAAAUGGUCUCCCAUGGUUUUAGGGUACCAUUUCAACUACAACCCUUUGAUAAAUUUAUUUAAAAUUCCAACCAAAAUUUGGAGAUGUCAUGUGAUGUUUCUAAAUCACUUUUAUGCAAAAAUAUCUUCUGUCCAUUUGGAAAUUUUGAGCUCUACAACAUAUUUUUCAAAUCUGGUCCAGUGGGCAAAAUUUGCACUACAGCCUACUUAAAUAUUUCUUUAAAGCAUCCACCAAAAUUAUGGGAUGUCAGUGGUAGCAUGCAAUUCAACCUUAUGCAAAACCCUAGUGUUGUUCUUUGGAAAUAUUGAGUGAAUCAACCUCUUUUUCAUUCUGGUCCAGCCUUGUGAUUUCUACUGCAACCCUAAUUAUUUUCGCUCUAGUGACCUUGUGCUUUCUCCUGCUUGUAGUCAACCCUACAAAACCCCUAAGUCCAGGAGCAUGCACCCAUUGGGACAUUUUUGGUUCAUGUAAUGAUGCCGUUUACCCCCUGUCCAGAAUUGAAGUUUUGCAAGUUUUGCACUAGCAAGUUUCUAGAUUUGGCCAACUAACCUUGCCAUCCUGACCUGCAUCUAAAGAGACUAGGAUCUGGAAGAUUUGGCCACUCCAAGAAAUGCCUAGGUGCCUGUGGCAUUUUGUCAAACACCUUGAGUGCGUGAACAACUUUGACAUGUCUUUUGUCAUUGCACUUUGACCUUGCACCUCUGGGCAAACUAACUUGUCCACUAAGCCUCUGGAUGACUUUAACCUAGGUCUGUUAAACCCCAACCUCACCCGAGACCUCUAGCAUACCCUGGCAUUUUGUCGAGCACGUCCUGUGCGUGCUCUGGGCACGAGCAGAGCACGCGUUUUGCACGUGCUGCGCCCGAGCCGCCGCGUCACGCCCCUGGUUUCACCCACACUGCAGAGCCGUGCCACACACUCUCCCUCUCACCAGAACACGCCAAGCAGCCCCUCGCCAUGUCUCUGGCAAGCCAGGAGCUAGCCGCCACGGCCACCCGACAGCCCCUGCCUGCUCAGGUCGGUGCCGCCCGAGCCGCUAGCGCUCGCCACCUGCCCCUGGAGCAGCGCGAGCUCAUCCACAAGCGCGUCCUCUAGCCCUCGUCGCCGCCACGUCGCCCUGACCGCUACAGAGCGGCGGUUCGCCGAUGACCUUAUCCUCGGCUGUGGAACCGCCAUGGAUGUGCUAUAAAAGGAGGCCCCCGAGCUCCUCCGAGCACUCAGGCAGCCUCUCACCGACCUCCUAGUGCCCUCGUUGCCAUCAAUUGAAGGGGAGAAGGCCGUCUUCCCCAACUCCGGCCGGUUCGGCUGCCGCCAUGUCCCAGUCCAUUUCGUCGCGACCAAGCCCCCUCCCGUCCAUCCAACACCACCAACCGACUCCCCGUCGUCUUGCGGAGCCACCCAUACCCCCCACUGUGACGGAGAGCCACCGUAGCCCCAAACCCAAUUUGCUCCCGAAGCCACCGACCGCCGCGAGGCUCGCCGCCGACGACCCCCUCCGUCUCCGCCGGCAAAUCGACCACCGAUAGGACCGCCUCGACCCCCUGAGCCCGCGGAUGGCUUCGGAUUCUCGAACGGUGCUGCCGUUCGCCGGCGAGUAUCGCCGGAGUCCCGCACCCCGCUCGGGCAGAGGAAGAGGAGGGAGGGAAGACCAGUCAAACCUGACCAGUGGGUCCCCCGGACCCACUGUCAGUGACACACGCCUGUCCACACGUGGAUAAGUGGAGACGUAAAAUCAGAGUACGUGUUUGACGUGUACGUAUAUUCGAAUCGUUUUUCUUUUCUGUUUAAAUUUUAAAUAAACAGAGUUUGACCAAACUUUGACCGACCAUAACUUUUUAAAUAUAACUCCAAAUGAAUUGAUUCUUUUUCCUAACUUUCUCAAAUAUAUCCUAGUUUAUUUUCAAAUUUAUUUGAAAAAAUUUGAGACAACUUUUUGGUACUGCUUUUGAAACUAUAUAUUGAUUCAAAUAUAUUUUUAAUAGGAUUUUUGGAGAGAGGAGAUAGCUUUCAAAAGUUUUGGGAGUGCACCUUGCCUCCCCACAACUUGAAGGCAAGCAUUCUGAACCCUGGCAUGAUAUUGUAGUGUGUUGUUUGAUACGGUUACAACACCUCUCGUCUUGGAGUUUUUUUUCGUUAUUUUUCUAUGAUAAUAAGUGCAAACUCACGAGUGCAUAUUGAUGAUUCAUGCUAUUGGAGUUUGAUAUGUUGAGAUGGUAGUCACCAUCACAUACCUCCCGUGCAUACCGGAAGGAACCCAGGAAAGCUUCUGUCUUGGGUAGACACGAGCUUGUUUCUGUUCGUUGAGACGAAUGUGUCCGGUACGGCAUAGUGAGACAAUGAGCGGUGGUUAUGUCUGUUAGUUAAAGACAUAUUUGUUAUGCUAAACAUGCAGGAAAUUUAUAAUCCUCCUGAGUCGUCCGUAGACCGAGUCUUGUUCUAGUAACCCCCAUACUUGUUUCGUACUACCACUUGCCCUGCCGCGGGUAGGGUGCGGUUCAGUAAAUUGUCAACCACUUUCUUGGCACACACCGUACAGAGAGGCCAUGGUGGAAGAUACCGGUUGUAGCCGGUAGGCAGGCCACCUAGUCCAGGGGCAUGGGUGUUUAGUUGGGACUGAGAGGGGAGGCCACCCCUUAGAGCGCGCGAUAUAAAUUUGAUCCCAUGCUACGCGAGGUUGUAGCCUCCCCACUUAGAGUUUUACUUGACUGGUGUCGUGGGUGAUUCCAAACAUCGGUAAGUUAAGCUUGUGUGUGCAAGUCAGGUGUGUUUUCAAUUACAAGACCGUAGACGGAAUUAGUCCCGAUGGACUAAAGGAAUCCGUUACUCGUGGGUAAAGAGUACACCCUUUGCAGAGAUCAAAUCUAUUUGAAUAGCCAUGUCCAUGGUUAAGGACUACAGUCUGGGAUGGGUGAAGUGCCGGUCUUAGUGUCGGUCUUCAGAGGUGAAACCGUUAAACCAGAACUUUGAUUUUUACUUGUGAUAUAUAAUAGUUACGAUUAUUAUUGUUGUGGACUAAUCAAGUGUAGUGUUUGAAGUUAUGAAUAUCCCUGGGAUGGUUCUACCUCUCGGAUAUUCACGGUGAUUACUUAUUUAUUUUUAUAAGCCCUUUAUGUGGUGUCGCUGAGAUGCCCGACUGUGGCAUGCUUGUUGUUUAUAUACUUUAUAAGCCCUUUAUGUGGUGUCGCUGAGACGCCGGACUGUGGCAUGCUUGUUGUUUAUAUACUUUAUAAGCCCUUUAUGUUGUGUCGCUGAGACGCCUGACUGUGGCAUGCUUGUUGUUUAUAUACUUUAUAAGCCCUUUAUGUGGUGUCGCACAGACGCCCGACUGUGGCAUUUUAUUUCCACUCCAUUAUUGCAUAUUCGUGUUGCAUAUAAAUAGCCUGCUUGCGUGCAUAAAAGAUUUUUAUUUUCUGACUGAUGAGGUGAUCAUAGAAUAUUUCAAUGCACGAUUAUCAUUUAUAUUAUCCCAGUGUUCAUAAUGUUUGCGAGUACCUUCAAAGUACUCACUGGCUUGUCCCUGGCUAUUGUCUUGGCCAGAUUUCUUGCUUGGAGAAGGGCGUUCCGACGACAGCCCCGGAAACUAAGCAACGGUGAUAGCAGCCUCGCGAAGAUAGGAGCUAACCUAGUUAGAUGUUCUUGUGGGAAAUGGAGACCCAUAGACACUGAUGAUCCACAAACUGCUUCCGCCCUCAACCACUUGAAACCAUUUGUUGUACUCCAGGCCAGGAUGGUCUUGUACUACAUAUUUGUAUUUUGCUUGGAAAUUCUGUAUCAAGUCGGUGUCUCAUCAGCUAACAGUUAUCCUGGGGUUGGUGAGCACAAUGGCCAUUUUCUGGGAAAUCAAUUACCCAGAAAACCGGUCGCGACAAACUUGGUAUCAGAGCCAGGCUGAACAUUGGCUAAUCCUAUCUUAGCCUGGUCGAAAAACCUAGGUUAACCAACCCACCAGACUCUAACCAAAACCUCGGCCAAGCUUCCCACGCAAGAUAGCCAUACAGUGAGUCUGACACCUUUUGGCAGUCGGUGCCCAACCUAUCCACCUAGCCUGUCGAUCACGCACCAGUGACCGACGCCUGAGAUGUAUCAUUCGCAAGCGUGCGAAGGAAGACUCCGUCCCCUUUUUCUAUAAAAAGGACACGCUAGCCUCAACCCAACACAGCACAGCCCUACCCCAAACCGAGCCAUAAUGCCUGGCCCCGUCGUGCACAAUGAGACCACAGCAACCAACCUUGGAAGCUUUGUGACCAUACUCGCAAACCUCACCCGUCGUGCCUAUGCGUUAGAAGAGCCUCCAGAAUAUGUUGUGUACCAAGGACCCAUGGGCGGUGAAAGCCGUCAAUUCUGGGCCACCGUGCACAUCUACGGUAGGGGUGUAUCUCUAGAACGCCCCUACAGGUUCACUGGAAGGACAACUUCCUUUGAGCCACAAGCCAUCCAACUAGCUGCUCGAGAGGCCGUAGUUCAACUCCGGCACUUGUCGCCCAGAGUUAACUGCCGCUCGUUCUACUACUAUCCCUGCCGUGAUGGGUAUGGUAGGCCACCCUAGGUUGCCAACGGAGAUCACGAGACGGAUCCUGCUUUGCUGCAUCUAGUGCGCUAUGUAAGUGCGCUAGAGAAACUGUUUGAUCAAAUCACCCUUGACCUGAUCGCAGCUCGUGGAGAACUGGUUCGCCGAGCCCCGGCAAGGAGAGAACGAGCCCGAUGCCGACAACCCAAUUGUGCUGUUCGAACACCCGAUCGAGUCCCUGAGGUCUGCCCCAGUCAUCGACCAAGGCGCUUUGAUGACCCCAGAAGUGCUUCGUCGCCUUUUGGGAACACGCUCCAACGAGACUGUGGCCAACAACCCCCGAGAUGGUCAUCAUCGCUACCCCGACCCUGCAGCCCCUCAACCCCCUCCAGCUAAUCCUGACAGUGAGAUCCGAGGAGAAGCCUCGACAUCCACAAGGCACGCCCGCUUGGAUAUAAACGAGGUAGACUAAGUUACCCGAAUAGUGCCGAGUCCCAGUGUAUCCUCGCAUUGUAAUCAUGUGACCUUGCGAAUAAACGCAGCCUGUUGUUGUGCCUCUGUUUUUAAAUAGUAACCUUGCAAGGUUAUUUUAGCCUGCAGUUACAUUUUUAUUCCGGGCACAGCUACCAAAACCAACCCCGACGACAACCAAAGUACCACGUCACUCUUGUGAGAUAUGUGUAUCUGUGGCUUUGACCCCGACCCCAUGAGAGCAGAACCGACAAACUAGUACCCCUCACCGCAGUAGAUAACCCAGCCGGGAUGCUAUAUAAAAAGGCCACCUCGUGACCUUGCCAAGCACCCCUCACCUUGUGCACCAUUUCUUGCUAUGCCGAGCCCUAGUAUUUAUCUGAGAACCCCAGAUGCAACCCCGGGUAGUUUUGUGAAAAUAUUGUGGCAUUUUACCUGCAGUACCAUGGGUUCUACCCAGCCACCCUAGUACGAGCUGUUCAAAUCGAGAAUCACACAGUCCACCUCGAGAUAUUGGGCAGUAGUGCACAUCCCUCCCGUAAACUCAAACCAAGACCCAACGGAGGUCUCCUUCAUGGGGAAAUCUAUGCCGACCCCACAUAUGGCCAUAGAAGCUGCUGCGUACGAAGCGCUUGCUCGACUUUGGUUCGCGGUACCCUAUGCCAGCGAACGAGGGUAUUAUUACUUUCUGAGCCAUGCAGCACCCGGAACGGUUAAAACGCUUGGUCCACCCAUGCUUUUCCUCUCCAUUUUUCACAUGGAAAGGGAAAGCAGUGCCAACUUAUUGGAAUUCUGCAGCCCGGCCCCUUUUCUCUUUCUUCCAACGGAAAGGGUUCUCUUCUCUUCUGGUAUGGAGUUCGACUCGCUUCGGUUCCUGAACUGAGGGAAACCGGUGCCUGAGAGAUCCGUUAUCUGCAGUCUUUGAGCUUGGGGAAUCGGUCCUGCACUUGUCCUAUCAUACCUUUUUCGUGUAUACGAAAUAGUGGACUUGACUAACUCAAUUCUUAGGAAAUGGCGAAUAAGAUCAUUUGCUCUUACCUCAACAAGGGAAGCCCCCAACCAGUUUGCUUGCUCACUAGAAGAAUCAAGCGAGAGCAGCUAGUUUAGAAGGAAAAGGACACCUGGGGCUAUUCGGCCGCAGCGUUGUCGCCCACCCCGCUUUGGGCACGGGGAGGCGAGAACCACCCCUCCAUUCAUUUCCUUUUCUUUCCAGGCUAGCUCCCGGCAUUCAAAUCAACAUGUUUUUAUUCUUUAGCCUUUUCGCCCAGCUUUGUCAUUAUUGACAUGUUUUUGCGAUCCCUAUUUUUGAGAUCCUCAAUGACUACCACCAGAAAGGGAAUAACGAACUUGCAAAAUGGAUCUGUUUAUCAUAAAGAGAUUCAUUGUUCCAGACCCUGCUUCACCUUAAUUUUUAUUUGAAUAAAAAGAUCACAAUAAACUUUUGGUUAAAGUUCUAUCUUGGUCGAAGUGAUGGUGGGGGAUCAAGAAGAGUGGCUAUGUGGGGUUUGAACUUGGACACCACCGUGUUCGCGCCGGCGGUCCAACAAAGAGGCGAAGUAGUGGUGUCUUUCUUUCCAUUACGAAUGAGUAACAUCCUUUCCCGAUGGACGUAUUGAGAGAGACCCAGUGCUGGCUAACCUUGUCCAGUACGUCAUGGCUCAAGAACAUUUAACCCAAUGUGUGAUGGGUUAUCUACAGAGCCUCGCGAUUUUAAAUCCUCAGAUCGCCAUCGGUAGACCACUAGGCCCGGCCAGGAGAGGCACAUUCAUCGACUGGUCAAUCCACUGCCCCCGAUAAAAGAAGAGUGUGUCCCAGUACCAGAGACGUUUUCUCGGGACCCCAUCCAGUUACCGUUUCCAUUUUAGACGUCACUACUGUGUUUAUUAUUGCAACAUUUAUUUAUGUGUUGUAACUUAUGCGUGGUACCCUGAGUUUGCGACGAGUCAAUUAUUUGGCUUCUCCUAAUAUGUGUAGUUUUUGUUGUGGUUUAUUUUUUCUUUAAAUUAAACGAUUUUCCUCGCGAAAAAUCCUGGAAUAAGACUUCUUUUCCCGGAGCUGCUGCAUCGUAUGCCUUCUCACGACAUGGGAUUUUUUUAUUCACGCAGCACCACGGCAGGAGACUCACAACCACAAUCACUCGAACACAUACACUGCUUGCAAAACCUUGCAACCGUGUUGCAUCUAACUGGUCACCUCCCGACAACAGUUAGCACCCGACACACCCCACCUACUCCUCGUGAUCACCGCCCGACAACGUAUUUCAUGGGCACUUUUUGAAUUAUCAUGAAUAUUUUUAAAUUUCAUGGACACUCGAUCUCGAUCCCCCUCCAUCUCGGUCGCUAUCCUACCUCGCCAGAUCCGACCCCCCUCACCGCCGAGCACCCCCCGGUCCACUGACCGCCGCCGCCGACCCCCCGCACCCUCGAUUCCCCUACUCAACCGCCGCCGCCGACCCCACNNNNNNNNNNNNNNNNNNNNNNNNNNNNNNNNNNNNNNNNNNNNNNNNNNNNNNNNNNNNNNNNNNNNNNNNNNNNNNNNNNNNNNNNNNNNNNNNNNNGGCAUUACUGUUUGAUGAUAUUUAAAAAAAAUAUUACUAUCUUAUAAAAAAAUAUUACUGUUAUGAUUUAAACAAGUUUGAAUAUAUUUAAACACAAAUAAGUAUCAAACAACAUUUUAAAUGCAUAGAAAAAAUUGUGGAGCCUGGGAAUCGAACCCAGGACCUCCUAGUGUGAGAACUGGCUGCUGACCAGUCAAGCUAGUAGAGGGAACUUGAUGUGGAUCAGGUCAGGUGGAAGAUAACCUGUUGGCUCAAGCAAAAAUCAAAAAAAAAAUACUAAUGGCGCACCAGGGUGAGGUGCGCCGUUAGUAUGGAUGUACUUAUGGCGCACCGAGGGGUGGUGCGCCAUUAGUAUUGUGCCGCCCCCAUCCAUAUUUCCUCCCCGGCCCAAACCUAUCCCCUCUCUCUCCCUCGCCCUCGCCCUCGAUCCCCUUCCCCUCUCCUCUCCUGACGCCGCUGCCCCACCGCCUCGACGCCGCCCCGACGCCGCCUCGACGCCUCGACGCCGCCUCGAUGCCCCNNNNNNNNNNNNNNNNNNNNNNNNNNNNNNNNNNNNNNNNNNNNNNNNNNNNNNNNNNNNNNNNNNNNNNNNNNNNNNNNNNNNNNNNNNNNNNNNNNGACGCCUCGACGCCUCGACGCCGCUGCCCCGCCGCCUCGACGUCGCUGCCCCGCCGCCUCGACACCGCCCCGAUGCCACCGAGGAGCACAACCUGGCGCAGGCGCAUGGCGUGCAGGGCUACCCCACCCUCCUCUUCUUCAUCUACGGUGUGCCCAGGGACUACUCCGGCGAGAGGACCAAGUGAGCAAUUUCUGCAGAUCCCCAAUUCCCUCCCUGUUCCCGCUCCGCAGCUGCUAAGAAUUUUGUUUUUGCUUUGCUGCAGGGACGCCAUUGUCGCUUGGAUCGGCAAGAAGCUGGGCCCUGCGGUGCAGAACCUCACCGUCGUCGACGAGGCCGAGAAGAUCGUCACCGGCAACGACGUGGCUGUGCUCGCCUUCCUCGACCACCUCUCAGUAUGCAAUGCGCCUUCUCCAGUGGCAGCAAAGUCAAACAAACCCAAAAUUGGUUCAGUUGCAAACCAUGUUACCCACAUUGACCGAAAAUUGGUUGAAUUGCAAACCAUGUGACCCAGAUUGACCCAAGAAUACAAUGCUUGAAUUGUGGCCAAACCAAGAACAUGUGGCCAUGUUACCCAAAAUACAGUGCACCUAGUUUUCCCAAUGCCUUUAUUCUUCUGCUUGCUCACUACUAGAUGAUCCAAGUGCGACCCAUGUCAACAAUUGCCCCCUUUGAACCCAAAAAGCAGUACAUAUAGUCCAAUCCGUGCGGCUCUACGACUCGACAGCACAUAACAGGAAUUUAGAAGGGAAAUUGCUGGAGAGCAUGGCCAUAAACUUACAGGAAACGGGUGACAAAAUAUUGUACAAGGGAAGUAGCAUAACUUGCUGGAGUGCAUUCAGAUGUGCAUGCUGCAGAGCUAUGUCGUUUAUCUUUUAGUAGUGAAUUAACCACACAAUAGAAUUCAUCUCUGAGCAACAUAUGGGCAGAAGAACAUGAGUUUGUAUAGUUACUAACAAUGAAGAUUCUGUGCUUGCAAUGCAGAUUCUGUAAAUUGUGAGGAGAGCAGAGCAGAGGUAGCAGCAACUGAAAGUCUGAAUUCUGAAGAUCUCUGGGCAAUGCAGUGUGAUGUAGUAUUGUUGCUCAUGGUAGCCUGGGCUGACCAAUCCAGGCGCCAAUGUUUCUGAAGCUAGGAAGGUGUGCAUGCAUGCUACUGAAUUGUGCAGUGUAUCUAGUAAACUAACGACAUGCAAAUUGUUCAUGGCGGCCUGGUUUGACCGAUCCAGAAUUAUGGACGCCGUUGGUUCUAAACCUAGGUAGGGGACAUGUGUGUAGCCCUUUUGCUGUCGGCGCAGUUUAUCUAGCAAAAUUAACAUAUGGUCCAAGUGCUAGUACUGCAGCAACUAAAAAUCGUGAACUAAUUGACAAAGUAGAGUAGAGCUUGCAGCAACUGAAAAAUCUGAACUCUGAAACACUCUAGCACGAGAGUAGAGCAGAGUGUAGCAUUAGCAUAUGAUCCAAGUGCUAGUACUGGUAGUAAAUAGCUAAUACAGUUAAUGAAGAAGAAAAAAAAACUGCUAGUAUAGUUAAUGAAGAAGAAAAAAAACUGCUACUACUGCUAGUAAAUAGCAUCAGACUGAAUGUCUUUUAUAUAUGGUACUGCUAGUAAAUAGCUUCUUCUAUAUACUAAUUUGCAUCAAAGUGUAGAACAAAGCAUCAGACUGAAUAACUAACAGUGGGUAAUUAACCUAACUAUUCAUUUUUCCUUAGGUUAAUAUUAAAAUGUCCAGUGUAUAUAUAUUUGAAAAUGAUUGCUGCUAGAUGUUAAUUUGCUGGUACUAGCUAGAAUUUGGCACUGAAAAGCAAAAGCAAAAGCUAAUUAACUGCUGGGUAAUAGCACUGGUACUAGGUAGCUAAAAUAUGUGUUCUGAAACACUGAGAGCAGGAACACUUACUACAUACAUAUGCUCAAGAAACACUUACUAACCAGAAAAGGUUUUGACUUGAAAUGUUAAUAGCACAGAGAGCACCACAAGUUAAACACCUCAAUCUGUUAGUAUUUGUCUGCAUUUUCUCACAUUCUUCUUGUAUCUAAUCCAGUAUUGCUUGUAGUGGUUUGUCCAAAAUGUUGAAUGAUACUGCUUGGAGAUGCAUAUAUUGUUUCACCUCUUCACAUGCCAAUGUAUUUUCCAUGUUGUGAUGGAGGCCUUUUUUGCCUUGUCCACCCGAGAGGCCCUUGAGUUUGCUGGAAUGUCGAUUAACUUCCGUUCCAGCAAAUUCGGGGACUCCAUAUGUCCUAUUUUCAGCAAAGGUCAUGCUGAAAUUUUCCGUGAAUUUUAGCAUGACUUUGCUAAAAAUAGGACAUAUGGGGUACUUGUGACUAAUGCAUGGGGGUACUUGUGACUAAUGAUGAAAGCUUAGGCUUUUAGGGUGCCUCGGCGUCAAAAACCCCUCAAUGAUAAAAUCAUAGCUUUUAGGAUGCCUCAAUGUCGACAAACCCUAAAUGAUGAGACCAUGAUCUUGUUCCUUGACAAUAACCAACUUUUUGACCAAACUUUGUUCCUAUUUAGAGAGAAACAUGGCCAACAACGAUGAGGCCGGGGGUUCGGGCGGCAAGGCAUUCUGGGAGCUGUCCCAGAAGAUGGAGGUACAACCUCACUUGUAUGAGGACGCCGCCUUCCCCACCGAUCCUAAGACCAGUGGUGGUACCGCCGAGGAUGACCCCACUGAUGCCACCACUGAUGGUGCCGCCGAGGAUGCCACCACUGAUGAUGGAGGCGCACGCACAGAUGGCAGCCAACAGAAGAGGCAACAGAAGGACCGGCCCCCGACCGUGCUCCGCACCCUCAAGGAGGAAGUUACUGAAGUGGACUCCGACGGGAAUCCAACGGCGCCCGAACAAAUAGUCAAGGGGUACUCGCUCAGCUCGGGUGCAUUCUCCGGAGCACCGUCUCGAUCAACACCGAGAACCUGAGGCAUCCUGACCGAGGGAAUUUGCGCAACCUCCUCUUCACGAAGCUGCACGAAUGAUACAAGUUCCCCGCUGAAUUUGAAAACACAAGCCUCAAAAGGAAUAAAGUGAACAAUGCUGCCCUCACGAAGAUGAGCAAGGCCCUCUCUACUUGGAAAAGCAAUGUGAAGAGAAUGAUCGAGAAAGGUGAGAGUUAUGAGAAGAUCAAGGAGAAAAAUCCUUCGAUCACCGAAGAUGACUACAACGACUUCAAGAUCAAUUGCUCGAGCACCACAAACUCCCAAUCAAGUCAGUGGGGGAAAGAAAUGCGGGAGCUGAACUUAGGGGAACACACACUCGGUCCCGGUGGUUACAGAGUGGCGGAGCCUAUGAGGAGGCGGACCGUGCCGAGCAAGGCCUACCGCCCCUCUUCGAUAAAUACAGUGACAAGCAGACCAGGACCUUUGUCAGGGCCCAGUACAAGAAGGACCCGAAAACAAAGGAGCUUACCACGGAUCCGAAGACCAGGGUGCUUGAGCUUGUUCUGGUAAGGAAUACACCCCCGCGUAAUUAGCUCCAUAUGGUUGCAUUCUAAUUAAUGAAGCCAAAUUUCUAAAUGGUUCACAUUCCUUCCGCAGGCGACUGAAAGCAGUAGCGCGGGGUCGACUAAGAGCAACCCUUGGGACACCACUCUAAAUAGGGCGUUGAAUGUAAUGAAGAACAAGGAUAAGCUCAGUAAGCCGACGUCAGCUGGUCGUGUGGCCGGCAAAGGCUUGUCGACAAAAUGGUCGUCAUACUAUAACAAUGGUGGGAGAAAGGAGAAAAAGACCAGCUCGGAAAACCAGGCACGCGAGGUUCAAGAACUCAAGGCACAGGUGGCGCGGAUUCCAGAGAUUGUCCAAGAGCAAGUGCAACAACAACUCGGAGCGACGAUCACCGCCAUUGCGCCUACCUUGAUCGAGGGGUUGAGUGCGUGGAUUGCGGGCGGCCAACAGGGGCCGCCCCCGAUUCCUAGCUUCAUGUCCAGCAACUCGCAGAAUGCGAUGGCGGGGCCAUUGGUGUCUCUGGCGGAGGCGGCAUUGGUGUCUCCGACGCCGGAACGGGAGCUUAAUGCACCCGGGUGUACGCCGGCCGGCACCUCUGCAGCAAGCGGCCCCUCCGUCAACUGCACGCCCGCCGUUGGCGGUGCCUCGACAUUAGCCGAGCUCGACGCCAUCAUCACGGUAACUAAUUAAGCCUCUCUCGGCCGAGGACUUCAUCUCCUUGCCUUUGACUGGGCAUCCCUGACGCCCUACAUGAUUUCGCAGGGCGCCGCCGACGUUCCGUGCACUCUCCUGCACUUCGUGAACAACGAGUUGGUCGAUGUCGCCAAGGGAAAAAUCAUUCAACCAGGCAACCCCUUGUUCCACGGUACCCAGAUGCCACCCAACUUGUUUAGGGUUGAACUGGUUCGGGUGCUGCCAGGCUGCAACGAGUUGUUACCUCCGAUUCGACCCGUUGGGGCCGACGAUGAUGACGUGAUGACCCUCAGCGCCUGCCUGUGCUGGCCCCUGCUUUGGCCGAAGAGCCAGAUUUGUUUGGGGGCGGGGGACACCACCCCAAAGACAACACCCCAGUCGUGACGGCGCCAAGUCGGCCCCAUGGCAAGACCGCCGCAACGGUGCCGGACAUCCCUAUGCCACUGGAUCCAAACAUGCAUAUGGCACAGGAUCAGAACGACGACGACGACGAUACAUUUGGCAACGUCGAUCAGUACUUUGCCGAACAUGGGUAUGAUGGCGACUUCAUGGGGCCUCCUUCUCAAGAACCCAACCCAACAAAAGACGUGCGCGAUCUAGCUGGUACCGCGGAGAAGCCAAGUUGCAACAGGCGUCGUCUGCCGUUCAGCUCUCAGGAGACGCCUCCAGCUGCCGACUUCACCGAGCCUCAGAUAGGCGAGGUGCGAAAUAUUAUCAGCCUAAACACACUCAAGAAGGCGGUCUGUGAGCAGAACUCGGUCCCAUUACAGGAGAAGAAGAAGGCACGCAAAAGAAGGACUAACAAGGGUGCGAGCCAGACGGCACCGAGUACUAUCCAUGCUCAGGACGGGCCACCUUCACCUAAGGAUAUCUCGAGGAGGGUGCAUGUGGCGGGAAGGGCGAUGCUACCGACAAAUAUGCUCAAUGCUGCAACCGGUGCUAUGCGGAGUCUGCAUGACAGUGUUCUUUCUUUGGAGAAGCGGCGUCUCAGAGAGAAGGAUGUGGCAUACCCGGUUUUCGCGGCCAAGGUGCCAGAGGGCAAGGGCUUUGUGGAUAACUCCAUCGGGCGUACGAUCGUCCUGCGGUUUGAUGACAUCCACGUUAUGUUGAACCUUCAUCCGCUGCACUACACCUUCGUUCGGCUAUUUUUGUUGAGUAUGGAGAUGCGGAUCAUUCGCGACAAGACCCCGGACAUCGUGAUAGUCGACCCCUUCUACAUGCGUGCCAAGAUCUUGGGCAGCGCUGGGGACCGGCAAGUCGCGAGUUCUUACCUCGAAGGUGUCAUUCUGGCAAACCAAGAUAAGGAUAACUUCCUCGUGCCUUACUUUCCCGAGUAAGUCCUCCCCUCAACCGGCCCGUAACAUAUGAAUUCUUAGAUUUCGAUCAUUUUUCUUUUAACAUUCCGUGUUUUCUGCAGUGACACACAUUGCACGCUCAUCCUCCUAAGCCCCAAAUAUUCCAUGGCCAUGUAUUUUGGCCUGGACCGUCAGUCGAACGUAGACUACACAAAUGUCAAGAAGGUUCUUGAUGAUGUUCUCCCCGGCUACGCCAAAUCUGGAGGCACCUUCACCAGGCCUAUUCGUAAGUACGGCAAGCACGUGUUCUCCCACAAUACGACGUUCUGCUGCGUCAAGCAGCCGCCUGGCGGUCAGAAGGAUGCCUACUACGCCAUCCAUCACAUGCGGGCGAUCGUACGGGACCAUCAUCAACUUCUGCUACCGAGUAAACACAAAGAUUGGGCCACGAGCGUGUCGGCAAUCCAGGACGCGGACAUCAGACAAGAAUUCUUUCGCAUCCAGUUGGAGUUUGCGGAAAUCAUCCAUCAAGAUGUCCUUCGUACCUCGGGGCAGUUCUACCUCAGAAAUCAACCGUCCAACAGUGACAUCGACACAAUGCUACAAAUGCAGGCUGACAACACCCGUUAUUUCAUGACUCCCACGAUAGACGGCGGCUUCAUCCACGCUCCGGUCCCUUGAGUCGAGUCGAAAGCAGUGAUGCUGUGUCUAGUUCUGAAACAUCGAUUGGCUCAUGUUGUAAUUAAACUUUAGUGAACUUGUAGUAUGUCUCUUUGGUUUCGAGAGUCGUUCAACUUAGAUGUAAUCGAUGCUAUUAAUGUCUUGCUUUUCUUUUCCGAUCGUUCUGUUCCAUACUUAUAUAUUGCUUAUGUAUUGUCUGUGAAUUGGUACUAACAUUUCGUUUGGCUAGUGCAUAGCGAUGCCGUCGUAUGUCGUGUACAAGGGUAAGGUUCCUGGAGUCUACAAUGACUGGGAGGAGUGUCGGAGACAGGUUCACCGAUUCAGCGGUAACAGUUACAAAGGGUACACCACUAGGGCCGAGGCCGAAUCUAGAUACGCCUGCUAUCUAGCAGGAGAGGGGAGGGAGCGUUGGAGGAACCGGAUGAAGACGAGUUUCAUCGUGAAGAUGCUCAUCGUGAUGACCACAGCUCUCUUCUAUGUGAUGGUAGUUUAGAUGAUCGAUAUCGACUUGUAAUGUGAAGACAAACUCGCUACUCGCGGUCUUGAGACUUGUAAUAUAAUGUUCUAUCUUUGUUCGGUCUUUUCAAUUCGGAGACUAAUAUGAUGAAUUGUAUUCGGGGACUAAUAUGAUGAAUUGUAUUCAGAGACUAAUCUUCUAUUGUAUUCGAUGAAUCUGUUGUUGAUGUGUGCUGUCUAUAUUUUGUCCAAUUAUACAUUUUGUAACCUGUGCAAAAAACAGAAAAUUAAAAAAUUAAAAAACCUAAUAUUCAUACUAAUGACGCAUCACAUCACAGUGCGCCAUUAGUAUGCCAAAGGAUACUAAUGGCGCAUCAUUAAAUAGUGCGCCAUUAGUAUGCCGAAGUUACUAAUGGCGCAUCUUGUUGUUGUGCGCCAUUAGUAUGCCAAAGCACCUGGGUAUACAUGGCCCCCUGGGAGGCAUACUAAUGGCGCACUGUUGUAUAUACUAAUGGCGCAUCUGAGGUCCGCCAUUAGUAUACCAGAUACUAAUGGCGCACCAGUGGUGCGCCAUUAGUAAAAUAUACUAAUGGCGUGGCACUAAUGGCGCACCACUAAUGCGCCAUUAAUGGCCAAAUUAGGUGCGCCAUUAGUAGGCCUUUUCCUAGUAGUGGAUUGAUUUGAUUAGUAUGCUUGAAGUACUAUUAUUUUUGCGUCAAUAUAAACUUUUGUCUUGAAUCUUUCGGAUCUGAAUAUUCAUAUCAUAAUUAGGAAGAUUUACAUUGAAAUUAUGCCAAAGUAUCACUCCGCAUAAAAAAUUCUUUUUUAUCAUUUACCUACUCGAGGACGAGCAGGAAUUAAGCUUGGGGAUGCUUGAUACGUCUCCAACGUAUCUAUAAUUUUUGAUUGCUCCAUGCUACUUUAUCUACUGUUUUAGGCAAUAUUGGGCUUUAUUAUCCACUUUUAUAUUAUUUUUGGGACUAACCUAUUAACCGGAGGCACAGCCCAAAUUUGUUGUUUUAUGCCUAUUUCAGUGUUUCGGGGAAAAGGAAUAUCAGACGGAGUCAAAACAGAACGAAAUCAACUGGAGAAGUUAAUUUUGGAAGGAAACCAACCUGAUGGGCUAGAGUGCACGCCAGGGGAGUCCCGGGCUGCCCACGAGGGUGGGGGGCGCGCCCCCCUGGGCGCGCCCCCUACCUCGUGAGCAGCCCGGAGGUCCACCGACGUACCCCUUGCACCCAUAUAUACCUACGUACCCUAAAACUUCCAGAACAGAAAAUAGAUCGGGAGUUCCCCCGCCGCAAGCCUCUGUAGCCACCAAAAACCAAUCGGGACCCUAUUCCGGCACCCUGCCGGAGGGGGAUCCCAUCACUGGAGGCCAUCUUCAUCAUCCCGACGCUAUCCUUGACGAGGAGGGAGUAGUUCACCCUCGGGGCUGAGGGUAUGUACCAGUAGCUAUGUGUUUGAUCUCUCUCUCUCUCGUGUUCUCUCUCGUGUUCCUCUAUGGCACGAUCUUGAUGUAUCCCGAGCUUUCCUAUUGUAGUUGGAUCUUAUGAUGUUUCUCCCCCUCUACUCUCUUGUGAUGAAUUGAGUUUCCCCUUUGAAGUUAUCUUAUCGGAUUGAGUCUUUAUGAGAACACAUGAUGUAUGUCUUGCCGUGAUUAUUUGUGGUGACAAUGGGAUAUCAUGUGCCACUUGAUGUAUGUUUUGGUGAUCAACUUGCAGGUUUCGUGACACUUGGGAACCUAUGCAUAGGGGUUGGCACACGUUCUUGGCUCUCCGGUAGUAGCUUUGGGGCACUCUUUGAAGUACUUUUAUGUUGGUUGGAUGAAUAUGAGAUUGUGUGAUGCAUAUUGUAUAAUCAUGCCCACGGAUAGUUGAGGUGACAAUGGAGUAUCUAGGUGACAUUAGGGUUUUGGUUGAUUUGUAUCUUAAGGUGUUAUUCUAGUAUGAACUCUUUUAUAGAUCGAUCCGAAAGAAUAGCUUUGUGGUGGUUUCGUACGCGACCAUAAUCUCUACGUUUGUUCUCCGCUAUUAGUGGCUUUGGAGUGACUCUUUGUUGCAUGUUGAGGGCUUGUCAUAUGUUCUAUCUAUGUUAUUAUUGUUGAGAGAACUUACACUAGUGAAAGUAUGAACCCUAGGCCUUGUUUCCUACCAUUGCAAUACCGUUUACGCUCACUUUUACCGCUCGAUAACUUGCUGUUUUUAUUAUUUCAGAUUAUAAAUACCUAUAUCUACUAUCUAUUUUGCACUUGUAUCUUCAUCUCUAGUGCACCUAUACAAUUUACCAUUGUAUUUGGUGUGUUGGGGACACAAGAGACUUUUUGUUAUUUGGUUGCAGGGUUGUUUGAGAGAGACCAUCUUCAUCCUACGCCUCCUAUAGAUUGAUAAACCUUAGGUCAUCCACUUGAGGGAAAUUUGCUACUGUCCUACAAACCUGUGCACUUGCAGGCCCAACAACGUCUACAAGAAAAGGUUUUGUAGUAGACAUCAGCGACCGCAAGAUCGGUGACUUGCUCUCUCCUGACGAUGUAGUUCAUGUGCAGCACAUACAGGCGGACAAACGUAAAAUCGAGUGUCCUCAUUUCAAACAUCUGGAAGAUGUAAUCAAACCUUAGGAAGAAGAGGUCCGCGGGGCAUGUGUGGACUUGCAACUGCUCGGCACAUGAACCGUAUAGAGUGGGUAUCCUAGAUCAUCCGAGGCGAGGAGGCUUCUCUCUGUCGAAAGCACAUGGUCAUGGAGUCUCCUGAGAUCCCCUUCCAUGGCAGCUAGUCCAUUCGCCGGUACCAUUGGCUCUCCCGCGACAUGGAUUAAUGGCGCAUGUUUCAUCUGUACAUGGUCAACCUUGGUCGAAGGCAGCUGGCUGCUAGAACCAACAUUGCCAGCUUUAUUGGAUUUUCUCGCCGCCGGUCUCUUCCUCUGCUUCUUCUCAGUGGGCUGAGGUGCUGGUGGGUCUAUCAGACCCUCCCUGAGCACCACCCCUAGUUUUGCCGGGCUCGGCAUUGGACGACUCUAGCUAAGUAGUUGAGCUUGGGUGGAGCCGGCAUCUGGAGGUGUGUCCUUCGAGGAUUGCAUGAACAAAGACUUCUUGCACUCCAGAGGACGUUCCGGCUCUGGUACAUGCAUCUCAUAUUCAUAUGGUUGACUCAUUGUUACUUUGUUGUCAAAGGAAGUAUUUAAAUACUGGUUAAGGUCAUCGUCGGCCUCCUCCAUGUCAUGAUCCCUAUCCUCUUCCAUGGGGCAGAUGGCAUCAUCUGCCGGCGGAACGGUUGGCCCUCCUUCCUCAUGUCUCUCGAUCUCAGCAAGCAGCACAGAUGAUUGUUGUACUUGUGUAGGUGGUGUUGUGGUCAUACCUUCCUGAGGUCCCGUUGGUGUGCUCCCGGCCACCUCGACACGAAGAAGAUUUUUUGGCCACAGGAUCGGCCAAUUUUUGCAUUGGCCAAGCUGUGUGGGGGUCUCGUCAUCCUCUGCAUUGGUUUGUAUCGUACGAGGGAGACCCUCGUAGCCCGCUUUCACACUCGCUACGGAGACCCUUAAGGCGUUAUCAGGCAUCGGCGGGCGGUGAAAUAAUCGAUCCUUAGGCUUCACUAUAGUACCCUUCCCCACAUCCACCAACCCGCCCUUCAUGUUGUAAAGGAGGGUGCACGGAGUGGAGUCGGCCUACAAAGACAUAUACGUGCGGCAUAGAGAUCCAAAAAGAACGGCAACUGAAGAUUAAUUAAUUAGUUGAGUUGAUGAAGGUGCACCGAUGCGUAUUUACCGUGAGGGCGUCUAGCUCAGCCAAUGUCGACGGCCCGACAUUCAAGCCAGAGACGGAGCUAGGGCUGCUGUGAGAGCUGGGCGGAGGAGCAGGUGCUGGAGGAGGUGCGGGUGCGGUUGCCAUACUAGGUACGGGUAUGGGUGCAGUGUUCAUUAAGUUGCUCCCGGUGAAGCUGGGCAUGGGAAAAUCACUUGGUGGCGCAUUUGGAUUUUGUUGCACCCAUGUGACCACUGUUGAAAUCAAGCUUGUAAAGGCAUCCACCAUAUCAGAUCUACAGGCAGCGAUUAUCUCAGCUUUGGUCUCAGCUUUUGCUUUCUCCAUCGCCCGCGCCACCUUCUCGUUGAUAGUCACUUGACUGAACUUCUUUCUUUGUCAUUUGGCCUCGGGGUCCUUGCUAUAAUAGUACUUCCAAGUGGCCUCAUCCCCGGCGCCAUGCACACCUCCAUAUUGCGGCCGCUGGCCAGGCGGGUGUCCCAUCAUUAUGUUCAUGGCCCGGUUGAAAGGAGUGUCCCACUUGUACUUCGCCAAUGACUGAGUCAACUGAGUCGAUGAGUUGCUCUCGGCCGCAAGCUUGUGUUGCUCUCUCCUGCAAAAUGGACCGUGAAUCAUUUACGAAUGCGACUAGAAUGUAGUAGACUUCAUUGAUCAGAACCUAAUAUGUAAGGUGGUAAAGGAUAAUUACCAGUAUUCUCAUGAAUUUCCUAGUCGGCCUGUCGGUGAAAAAAAUCUUUUUCUUGGGGUCCCACGAGAAUCGGGCCCUGAUGAAGUCAUGCUCCUAUUGGUCAGUGAACUCAGCCAAUGGGUCUGGGAUCCCCUGACGUUCACGUUUUGUGUCCUCCUUAGCCCACACGAGCCUCUUUCCCGUGUAACCACGACUUCGAAGGCGGUGGUUCCCCAUGUUCUAUGCCUGCAGUUGCUUGCCUCUCUCCGACCUGGCCUUGGCAGCUUCUUAAUUGCAAGUCUCCUUGAACUUUUCAAAGUCCUCUAUCAUAAUUUUCGGAUUGUCUACAACAAUCUCGGCGUAGGUUUCAUGGUCUACUUCAAUCGCCUUUUUCACCCUAGUUUUCCAAGCACUCAGUGCGAUGCUGAACUUCCCUAGGGCUUUGUUGUUGAAUUUUUUCAUGGCAUCAUGAUCCCAUGGGUCGACUUCGUCAUUCCGACCGGGGAAUAGGAAUCUUGCGUGCAACCUAGUUAGAAGCAGCUUCUUCAAAUUUUCAUUCUUCCGUAUUUUUGUGGUGUUGAUGUUAGCGGUAUCCCGUAGGAUGCAUGCUAGUUGGUUGCCGUAACACGCUGCCACUUCUCGCGGAUCUAUUGGCUCGAACUCGCUAGGGUGCACCGCCGUGACCACCAGUCUUCCGGUGCCGAGCUCAUUUGGGCGUUGUGUCCUCUUUUCCUUCUUAACCUCACUGGCUUGGGAGGUCCCACCUUUCGUGCUAUAGUUAGGAACAUCAUCAGCGCCAGUCUUAGUGCCGGUGUCAUUGGUGGCAUCAGUGUUGGCGCCGGCGCCACCAUCGUCAUCAUCUGUCAUGACAAGGCGGUCUAGACACCCAGCUUUCCGUCUCUCCUGAUCCACCAGAAAGUCGAGGUAGGAGUGUGCUCGACCUAAUUGGGAGUGAGAACCUCCGGCCUCAUCGGUGUCGGUCAUGUUUCCUAGGGUUCAAUGCCGUAGUCGUUUAAUUACCGAGCUUUAUAUAAUAAUGUGAAUAAUGACAAAAAAAGUGACCUUUGUUUUGCCAGAAAUGUCGUUUCAUUCCCGUCGCGACAAAUCUCAAGCACUCGAUAUGUCCAACUUUCUAGCACAAGUCAUGCCGAAAUUCAUGAAAAAUUUCGGCAUGACCUUUGCUAGAAAGUGCACAUAUAGAGCGCCUGAAAUUUGCCGGAAUGGAAAUUAAUCUACAUUUCCGGCAAAACAUAGGUCACUUAGCAACCGGCAAAACAUAGGUCACAUAUAGAGCAUCUCGCAAGCAAUGGAGCAACUCCAAAUGGACUCCAAUGGACAUCAUUUUAUUUCAUUUCAUAAACUUGCUGCUAUGUCCAUCAACAUUGCAUUCAAAUAAAAUUGCAGACUACUGUAAUUGACUAGUUACAUAAAUGCAAAAUUGAUCACCGCAAAUUUUCACUAACAAUACUUCCUGUACUUGCUGCCAAUACAACUACUUGUGGCUUAAUACAGAAAAACAAUCUUCAGUUUCCACUAUUCUUCAGUGGCAGAAAAAUGCAAAAUUGAUCACCACAUAUUUUCAGUUCCUAAUUUGCUGCAAACAUGACACUUUCCAAGAUAUUUUUUGAGCAUUAUUUCUUGCAAUGAUGCUAGCUACUCCAUUUUCAGUGGCAUAUUCAGUGGCUACUUCAUUUACUUUUUUUGAUAACCAAUUUUAGUCCAUAUUUGGUUACAUUUUGUAGGUUAAUUCGUUGUGCUUAUCAAGAUAGUUGGUCCAACACUAAUGUUCAGUUAUCAAAACUGAAAUUUGCUGAAGUUUGCACAGUUAUCAAAACUGAAACGUUCAAUUAACUGAAAAUUGAAAAAAAUUCUGUAAGUGAACAGUGUGCUCUAUAACUGAAUUCAAAUGAGAUCAUAUUUGUAUUCUAGUUUGCUUUGAAUUCUGUUAGUGAACAAUUCUAGUUUGCUCUAACUGAAAACAGCAGUAGCACACAUGCAUCAAUGCCAGCAAAAAAAGAGAAUGCAGGGGAAGAACCUACUGCACCUUGCCGAGCACCUUGCUUCCGGCCACCUUCUCCUCUCGCUGAGCACCUUGCUUCCGGCCAAACCUGUUGCAGAGAACACAUACGACCGGUCAGAGAGAGAGAGAGAGAGAGCGAGCGAGAGAGCGAGUGAGAGAGAGAGAGAGAGAGACUGCUGGGGGGAGGGGCACCGACCGGUGGAGGGACUGAGGGGGUGGCGUCAGGGUGAGGGCUCGCGGAGUUGAGGGGGUGGCGUCGGGGUCACCGAGGCAUAGGGGGUCCUUCUCCUCCUCGUCGAUCUGCAAAGAGACCAAAUUUNNNNNNNNNNNNNNNNNNNNNNNNNNNNNNNNNNNNNNNNNNNNNNNNNNNNNNNNNNNNNNNNNNNNNNNNNNNNNNNNNNNNNNNNNNNNNNNNNNNNNNNNNNNNNNNNNGCGAGAGCGUCGGAGUGGGAGGAGCCGGGCCAGGGGUGCACCUAGGGCAGGGUGCAGCAUGGGGGGAGGGAGUGUCGCGGUGGCCAGUGGACGGCGUCGGGGUCGGGUGCGGCGCGUGUCGACGGCGGUGUGGACAGGUGCCGGCGUCGGCGGUGGGUGGGCGGGUGCGGGCGUGGGCGGUGGCGUGGGCGGGUGCAGGCGGCGACGGCGGCGUGGGCGGGUGCGAGAGAAAGGGGAUCGAGCGAGAGAGUGAGAGAGAGAGAGAGGAAAGAGAUGGGUGCAGUGGCUCUGUAUACGCCUAUAGCGCGUCUGGGCAGAACACGCUAUAGCUAAGUUAACUAUAGGGCCGCUCUAGCGAAAACGCGCUACUGCUAACGUUUUCUUUUUUUUCUUUUUCUUUUUCUUAGCUAUAGCGCUGCCCUGGCAAAAACGCGCUACUGCUAACUUUUUCUUCUUCUUUUUUUAUUUUUCUUUUUCUUAGCUGUAGCGCUGUCCUAGCGAAAACGCGCUACUGCUAACUUUUUCUUUUUCUUUUUUUCUUUUUCUUUUUCUUUUUCAUAUUCCACAAACUUCCUUCUUUUUUACCUUAUUUUUAUUUCUCUUUUUACUUUUAUUAUUCUUUUUCUAUUUCAUUUUCCUUUUUCUUUUUCUUUUUAUUUUUCUUGUUCCUUUUCAUAUUCCACAAACUUCCUUAUUUUUUAUUUUAUUUUUAUUUCUAUUUUUACAUUUAUUAUUCUUUUUCUUUUUCUUUUUUCUUUUUAUUUUUCUUGUUCUUUUUCAUAUUCCACAAACUCAGGGGUUUAAUUUGGUCUGUCAUUUGAGCAAUACCACUGUUACCGUCCGGAUAAUAAUUAGUAUAAUAUAUAUCUUACAUCAUUUGACCGCUAUCGGUGGUAUACGAAAUAGCUAGACACACACAAACUUUGGGAUUAGUUUGUCAGCUUGGGCGACGACGACGCUUCAGACUGAUCUUCUUCCCUCUUUUGUUCGUUGUCGAAUAAUUGAGCCCAUAGUCGUGACUUUUCCUUCUCCAGGGAUUACGAUCUUUCGUAGGUAAUGUAGUCUUCAUUCUUCUUUUGACAUAUGUUUCAUCGUCAUCAGCAUCAUCUUCCCUCAUCAGAUCACCGUACUGGUCAUAGUCUUCCUCAUUGGCGACUCCAUCCAUUCCGGCGAUGCUCCUUUUGCUUCUCCUCACGACAACACGGCUGGGAUUGAUCGGAUCAGUUAUGAAGAAACAUUGUGUCACGUGUUUAGCGUGUAACCAUGGCUCAUUUUUGGCGAUGGCGUUGACGGUACCGCUAUCAUCGGAGUCGGGUAUACACAUGGUAGUGAAAUGUCGGUUUUCUCUAUGUACAUUUUUAGCCCAUCUGACACGGAACAUCGUCGCGCUAUGCAAUCCAGAGUAGUUAAGCUCCCAUAUCUCUUCGACCCUCCGUAAUAUCUUUCAAUUACAUUCCCGGUCAUGGCUUCCAUUGUCACCCCUGUGUUUUGGUCAUCACUGUUUAUAUCUUUCUCCUCCGUGUAGAACGUGUAUCCGUUGAUAUCGUAUGCUUGAUAGGUCACGAGGUUGGUCGAGGGGCCAUGUGCUAAGGCGUAUAUGAGUGUUCCGUUCGGACAACCCUCUUCUGGGGGAUUAGCCAGAACUCGCUCUUUGAACCAACGCAAGAAAGUGGAGUUGGGCUCUCUAAUAACUUCGGCAUCUGUCCUGUGCACCCCACGGUCACGGUACUUCUUUGCGAUGGUCUCUUGUGCAGUGUCACGAAAUCUUCUAGCACAUCUAGGUGUUGUAGCACUACUAAGUUUGCCCUGUCAAGGUCGUUUUGUCGGCCCGAGCGUAACACAUUCACAUCCCUAUGACCGUUGGUGUGACCUCCGCCUUCGAGCCUUCCACAGUGCUUGUUGACGGGUAAACCAACAACAAGAUUUUUGGUCAGAUAACUCUCAAAGACAGAGAUGCACUCUUUGGUCAGAUAUCCCUGGGCUAUGCUUCCAUCUGGACGGGACAUGUUACGAACGAAUCCUUUGAUGACCCCAUUCAUCCUCUCGAACGGCAUCAUGCUAUGCAGGAAUGUCGGCCCUAGGUCGAUGAUGUCGUCUAUGAUGUGGACACAUGGAUGCACCAUGACAUCAAAGAACGCGGGCGGGAAGUACAUCUCUAGCUCAUUCAAUAUGACAACGAUCUCUUCUUGUAGCCUAUGGAGUUGCUUCACACUGAUCGACUUUCGAGAGAUAGCAUCAAAAAUGUGGCAUAGGUCAGUAAGCGUCUCACGCACAUGUGUGUCCAUAAUCCCGCUAAGUGCAACCAGGAGUAACCGCGUCAUCAUCACAUGACAGUCGCGAGACUUCAUCCCACUGAACCUUUUUUUCUUAGUGUCCAGAUAUCUGCUUAUCUUCCAACAGUAUCCGGAACUAACUUUGAUUCCGGCAAGGCACUUGAACAAUUGAUCGACCUCCUUCGGAUCUAAGGUGAAGCAAGAGGGGGGGCAAUAUUGGUCUUCCUUCUUGUUUACUUUUUUGCCCCUAUCUUCCUUCUCCGUCUCCGUCUCGGUCUCCUCUGACGACCUUUUACUGGGCAUUUGGAGAUCUUUCCUGAUUUUCAAAAUUUCCAAUUCUUUUCUUGCCUUCAGCCCAUCCUUGGUCCUCUCCGGGAUGUUCAUCAAUGUUCCAAGCAAACUGUCAAGGAUAUUUUUUGUGAUAUGCAUUUGAUGAAGGCUAUGAGGCGUGUCGAGUAUGGGCCAGUAUUCCAAGUCCCAGAAAACAGAUCUCCUCUUCCAUAUCUUAAGCAGGGGCUCCGGUGCCUUUUGCUUCGUCUUUGCCGGCGAGGGGCACUCUUCCCAGUUCUUCAAUAACUCAUAUAUUUCUGCACCGCUACACUUACGUGGAGGAUCUCGGUGCUCAGCCUUACCAUUCAAUAGAUCUCCACGCUUUCUCCAUGGGUCAUCCUUCUCGAGCCAUCUUCGAUGCCCCAUGUACACGAUUUUCGAACACCCGCCAUCUUUCGAUAGCCGCAGAGAAGUUGUAUCAUCCAUGCACCUCGUGCAUCCGCAAUAUCCGUGGCACACCUGGCCGGAGAGAUAGCCGUAACCGAGAUAGUCCUGCACCGUCGUGGUCAGCGCGGCUCUCAUGUAGAAAUACUCUCCUUUGCUUGCAUCCCAUGUCUUGGCCGGCGUUGUCCAUAAGGUCUAUAACUCCUCUUUCAGUAACCCGAGAUACAUAUUUAUAUCAUUUCCCGGUUGUCUCGGCCCUUGAAUAGCAUAGCCAUGUGUAUGUAUUUUUCCUUCAUGCACAACCAGGGGGGAGGUUGUACAUCCAUACAAACACGGGCCAUGUGCUAUGAUUGGUGUUCUGGUUGCCAAAUGGAUUCAUGCCAUCACUACUAGCGCCAAGCACGAUGUUCCUUGGAUCAUUUGCGAAAAAAUCAAAUUCAGCAUUUAAUGCUCUCCACUGGCUAGCAUCUGCGAGGUGUCUCAGCUUCGGUUCAUCUCCGUCAUUUGGCUUCACCCUCUCCGUGUGCUAGCGCAUAAGCUUUGCUUCCUUAGGAUCCACGAAAUACCGCUGUAGAUGCGGAGUGAUCGGAAAGUACCAUACAACUUUCCGUGGAGCUUUCUUUCUGGCCUUUUUAUAUCGUGAAGCAUUGCACUUUGGACAGAUGGUUUUUUCCGCGUGCUCGUUCCGAUAUAUGAUGCAAUCAUGGAUGCAUGCAUGGUAUCUAAUAUGUGGCAGAUCAAGAGGGCACACGAUUUUCUUUGCCUCCUCGACACUAGUAGGACACAGGCUUCCCGCGGGAAGAACCUUCUUUAGGUACUUCAGAAGCUCAUCCAGGCUUGUAUCUGUCCAUUUGUUUUUUGCCUUCAUCUUUAGAAGUUCUAGUGUGAAACUCAAGGGGGUCACCUCGGGAUUAUUGCAACCAUCAUACAAAGGAGUCAUCGAGUCUACCUCCAGUUGCGCCAGUUUGGCCUCCUCUCUAGAAGCAGCUCUGUCUCUAGUCGUCUUCUUGCGAAGCAUGUCUCGAACAUGCGGGUCCCGCAUGGCUUAACUUCGUAGCGACAAAGACGGUGGCGUGUCCGUGUCUUCUCCGCCUUGAACUGCCUCUUCGCCAUCGACAUUUCUGAGGGCUUCUUCCUCUUUGGACACAUAAUCGGUCGUCUCUUCGUCUGGUGGCCCCAUGUCGUUAUUUCCUGCCCCGUCGACGUCCUCAUCAUCAUCAUCAUCAUCAUCAUCAUCAUCAUCUUCACUUAUCCAUCGAGUAUGGCCAUGCAUGAAACCAUGCAUGAGCAGGUGCGCCUUGAAUUUACCACCCUUAAAGGGGUCGAUCCUGACUCUUCCUUUGCAUUUUUGACACGGACAUAAAACAUCCCUCAGUCUUUUUCAUACAUGUCAUCCACAGUGGAUUGCCAGUAUCUUUCCACCAUCCUUCCAUUGACCUUCAUGAUCACCUGCGGGCGGAGCAAAUAUAAUAACCACGUAUAUAUGCAUGCAUGGAUCAAAUUCAUACAAAAAUUCGGCAUGACCUUCCCUAAACAUAGGACAUAUUGAGUUUGCAUGCCAGAAAUUCACCGAAACGGAAUUGAAUCGACAAUUUGGCAAAACAUAGGCAACUCAUGUCACCCACAUUAUUUCAUCAAAUACACAAUGUAGGCAACUCAAAUUAUGCCACACACAAUUCGGUAUAUUCUCAUAUCACCCAUAUAUAGAUAGUUUCGGUCCUAUCCACACAAACACUUUUUUUUGCUCACCUAUGUGUUGAGAGGGAUAUCGAGCACCUUUCUUCUUAAUUACCUAGUAGCCCUAUAGAUAUAUAGCUCUAACUAGCUAGCUAGCUAGGGAGAGAGUGGGANNNNNNNNNNNNNNNNNNNNNNNNNNNNNNNNNNNNNNNNNNNNNNNNNNNNNNNNNNNNNNNNNNNNNNNNNNNNNNNNNNNNNNNNNNNNNNNNNNNNNNNNNNNNNNNNNNNNNNNNNNNNNNNNNNNNNNNNNNNNNNNNNNNNNNNNNNNNNNNNNNNNNNNNNNNNNNNNNNNNNNNNNNNNNNNNNNNNNNNNNNNNNNNNNNNNNNNNNNNNNNNNNNNNNNNNNNNNNNNNNNNNNNNNNNNNNNNNNNNNNNNNNNNNNNNNNNNNNNNNNNNNNNNNNNNNNNNNNNNNNNNNNNNNNNNNNNNNNNGAGGGGGUGGUGGCGGAGGGCAAAGAAGAGGGGGGUGGUGGAGGGCAAAGAAGAGGGGGAGGGAGGGCUCUAAUGGAGGGGUGUGGUGGAGGGGCAAAGAAGAAGGGGGUGAUGGAAGGGCAAAGAAGAGGGGAAGGGGUACAAACCGGAGUACCGGAGGGGUUACCGAAACCCCCCAGUGGAAGAUAUGGGCCAUAUGGGCCAUAGGAGGGAGGCUAACCAGCCUACAAGGGGCUGUUGCGCCCCCCACAAGGGAGGAGGCCCAAUUGGACUAGGGAAGGGGGCCCCACCCCCCUUUCCUUCUCCUACUCCCUCUCCUUCCCCCUUUCCCCCUCCGUUAGAAGGAAGGGGGGCGACUAGGACUAGGAGUCCUAGUAGGACUCCCCCCAUUGCACGUGCCCUAGGGCCAGCCUCCUCCCCUCCCCCCCAUUAAUAUACGAGGGUGGGGGGGCACCUCAAGGCAGAUCAACAGUUGUUUCUUAGCCGUGUGCGGUGCCCCCCUCCACCGUUUACUCCUCCGGUCAUAUUUGUCAUAGUGCUUAGGCAAAUACCUGUGCAGAUCAUAUCACCAACACCGUCACCACGCCGUCGUGCUGACGGAACUCAUCGACUCCUUCGUUCCUCUACUGGGUCAAGAGUUCGAGGGACGUCAUCGAGCUGAACGUGUGCAGAACUCGGAGGUCCCGUACGUUCGGUACUUGAUCGGUUGAUUCGAGAAGACGUUCGACUACAUCAACCACGUUAAGUUAACGCUUCCGCUUUCGGUCUACGAGGGUAUGUGGACACACUCUCCCCCUCUCGUUGCUAUGCAUCUCCUAGAUAGAUCUUGCGUGAGUGUAGGAAAUUUUUGAAAUUGCAUACUACGUUUCCCAACAAGGAGUUGAUAUACAAGGAUGACACAAGACAUGCAAGGACUUGACAUACUCCAUUUCUUUCUUUUUCUUUCUCUAUGCAGUCCUUCCCUUUUAUUUAUCCCCUCUAUUGCCCUUCUCCUAUAAGGGCCUUGGUCUCAACAACUAGCUGAGUAUCGCAAUAUAAAAAUAUUGUUGGCAUUCCUUCAUUAUGACGGUGGUCUUAGGCAAAUGCGGGAGUUUAUACUCAUUUCCUCCUUUAUUUUUCAUAAUCUCAACCAUAACUGCCUGCCAUGUCAUAAAGCUUCUAAAAAGCUUAUCGACCUCGUCAUUCUGGAACUCUUCAUUCACACCUUCUACCAAUUCCUUGAUAUUUCUAGGUGAUCUGCAAUCAGCCUAGGUUUGAAGUGAACUGAAGAAGCAGAGGUCUAAAACUUUCAUUUCAGGGUUGUUGGUUUGUUCCAACAACCGAAUUUUAAGAUCCGUCGGUGCUACAGCGUGUAAAAAACCCUCGUCACUAGGCAAAACAUGUGUUUUUCCAUUGUACUGUUGAAUGAAGAUGAUUCUUAUGAUAUAUUCAUUGGGCCACUUCUCUUGGAAAGCAGGGAUCACUUUGUUGCAUAGAUAAUCCCUGAUGACAGAGGUCGGGUCACUCUCACUGAUUUUAGUUCUUUAAAUCCCCUUAUCUAUUUUGACUCAUUCUAACAACCAGAGUCUCUUGGAUGAAGGCCCAAGUGUUGAUCUUGCCAUCAAAUGUGAUAUCUCCAUCGUCAUUGCAUCUUGGCUUGGCCACAACAGUGAGAAACAUGACUUUCCAAAUGCUAUUCUUAUUCUGCAUGGUGCACACAGGUUUAGGUUCUUCUGGUAGUAAAUAGUAGGUGUUCUUCUCUCUUGUCAUAUCAUACCACUUCCCAUCGGAUAUAGGCCAUGUAUGUCAUUGUCUUGAAAAGAGGAUGGGGAGUUGAGAUCUAAUGCUCAUCGAGCAUGGAGAUGCAAAACUUUAAUUUUGCAAUUUUAUUAUCUGUCUUGAGGAAAGGUUUCACAGUACUAGUGAUGCGCUUCAUCUCACCCAACUGGAAUCUCCCAUGUGGGGUCGAACGGGGAACACCCAGAGACCUUGCUAGAGCUCGAUCUGCCCUCCUUUUGUUGAGUAGGACUGUCGAUAUCCUCGACAAAUCCAGAUCUUUCCUCUUUCGUCCACUUCUACCCUUCUUUAUGUUUGAGGCAUCUGCUUCUUGGCCUUCUACAAGCUAUUGAGUUGCUUCUAACCAUAUUCUUUCAAUAAUUCAUACGCUUGUAUUCAACAGGAUUGCAAUGAGCUGCUUGUCCUCUGAGCAAAUAUAUCCAUGUCUGUUCUUGAUUACUCUCAAAGCAAAAUAAAUACCAAACCUUUGUUCAUUUGUCGGGUUUACUACAUUUCUUCUUGUUGCUUCCCCUUGACCAACUACUCCCUCCUGAUGAAUUGCUUCUUGAGGAUCUCUUGGAGGACUGAAGUUGAGAUCCUAGAACAUCUCCUCUCUUGUUGAAAAGGAGUAAGAAGUCAACUAGCUAUUACAAGUAGUACUAGAUCAUGAAAAUGAAAAUGCAAACUUUGUCAAACACUUAAAAUACUUAAGACUUUGAAAUUUUGAUUUGAUGCAUGAGAACAUUGAUAAAUUUAAAUGUUCUACUCCUGAAAAAUGAAUAUUCCCUAUACUGCAAGUUUAGCUGAAUUUGACUAAAUACAAGAUCGUUUAGGAGUACAAGAACAUUUUUUAAUUGAACUUGUUUAGAAUUGUGUUUAAGAAUAAAAGUGGCAAUGUUUGAAUAGCAAGUUUCCUGAUUAGGCUAUUAUGGAAGUAUCUUAAUAUGGUCCAAAACAUGAGAAAGAAAAGGGAGAAGUCUAGGCAAAUUUGCAAAAUAUGUUUUGAAGUGAAACCCCUAAAAGCUCAAAUUCCUUUGUUUGUUUAGGGCUUUGGUGAUAUAUGCUACAUUGUUGAAGUAUGCAUGUAUAAACCAGUUUUAUUCCAUCACACAUGCAUUGUAAUUAUUGGACGUGUAUGCAUGACUAAGAUUCCAACCCUAAAAUCAGCGACUCACAUUCAACAUGACAUGUUUGAUUAGCAAGAUAGGAAAAUGGCAAUGAAUUUAGGAGUACAGAAACAUUUUUAAUUGAUUUUUUUUUAGAAUUCAUCAUGCAUUCCAACCAAAAAUUCAGUUUGCAAAGUUAACUAAAUUGACUAAGUUGCCGGCAAACUAUACAUUGGAUUCGCUAGACUGAAUUUGACAACACUGAAUUCGGGGUCAAGUGUCUAACAACAACACUUGACGGAACUUAUGGAAAGUAAGUGUUUAAAUUCAGUGUCAAGUGUUUAAAUUCAGUUUGUAGCAAUGCAUAAAAAUGUCAAGUAUCUAAUUUAGUGUCAAGUGUCUAAAUAGCAAGUGUCAACUGCACUUGACAUAUGAAUUCAGUUUGUAGCAACACUUGACUCAAUUCAGUUGUAGCAAUGCUUCAUUUGUAAAACACCGAGUCAAGUUAAAUUUAGUUUAUUCAGUGGCAAGUUAAAUUCAGUGGCAAUCCUUUUCUUAGUUUUGGAUUAAAAUUAUGUUAUGUUCAGUGGCAAGUUAAAUUCUAGAGUAAAAUUCAGUGUCAAGAAUUCUUGAGUAAAUUUUUGUGCACAUAAUUUUUUUCAUGGCAAGUGGCAAGUUAAAUUCCGGAGUAAAAUUUGGUUAAAUUACCUGUUGCCUGGUCACCUUCUUGGUUUUGCAUAUCUUCAUGAUUUUUCUGAUCCUCCUCCUCCCGCAAAGGAGUCAAAUUCAAUUCGGGCAUCUCUUCGAGCUGCAGCUUGGGGGUAGAGGCUCGCGCUGGAGAGGAGGAGCAAUGCCUAGGCGGAGGAGCUGGAGCACACUGGAGCUCAUGUGUGCCAAGGCAGAAGGAGCUGGAGCGUGCCCAGGCAGAGGAGGAGCGCGACUAAGCAACAGAUCUACUGUGAGGGCGUGUUGGAGGAGUUAUGGUGCCCGUUGGGAGGGCGCCCUGAGCUGUGGGGAGGAGCCCGAGCUCGUUGGGAGGGCGUCACCUUGAGUUGCGGAAUGCUGCAGAGAUGAGCCCGAGCUGGGGGAUGGGCAAUCUGAUUGAGAUUUGAUAUUAAAAGGGUUUGAUUAUAAAAUUCAUGUUUAGUAUGUUGUCCCCUUAUGACAGAUAUUUCAGGACGGAGGGAGUACGAUGGAUCAAGAAUAUGUUUUGUCGCUGGUUCUCUUGAUCCUAUCUUUCUCACCGUGCGAGGCGGCAGCACAACGCCACGCGGAAGCCUUUACCUUUUCCAGCUUACGUGCUUCCCCGGCCUCCGUCAUGCUCACCAAAGACAAGCUCCGCCUCGACAGUCUACUCUACCCGUUGGUGAGAUCUGGCCUCCCAGCCAUCGGAGUGGACAACACCAUUAAUGCCUCAUAAGGGUUUAAAUUCCUAGCUUUUGUAAUCAUCGUAUAAUUUUGGAUAGUAUUUUUUUAUGUUUUAGGAGAUUUUUAGGAUGGUACAUUCGUGGAAUUGUGACACUUUCGGUUUAGAGAAACUCUAGCAGAUCCUGCAAAAACGUGUCAUCUGAAAACAUUAUACAGCUACGACGAGGCACAGGGCAGAGCAGAUCCUGUAACAUGUACUAUAAACUUUUUUUGCUCCUUUUCCUCCUCACUCUUCUUCUUCCUUGGGACGCAUGCAUGGUCAAACUCGAACUCUAGCCGGCCAGAACGGUGCCGCUCCGGCCUGCUGCCUGCUUCGGUCCGCCGCUGGCGCUCCGGGCCGCCACGUGCUCCGACGAUGCUCCGGCCGGCCGCUACCAAGCUCCUCCGCCUACUCACUGCUUGCGUGCAGUGUCGCCAGGCCCCAUGCUCCGGCGAUGCUUCGGCCGGCCUCUACCGAGCUCCUCUGCUUGCUCGCUGCUCGUGCGCGGUGUCGCUAGGCCCCCUGCUCUGGCGUUGACCGCUUUAUAGGUUCCCUCAAGAACGACUCGAAAACUCCAAAUAUGAGGCAUGGUUGCUCUAAUGUACGAAAUCUGUAAAAAAAGGGGGGGGGGAUCUUUCAUUUAGAGGAUCUUUUUUUGUUGAGAAAAUGCCAUUUAGAGGAUCUAUUCGGUGCGUUUUGUGCAAAUUUUAAGGUUUGACCGGGUUGACGAUAACCCCCCCGCCAAGGCCACUUAAACCCCACAUGUCAGAGACAGCGGCGGGGGAUAUAUGAUAAAGGAUUUGCGAACAAGGGGGGUUAUCGUCAAUUAUCCCCGGCGCCGCCGGAGCUUUCUGCUGCCGCCGCGCCAUGUCCACCCCAGCUGCUCGAUCUCGCCAAUCGGAGGAUGGACGCAUCAGGUACGUAGAGUAUGCAUCGCCAUGAAUCAUCGCGACCUUCCUCUCCCUUCUUCACCCGAUCCCCUAACCUUAUCCCCCAUCGUUGUGUGUGUAGGUCCUCCUCUUCGUCUCCCAGCGGCAGCGAGACGGCGGCCAAGAGACUCACCGACGACCUCCUCGUCGAGAUCCUCUCGCGCGUGCCCACCAAGUCGCUCUGCCGCUUCAAGUGCGUCUCCAAGCACUGGCUCGGCCUCACCAACGACCGCAACUACCGCCGGAAGCUCCCCCAGACCUUGACCGGCUUCUACCAGGGGAAUCAUUUGGUAGAUUCAGCUCUCCCCUUCACCAAUGUCUCGGGGAGCCGCCAUCUCACAUAUCCCGCCUUCCUGUCCAACCGCCGGCGGGUCAAGGUCAUGGACUGCUGUAACGUCCUCCUUCUCUGCUCCUCAUACGUUGCCGGCGACCAUGGCGACGAGUUCCGGUACAUCGUGUGCAAUCCCGCCACAGAGGAAUGGGCCGAGUUCCCAUACUGCGGCUAUUCCGGCCUGUCGGCCGUGUCCCCUCAUUUCCAUGUGUUUUUAUUGCCGGCGGCGGGUAUGGAGGACCAACAUGGCGUCUGUCUUACCGGAGUGUAUGUCUAUUCAUCUGAAACCGGGAGUUGCGUUCAUAAGGAGAAGAGAUGGAGCCGCAGUAUUGUUGUCGCUAAUGAUCGGUCGACUAUCUAUCUUAAUGGUUAUCUGCAUUUCUGCGCCAUUGUUGAUGGUUCUGCCGGUUGUCUAGCUGCAGUGGAUAAGGAGGGGGGAGCAAGGACUAACUUUCGUGUUCCUGGUCUGGAUGUUGGUUUUAUUCAGCUGUCACAGGGCUGCCUGCAUUAUGCUGGUUUUGACACAGAUGAUGAUAAUGUCGUUCGACUGCUAGUUUAUGUUCUUAAAGACUAUGACCGCAAAGAGUGGAUACUGAAGCAUAGCGUCGAAACUUCACAUUUGCUUGGAGGGCGACACAUAGAUUACCUUGAUGAGGACUUCGAUUGGAUUGCAAUUCAUCCAGAAUGUGACUUGAUCUUAUUUGUUGUGGCCCAGGAGGAUAUCACAUUCAUGUGCUAUGAUAUGGAUAGUGGACAAGUUAAUGUGCUCUGCAAUCUUGAAGAUAGCCAGCAGGCAUAUUUUCCGUAUGUGCCACUAUAUGAAGAGUUACAAUCGUUGCACAAGUGACGUCUUAUGUGUGCUAUGAUAUGGAUAAUGGACAAGUUAAAGUGAUCUGCAAUCUUGAAGGCGAGCUGCCAUAUUUUCAAUAUGUGCCGCUAUAUGAAGAGCUACAAUCGUUGCACAAGUGAUGUCUUAUUCAUGCUAUGGAGCAGUGGGCGUUGUAUGUCUGCUUGAAUUUGGUCCUCCUUUCUCUGAUGUAUGCAUGUUUUUAAGUUUGGAGCAAUGCUGGUUCGUUCUGGGGGCACUGCGGCUGAUUUCUCUCUCGGACUAGUUAUUCAAAGUUUCAAUGCACCUUCUGUUGUGUGUACUUGUUUUGUCUUGGCAGACCAAUGGUUCUGGACAACGGGAGAUUGUGAUA
rnacentral:lncRNA from 1 species